CCGAAAGGUUCUGUUAACUCUCGAUUUAGUGGAGACGAGACACAAAUCGAUCCGGCUUCCGAACAACACGAAGGCAAACCCUGCAAUUUUUUUAUUUUUUUAUGUUUUUCUUUUACUUAGGUGCACUAAAGAAGUAACCACAGAAAAUUUGAGCUUAAACAAGUGAAAGACGUGGCUUGCAGAAUUUUCUAUAGAUUGUGAAAAAUGUGAAAAAAACUUCACGAGGUGAAAACUUAAACUUCGGAGGUGUAUUUGGAAGUUCUAAAUUUUUCAAACCCGCUUGUGGUAGGGACAGGCAAACCCGAAAUUUUUUCUGAUUGAUUUUGAUAUAUGGAACGUUGAAAUCGGAGUUCGUACGCGAAUGUUAUGGCUAUUUUACAAACGAACUGCGAAUUAGAGUACAAAACGGUCCGAAAGUGGGAAAAAUUUGCGGCGGUGCCCAGAAAUUGAUGGAAACGGUGGGGAAAAACAUACUAACUGGACUCUAACAAGACCUAACCAGCAACAACCUCGACCAGGACACAAACUCAAAACAACGGACUCUGAAUCUGAAAUAUGGAAAAGCUAUGGCGCGGAAGGGUUGUAGAACAGGAAAACAAUAUGGCACUGGACUCAUGGGACGAACAUAAGAACACAAGAAACUAAGGGUAGAUGUGAACCUAACGGUACACCUAAAGCUUUGAUUACCACUUGAUGAGAACAAGGGUGGCCCGAUCUUCCGAAAGGUUUUGGUAACUCUCGAUUUGGUGGAGAUGAGACACAAAUCGAUACGGCUUAUGAACAACACGAUCCGAAACCCUACAUUUUUUUUAUUUUUUUGAUAUUUUUAUUUUACUUAGGAGCACUAAAGGAGUAACCACAGAAAAUUUGAGCUUAAACAAGUGAAAGACAUGGCCUGUUGAAUUUCUCAAGAUUGUGAAAAAUGUGAAAAGAACUUCACGUAUUGGAAACUCAAACUUCGGAGGCGAAUUUCAAGAUUCUAAAAUUGUCAAACACGCAAAAGUGAGGGACAAACAUAUCUCAAAUUUUUUCUUAUCGAUUUUGAUAUAUGGAACGUUGAAAUCGGAGUUCGUAUGCGAAAGUUAUGGCUGUUUUACGAACAGACUCCGAAUUAGAGGACAAAACGAUCCGAAAGUGGGAAUAAUUCGCGGUGGUGGCUAGAAAUUGAUGGAAAUGGUGGGGAAAAACAUACGAACUAGACUCUAACAAGACCUAACCAGCAACAUCCUCGACCAAGACACAAACUCAAAAUUGCGGACUCUGAAACUGAAAUAUGCAAAGGCUAUUGCGCGGAAGGGUUGUAGAACAAGAAAACGAUAUGGCACUGGACUUAUGGGACGAAUACAAGAACACUCGAAACUAAGUGUAGAUGUGAACCUAACGGUAUACCUGAAGCUUUAUUACCACUUGAUGAGAUCAAGGGUGGCCCGAUCUUUCGACAGGUUCUGGUAACUCUCGAUUUGGUGGAGACGAGACACAAAUCAAUGCGGCUUCCAAACAACGCGAUCUGAAACCCUGCAAUUUUUUUAUUUUAUUGAUAUUUUUAUUUUACUUAGGAGCAUUAAAGAAGUAACCAUAAAAAAUUUGAGCUUAAACAAGUAAAAGACGUUUCCUGCAGAAUUUUCUGAAGAUCGCAAAAAAUGUGAAAAAAACAUCACAAGGUGAAAACUGAAACUUCGGAGGUGAAUUUGGAGAUUCUAAAACUUUCAAACCCGUAAAUAGCAGUAACAGACAGAUCCGAAUUUUUUUGAUCGAUUUUGAUAUAUGGAACAUUAAAAUCGGAGUUUGUAUGUGCAAGUUAUAGCUGUUUUACGAACGGACUCUGAAUCAGAGGACAAAACGGUCCGAAAGUGGGAAAAAGUUGCAGCGAUGGCUAGAAAUUGAUGGAAACGUUCGGAAAAAAACACGAACUAGACUCUAACAAGACCUAACCAGCAACAAGUCCUCGACCAGGACACAAACUCAAAACUGCAGACUCGGAAACUGAUAUAAAAAGGCUAUGGCGCGGAAGGGUUGUAGGACACAAAAACGAUAUGGCACUGGACUUAUGGGACGAACACAAGAACACUCGAAACUAAGGGUAGAUGUGAACCUAACGGUAUACCUGAAGCUUCGAUUACCACUUGAUGAGAACAAGGGUGGCCGGAUCUUCUGAAAGGUUCUGUUAACUCUCGAUUUGGUGGAGACGAGACACAAAUCGAUCCGGCUUCCGAACAACACGAAGGCAAACCCUGCAAUUUUUUUUAUUUUUUUGAUAUUUUUCUUUUACUUAGGUGCACUAAAGAAGUAACCACAGAAAAUUUGAGCUUAAUCAAGUGAAAGACGUGGCCUGCAGAAUUUUGUAAAGAUUGUGAAAAAUGUGAAAAAAAACUUCACAAGGUGAUAACUUAAACUUCGGAGGUGUAUUUGGAAAUUUUAAAAUUUUCAAUCCCGCUAGUGGUAGGGACAGGCAAACCCGAAAUUUUUUCUGAUUGAUUUUGAUAUAUGGAACAUUGAAAUCGGAGUUCGUACGCGAAUGUUAUGGCUAUUUUACGAACAGACUCCGAAUUAGAGAACAAAACGGUCCGAAAGUGGGAAAAAUUUGCGGCGGUGGCUAGAAAUUGAUGGAAACCUGCGGACUUUGAAUGUGAAAUAUGCAAAAGCUAUGGCGCGGAAGGGUUGUAGAAUAGGAAAAUAAUAUGGCACUGGACUUAUGGGACGAACACAAGAACACUCGAAACUAAGGGUAGAUGUGAACCUAACGGUAUACCUAAAGCUUUGAUUACCACUUGAUGAGAACAAGGAUGGCCCGAUCUUCCGAAAGGUUCUGGUAACUCUCGAUUUGGUGGAGACGAGACACAAAUCGAUACGGCUUCUGAACAACACAAUCUGAAACCCUUCAUUUUUUUAUUUUUUUGAUAUUUUUAUUUUACUUAGGAGCACUAAAGGAGUAACCACAUAAAAUUUGAGCUUAAACAAGUGAAAGACAUGGCCUGUGGAAUUUCUGAAGAUUGUGAAAAAUGUGAAAAGAACUUCACGUAUUGGAAACUCAAACUUCGGAGGCGAAUUUCAGGAUUCUAAAGUGGUCAAACCCGCGAAAGUUAGGGACAAACAGACCUGAAAUUUUUUUCUGAUCGAUUUUGAUAUAUGGAACGUUGAAAUCGGAGUUCGUAUGCAAAAGUUAUGGCUGUUUUACGAACAGACUCCGAAUUAGAGGACAAAACGGUCCGAAAGUGGGAAAAAUUUGCGGCGGUGGCUAGAAAUUGAUGGAAACGGUGGGGAAAACACAUGAACUGGACUCUAACAAGACCUAACCAGCAACAAGACCUCGACCAGGACACAAACUCAACACUGCGGACUCUGAAACUGAAAUAUGCAAAGGCUAUGGCGUGGAAGGGUUGUAGGAUGGAAAAACGAUAUGGCACUGGACUUAUGGGACGAACACAACACUCAAAACUAAGGGUAGAUGUGAACCUAAUGGUAUACCUGAAGCUUUGAUUACCACUUGAUGAGAACAAGGGUGGCCCGAUCUUCUGAAUGGUUCUGGUAACUCUCGAUUUGGUGAAGACGAGACACAAAUCGAUCUGGCUUCCGAACAACACGAUCCGAAAUCCCGCAUUUUUUUAUUUUUUUAAUAUUUUCCUUUUACUUAGGAGCACUAAAGAAGUAACCAUAGAAAAAUUGAGCUUAAACAAGUAAAAGACGUGGCCUGCGGAAUUUUGUGAAGAUUACAAAAAAUGUGAAAAAAACUUCACAAGGUGAAAACUCAAACUUCGAAGACGAAUUUGGAGAUUCUAAAAUUUUCAAACCCCCUAAAACCGAGGACACACAGACAGACACUAAAUUUUUUUCUGAUCGAUUUUGAUAUAUGGAACAUUGAAAUCGGAGUUUGUAUGUGAAAGUUAUGGCUGUUUUACGAACGGGCUCCGAAUUAGAGGACAAAAUGGUGCGAAAGUGGGAAAAAGUUGCGGCGAUGGCUAGAACUUGAUGGAAACGGUGGGGAAAAAAACACGAACUGGACUCUAACAAGACCUAACCAGCAACAAGAGCUCGACCAGGACACAAACUCAAAACUGCGGACUCAGAAACUGAAAUAUGCGGCUGUGGCGCGGAAGGGUUGUAGGACACAAAAACGAUAUGGCACUGGACUUAUGGUACGAACACAGGAACACUCGAAACUAAGGGUAGAUUUGAACCUAUCGGUAUACCCGAAGCUUUGAUUACCACUUGAUGAGAACAAUGGUGGCCCGAUCUUCCGAAAGGUUUUGUUAACUCUCGAUUUGGUGGAGACGAGAGACAAAUCGAUCCGGCUUCCGAACAAUACGAUCCGAAACCCUUCAAUUUUUUUUAUUUUUCUGAUAUUUUUCUUUUACUUAGGUGCGCUAAAGAAGUAACCACAGAAAAUUUGAGCUUAAACAAGUGAAAGACGUGGCCUGUGGAAUUCUCUAAAGAUUGUGAAAAAUGUGAAAAAAAAUUCACGAGGUGAAAACUUAAAAUUCGGAGGUGAAUUUCAAAAUUCUAAAGUUUUCAAGCCCGCUAGUGGCAGGGACAGGCAGAUCCGAAAUUUUUUUCUGAUUGAUUUUGAUAUAUGGAACGUUGAAAUCGGAGUUCGUACGCGAAUAUUAUGACUAUUUUAUGAACAAACUCCGAAUGAGAGAACAAAACGGUCCGAAAGUGGAAAAAAAUUACGGUGGUGGCUAGAAAUUGAUGAAAACGGUGGGGAAAAACAUACUAAUUGGACUCUAACAAGACCUAACCAGCAACAACCUCGAUCAGGACACAAACUCAAAACUGCGGACUCUGAAUCUGAACUAUGCAAAAGCUAUGGCGCGGAAGGGUUGUAGAACAGAAAAACGAUAUGGCACUGGACUUAUGGGACGAACACAACAACACUCGAAACUAAGGUUAGAUGUGAAUCGGUAUACCUAAAGCUUUGAUUACCACUUGAUGAGAACAAGGGUGGCCCGAUCUUUCGAAAGGUUCUGGUAACUCUCGAUUUGGUGGAGACGAGACACAAAUCGAUACGGCUUCUGAACAACACGAUCCGAAACCCUGAAUUUUUUUAUUUUUUUGAUAUUUUUAUUUUACUUAGGAGCACUAAAGGAGUAACCACAGAAAAUUUGAGCUUAAAUAAUUGAAAGACAUGGCCUGUGGAAUUUUGUGAAGAUUACAAAAAAUGUGAAAAAAACUUCACGUAUUGGAAACUCAAACUUCGUAGGCGAAUUUCAGGAUUAUAAAUUGUCAAACCCGCGAAAGUUAGGGACAAACAGAUCUAAAAUUUUUUUCUGAUCGAUUUUGAUAGAUGGAACGUUGAAAUCGGAGUUCGUAUGCAAAAGUUAUGACUGUUUUACGAACAGACUCCGAAUUAGAGGACAAAACGGUGCGACACUGGAAAAAAUUUGCGACGGUGGCUAGAAAUUGAUGGAAACGGUGGUUAAAACAUAUGAACUGGACUCUAACAAGACCUAACCAGCAACAAGACCUUGACCAGGACACAAACUCAACACUGCGGACUCUGAAAGUGAAAUAUGCAAAGGCUAUGGCGCGGAAGGGUUGUAGGAUAGGAAAACGAUAUGGCACUGGACUUAUGGGACGAACACAAGAACACUCAAAACUAAGGGUAGAUGUGAACCUAACGGUAUACCUGAAGCUUUGAUUACCACUUGAUGAGAACAAGGGUGGCACGAUCUUCUGAAAGGUUCUGGUAACUCUCGAUUUGGUGAAGACGAGACAAAUCGAUCUGGCUUCCGAACAACACGAUGCGAAACCCCGCAUUUUUUUUAUUUUUUCAAUAUUUUCCUUUUACUUAGGUGCACUAAAGAAGUAACCAUAGAAAAUUUGAGCUUAAACAAGUAAAAGACGUGGCCUGCGGAAUUUUGUGAAGAUUACAAAAAAUGUGAAAAAAACUUCACAAAGUGAAAACUCAAACUUCGAAGACGAAUUUGGAGAUUCUAAAAUUUUCAAACCCCCUAAAACCGAGGACACACAGACAGACACUAAAUUUUUUUCUGAUCGAUUUUGACAUAUGGAACAUUGAAAUCGGAGUUUGUAUGUGAAAGUUAUGGCUGUUUUACGAACGGACUCCGAAUUAGAGGACAAAAUGGUGCGAAAGUGGGAAAAAGUUGCGGCGAUGGCUAGAACUUUAUGGAAACGGUGGGGAAAAAAACACGAACCAGACUCUAACAAGACCUAACCAGCAACAAGAGCUCGACCAGGACACAAACUGUGGGGGUAUAAACCCCUAUACCCUUACGGCUAGACUUCAGCCAGGAAGCUUGGCCCAUUACGAGACGAGUUCAAGGCUUGAUUCGACAGCUUGGAGUUUUGCGCAAGGAAACAAGAUGUGGAGAUCAAGCAGGAUUCUAGUCGGUUAGAAUAGGAAUUGAUAUCGAAUUAUCCAUGGCAAUUGUAACCGACUAGGAUUAGUUUCUAGAUCUGUAACCCUGCCCUCCAGACUAUAUAAGGAGGGGCAAGGGACCCCCUAGGACAGAUUAUAUCUCAACACAAUCCAAUACAACCAGACGCAGGACGUAGGUAUUACGCCAACUCGGCGGCCGAACCUGGAUAAAAAGCUUGUCCGUGUCUUGCGUCACCAUCGAGUUCGUAGUUUGCGCACCGUCUACCGAUAAACUACUACCGUGGGUAUACCCCAAGGUAGACUGCCGACCAGCUUUCGUCGACACAAACUCAAAACUGCGGACUCGGAAACUGAAAUAUGCAAAGGCUAUGGCACGGAAGGGUUGUAGGACACAAAAACGAUAUGGCACUGGACUUAUGGUACAAACACAGGAACACUCGAAACUAAGGGUAGAUUUGAACCUAACAGUAUACCCGAAGCUUUGAUUACCACUUGAUGAGAACAAGGGUGGCCUGAUCUUCCGAAAGGUUUUGUUAACUCUCGAUUUGGUGGAGACGAGACACAAAUCGAUCCGGCUUCCGAACAAUACGAUCCGAAACCCUGCAAUUUUCUUUAUUUUUCUGAUAUUUUUCUUUUACUUAGGUGCACUAAAGAAGUAACCACAGAAAAUUUGAGCUUAAACAAGUGAAAGACGUGGCCUGUGGAAUUCUCUAAAGAUUCUGAAAAAUGUGAAAAAAAAUUCACGAGGUGAAAACUUAAAAUUCGGAGGUGAAUUUGGAAAUUCUCAAAUUUUCAAGCCCGCUAGUGGCAGGGACAGGCAGAUCCGAAAUUUUUUUCUGAUUGAUUUUGAUAUAUGGAACAUUGAAAUCGGAGUUCGUACGCGAAUGUUAUGACUAUUUUAUGAACAGACUCCGAAUUAGAGAACAAAACGGUCCGAAAAUGGAAAAAAAUUGCGGUGGUGGCUAGAAAUUGAUGAAAACGGUGGGGAAAAACAUACUAACUGGACUCUAAGAAGACCUAACCAGCAACAACCUCGACUAGGACACAAACUCAAAACUGCGGACUCUGAAUCUGAAAUAUGCAAAAGCUAUGGCGCGGAAGGGUUGUAGAACAGAAAAACGAUAUGGCACUGGACUUAUGGGACGAACACAAGAACACUCGAAACUAAGGUUAGAUGUGAACCUAACGGUAUACCUAAAGCUUUGAUUACCACUUGAUGAGAACAAGGGUGGCCCGAUCUUGCGAAAGGUUCUGAUAACUCUCGAUUUGGUGGAGACGAGACACAAAUCGAUACGGCUUCUGAACAACACGAUCCGAAACCCUAUAUUUUUUUAUUUUUUUGAUAUUUUCAUUUUACUUAGGAUCACUAAAGGAGUAACCACAGAAAAUUUGAGCUUAAAUAAGUGAAAGACAUGGCCUGUGGAAUUUUGUGAAGAUUACAAAAAAUGUGAAAAAAACUUCACGUAUUGGAAACCCAAACUUCGGAGGCGAAUUUCAGGAUUAUAAAAUUGUCAAACCCGUGAAAGUUAGGGACAAACAGAUCCAAAAUUUUUUUCUGAUCAAUUUUGAUAUAUGGAACAUUGAAAUCGGAGUUUAUAUGCGAAAGUUAUGGUUGUUUUACGAACAGACUCCGAAUUAGAGGACAAAACGGUCCGAAAGUGGGAAAAAUUUGCGGCGGUGGCUAGAAAUUGAUGGAAACGGUGGGGAAAACACAUGAACAGGACUCUAACAAGACCUAACCAGCAACAAGACCUCGACCAGGACACAAACUCAACACUGCGGACUCUGAAACUGAAAUAUGCAAAGGCUAUGGCGCGGAAGGGAUGUAGGACAGGAAAACAAUAUGGCACUGGACUUAUGGGACGAACACAAGAACACUCAAAACUAAGGAUAGAUGUGAACCUAACGGUAUACCUGAAGCUUUGAUUACCACUUGAUGAGAACAAGGGUGGCCCGAUCUUCUGAAAGGUUCUAGUAACUCUUGAUUUGGUGAAGACGAGACACAAAUCGAUCUGGCUUCCGAACAACACGAUCCGAAACCCUGCAUUUUUUUAUUUGUUUAAUAUUUUCCUUUUACUUAGGAGCACUAAAGAAGUAACCAUAGAAAAUUUGAGCUUAAACAAGUAAAAGACGUGGCCUGCGCAAUUUUGUGAAGAUUACAAAAAAUAUGAAAAAAACUUCACAAGGUGAAAACACAAACUUCGGAGACGAAUUUGGAGAUUCUAAAAUUUUCAAACCCCCUAAAACCAAGGACAGACAGACAGACACUAAAUUUUUUCUGAUCGAUUUUGAUAUAUGGAACAUUGAAAUCGGAGUUUGUAUGCGAAAGUUAUGGCUGUUUUACGAACGGACUCCAAAUUUGAGAACAAAACGGUCCGAAAGUGGGAAAAAGUUGCGACGAUGGCUAGAAAUUGAUAGAAACGGUGGGGAAAAAACACGAACUGGACUCUUACAAGACCUAACCAGCAACAAGACCUCGACCAGGACACAAACUCAAAACUGCAGACUCGAAAACUUGAAUAUGCAAAGGCUAUGGCGCGGAAGGGUUGUAGGACACAAAAACGAUAUGGCAGUGGACUUAUGGGACGAACACAAGAACACUCAAAACUAAGGGUAGAUGUCAACCUAACGGUAUACCAAAAGCUUUGAUUACCACUCGAUGACCCGAUCUUCCGAAAGGUUCCGGUAACUCUCGGUUUGGUGGAGACGAGACACAAAUCGAUCCGGCUUCCAAACAACACGAUCUGAAACCCUACAAUUUUUUUUAUUUUUUUGAUAUUUUUCUUUUACUUGGGUGCACUAAAGAUGUAACCACAGAAAAUUUGAGCUUAAACAAGUGAAAGACGUGGCCUGCGGAAUCUUUGGAAGAUUGCGAAAAAUGAGAAAAAAACUUCACGAGGUGAAAGCUCAAUCUUUGGAGGCGAAUUUGGAGAUUAUAAAGUUUUCAAACCCACCAAUAGCAAGGGCACACAGAUCUGAAAUUUUUUUCUGAUCGAUUUUGAUAUAUGGAACGUUGAAAUCGGAGUUCGUAUGUGAAAGUUGUGGCUGUUUUACGAACGGACUCCAAAUUAGUGGACAAAACGGUGCGAAAGUGGGAAACAUUUGCUGCGGUGGCUAGAAAUUGAUGGAAACGGUGGGGAAAGCACAUGAUUUGUACUCUAACAAGACCUAACCAGCAACAAGAGCUCGACCUUGACACAAACUCAACACUACGGACUCUGAAACUGAAAUAUGCAAAGGCUAUGGCGUGUAAGGGUUGUAGGAUAGGAAAACUAUAUGGCACUCGACUUAUUGGACGAACAUAAGAACACUCAAAAGUAAGGGUAGAUGUCAACCUAACGGUAUACCUGAAGCUUUGAUUACCACUUGAUGAGAACAAGGGUGGCCCGAUCUUCCGAAAGGUUCGGGUAACUCUUGAUUUGGUGGAGACGAGACACAAAUCGGUCCGGCUUUCGAACAACACGAUCCGAAACCCUGCAAUUUUUUUUAUUUUUUUCAUAUUUUUCUUCUACUUAGGUGCACUAAGGAAGUAACCACAGAAAAUUUGAGCUUAAACAAGUGAAAGACUUGGCCUGCGGAAUUUUUCGAAGAUUACAAAAAUGUGAAAAAAACUUCACAAGGUGAAAACUCAAAUUUCGAAGGCGAAUUUGGAGAUUCCAAAAUUUUCAAACCACCAAAAAGUGGGGACAGACAGACCCAAAAUUUUUUUCUGAUCGAUUUUGAUAUAUGGAACAUUGAAAUCGGAGUUUGUAUGCAAAAGUUAUGGUUGUUUUACAAACGGGCUCCGAAUUAGAGGACAAAACGGUCCGAAAGUGGGAAAAAUUUGCGGCGAUGGCUAGAAAUUGAUGGAAACGGUGGGGAAAAACAUAUGAACCGGACUCUAACAAGACCUAACCAGCAACAUCCUCGACCAGGACACAAACUCAAAACUGCGGACUCUGAAACUGAAAUAUGCAAAGGCUAUUGCGCGGAAGGGUUGUAGGACAAGAAAACGAUAUGGCACUGGACACUCGAAACUAAGGGUAGAUGUGAAUCUAACGGUAUACCUAAAGCUUUGAUUACCACUUGAUGAGAAUAAGGGUGGCCUGAUCUUCCGAAAGGUUCUGGUAACUCUCGAUUUGGUGGAGACGAGACACAAAUCGAUACGGCUUCUGAACAAUACGAUCCGAAACCUUGCAAUUUUUCUUAUUUUUUUGAUAUUUUUAUUUUACUUAGGAGCACUAAAGUAGUAACCACAGAAAAUUUGAGCUUAAACAAGUGAAAGACAUGGCCUGUGGAAUUUUCUGAAGAUUGUAAAAAAUGUGAAAAAAACUUCACAUAUUGAAAACUCAAAAACUUCGGAGGCGAAUUUCAUGAUUCUAAAAUUGUCAAACCUGCGAAAGUUAGGGACAAAUAGAUCUGAAAUUUUUUUCUGAUCGAUUUUGAUAUAUGGAACGUUGAAAUCGGAGUUCGUAUGCGAAAGUUAUGGUUGUUUUACGAACGGUGGGGAAAGCACAUGAUUUGUACUCUAACAAGACAUAACCAGCAACAAGACCUCGACCACGACACAAACUCAGCACUGCGGACUCUGAAACUGAAAUAUGCAAAGGCUAUGGCGCGGAAGGGUUGUAUUACAGGAAAACGAUAUGGCACUGGACUUAUUGGAUGAACAUAAGAACACUCAAAACUAAGGGUAGAUGUCAACCUAACGGUAUACCUGAAGCUUUGAUUACCACUUGAUGAGAACAAGGGUGGCCCGAUCUUCCGAAAGGUUCUGGUAACUCUCGCUUUGGUGGAGACGAGACACAAAUCGAUCCGGCUUCCGAACAACACGAUCCGAAACCCUGCAUUUUUUUUAUUUUUUUGAUAUUUUUCUUUUACUUAGGUGCACUAAAUAAGUAACCAUAGAAAAUUUGAGCUUAAACAAAUGAAAGACGUGGCCUGCGGAAUUUUUUGAAGAUUGCAAAAAAUGUGAAAAAAACUUGAGGAGGUGAAAACUCAAAAUUUGGAGGCGAAUUUGGAGAUUAUAAAAUUUUCAAACCCACCAAUGGUGAGUAUAGACAGAUCCGAAUUUUUUUCUGAUUGAUUUUGAUAUAUGGAACAUUGAAAUCGGAGUUCGUAUGUGAAAGUUAUGGCUGUUUUACGAACGGACUCCGAAUUAGAGUACAAAACGGUCCAAAAGUGGGAAUAAUUUGCGGCGGUGGCUAGAAAUUGAUGGAAACGGUGGGGAAAAAUAUACGAACUGGACUCUAACAAGACCUAACCAGCAACAUCCUCAAAAAGGACACAAACUCAAAACUACGGACUCUGAAAUUGAAAUAUGCAAAGGCUAUAGCGCGGAAGGGUUGUAGGACAGGAAAACGAUAUGGCACUGGACAUAUGGGACGAACACAAGAACACUCAAAACUAAGGGUAGAUGUGAACCUAACGGUAUACCUGAUGUUUUGAUUACCACUUGAUGAGAACAAGGGUGGCCCGAUCUUCUGAAAGGUUCUGGUGACUCUCGAUUUGGUGGAGACGAGACACAAAUCGAUCCGGCUUCCAAACAACAUGAUCCGACUCCCUGUAAUUUUUUGUAUUUUAUUGAUAUUUUUCUUUUACUUAGGAGCACUAAAGAAGUAACUAUAGAAAAUUUGAGCUUAAAUAAGUAAAAGACGUGGCCUGUGGAAUUUUCUGAAGAUUGCGAAAAAUGUGAAAAAAAACUUCACAAGGUGAAAACUCAAACUUCGGAGGUGAAUUUGGAGAUUCUAAAACUUUCAAACCCGCAAAUAGCAGGGACAGACAGAUCCAAAUUUUUUUCUGAUCGAUUUUGAUAUAUGGAACAUUGAAAUUGGAAUUCGUAUGCGAAAGUUAUGGUUGUUUUGCGAACGGACUCCGAAUUAGAGGACAAAACGGUCCGAAAGUGGGAAAAAGUUGCGGCGAUGGCUAGAAAUUGAUGGAAACGGUGGGGAAAAACACACGAACUGGACUCGAACAAGACCUAACCAGCAACAAGACCUCGACCAGGACACAAACUCAACACCACGGACUCAGAAACUGAAAUAUGCAAAGGCUAUGGCACGAAAGGUUUAUAGGACAGGAAAACUGUUGGGUACCAUAAAAAGGGGAUAUCCGGGUACCAUAAAAAGGGGAUAUCUAAAUCAGAGCAAUAAAAAACGCAAAGGACAAAGCAAAUCAUCCACAAUCACCAGGACGCGGGCCCCGGAACAUCAGUCUUCUUGAUCUCGGGCCCAAAUCGUGGCCCGCCCGACCCCCCAGGGCUCGGACGCAGACACCGCCUCGCCCGACCACCUUGGCCUCGGGCGUAAGUUCCGUCUCGCCCGACCCGUCCGGGGCUCAGGCGCUAAACGACGCUUCACCCAAUCAGGGCAAGGAUUCCGACGCACGGCGCCCGUACCCAUGACAUGAUAGGCGCAGUAACUUCUGUAUCACCGCAGGGCAUGGUGGCGACUAUUCCAACCACCCUGGUCACUGUAGCCUUACCUCUUUCACUAUGCAGCCUUACCUCUUUCACUGUGGUGUACUGCCUCACAGUAAAAGAGGAAUGGGGAAGGUUAACCAGCGUCACUGUUUGCUGUCUUCUCCCACUAUUAACAGGACGAUCAGCAGUAUCACCGAUCCGACCCCCGUGACUCUUACAGGGCUCGGUAACCCUCUACAGGAGCAGCCAUGCUGUCAGCCAUCCAUCAAGGACGAGAUGGACCAGCUUCCAUAGGGUCGGGACUGUGGCUUCACCAUUCAACAGAGGAAAUCUACUCAUGUAAAUACAUGUCUUCCCUUGAGGCUAUAAAAGGGGAGCCAGGGGUCACAACUAAGCACAGGUUCACAAGGUUUACACACGCACACGAACACCACACUCACUCACAGAGUGGCAACCAACACUCUGUCCACCACAAAGCCGAGACUUGGGACUUAGCCCUCUCUCGCGACCUGCUUGUACCCCCCCUACUACAAGCACCUUUGGGUGCAAGGCAAUAGAGAUCUUCGAUCUCACUAGACGUAGGGCAUCCUCAGCCCAAACCAGUAUAAAUUCUCUGUGUUCCACUUGCAUCACCACCCGGGCUUAGGCAGUCACGCAUACUUACACUCGUUUGUGUCUAGACCGCGAGUCUAGACGCCGACAGUUGGCACGCCAGGUAGGGGCCUUUUGCGUGACAUUCAUCUUUUCCUAUUGAGGGAAGGCUUGGAUGGCAGAUGGAUUUCACCCACUCCGCCGCGGCACCAUCAUGAUGUUUGGGAGUUUGGAGUUCUUGUCCCUCGGCUCCAGCUAUGACAUGGUCCUCCUCCCACCACGUGGUGAUGUCGAGCCUCGCCCCGAGCCGUUCCCACCACAGUCAGCACGUGGGAGGUGCUCGGGACACCAUGCGGGGGCUGCCCGGCGGGGGCGUCAGAGGUCCAGAAUCUCUGACCCUACCACUGAGGCGAGGGUCCGUCCGGCCCUCCCCCCGCAUAUUCCUCACCAGAUCGCCCACUCCUUCGGCUCGAUACGCGCUAGAGGCAGGGCCCGCGGAGCAUCAAGCUCCGCUUCACGAACCAACAGGGGAUCAUCACGACCUCCUGUUCCUCCCCGAUCAAAGGGGAUGGUACGGCUCCCGCCCGCUCCGCAGAAAGGGGACAAAGGGGCCUCAUCAUCUCGUCCCUCGCCACCUACGGAUGGGGGAGAGACAGCGGCACCUCCCGAGCUCCCUUUCGGGCUCAGGAACGCAGCCGUCAGUUACGCCUCUUCCGUGAGCACAUCGUCAAGUGCAUACGUGGACCUUCCAAGGCACCAUCUCAGGUCUACCCUGGACCUCAUCGCCUCACCGCCCGUUUCGUCGUACCCAGAGGACCCCGCCUCAGGCGAUGACGAGUGGGCCGACGCUGACUUUUCCGGGUGUGGUGACCCAGAGACCUUCAUGCGCUUCUUGGAAGCCAGCAACUAUUGCCUCGGCUACUCCGAUUCCGACGAUGGGAGCUACGACCCAUCAAGAGAGUGCUUCAACCUUGAGGUCGAAGGAGCACCCCACAAUGCUCAAGGGGGCGCAGGACCCUCUAGGCAAGGGAACGCCACUCCGCCACCCAAUCCAACUCCCGGGACUGAACCUGGACCUCGCGCAGCAGCAUCAGCCCCCGUAGGAGGACACCGCCCUGACCUCAAGCAGCUCGAUGAGCUAGAGGCCAGGCUCAAAGAAGAACGCGCAUGCCUCCGCCAACUCCGCGAGGCCCUGGUCCGAGACUCAUCCGGCCGCAGAGACGGGGGCGAGGCUAGACGCCGCGCCCGAGACGUUAACCACCGUAUUAUCGAGGACCAAGGGGGAGACGCCCCGGUCUUCAGCAUGGCCAGCCAGAAUGUAAUGGCUGCAGCACUCCUCCUCAGGGCGAUGCCUGAGCCAUCGACUCCCGAGGGAAGGAGAGUGUGCCAGGGGCUGCGAGGCCUCCUGGAGCAAGCCGUGGUGCAGAACGCAGAAAGUUCUGCAUCACAGUCCCACAGCACGAGGCGCCAAGAGAACCGGUCCCCUCCUAACAAGACACCAAUGGAGCAGGGCCCGCCGCCCCCUAACCCGCAAGGGGGCAACAGGGCCCCAUCAGUCCACGAACGUGUCGGGGCUGACGCGAACGUUCGGGCCACCCUCGAGGCCAGACGGCGCGACAGGGACGAGGCCGAAUCUCGACGCUAUCGACCGCGCCGAGGUGGAAGGUACGACCCCGACCAUGACCGCAGCAUGUCGCCAGAGCCUCCAGGUCCCCGCGUCUUCAGCGAGGCCAUAUGCAGAGCCAAGUUCCCGGCGCGAUUCCGACAGCCCGCCAACUUAAAAAAGUAUUCAGGGGAAACCAACCCUGAACUCUGGCUGGCGGACUACCGCCUAGCGUGUCAGCUAGGUGGAGCGGACGAUGACCUCCUCAUCAUCCGCAACCUUCCACUGCACCUGGCCGAUACGGCCAGGGCCUGGCUCGAGCAUCUCCCGGAGCGCAUGAUCCACGACUGGGCCGACAUGGUCAAGAUCUUCGUCGGGAACUUCCAGGGCACAUAUGUGCACCCUGGGAACUCCUGGGACCUCAGGAGCUACAGGCAGAAGCCCGAUGAGUCCCUUCGAGACUUCAUCAGGUGAUUCAACAAGCAGUGCACCGAGCUCCCCAACAUCACGGACUCCGACGUCAUCGGAGCCUUCAUUUCCGGUACCACCUGCAAAGAGCUGGUACACAAGCUCGGUCGUAAUACCCCCACGAGCACUAGCCAGUUGCUCGAAAUCGCCACCCACUUUGCCUCAGGCGAGGAGGCAGUUGGUGCCAUUUUCUCCGACGGCGUUGCCAAGGGGAAACAGAAGGCCGAGGCCACCGAGGUCUCAGGCUCACGCGACCCCAAGAAGAAGAAGAAGGGUCGCAAGGGGAAGCAGGGUCAGUCGGGUGACAACUUAGUCGCCGCAGCAGAUCGCAAGAACCCUAAGCGGGCUCCUGCUAGCCCCGGUCUCUUUGACGAGAUGUUGAAGAAGCCAUGCCCCUAUCACAGGGGACCAACCAUGCACACCCUCAAGGAGUGCACCGUCCUGCGUCGGUACUACACCAACCUCAUCUCCAAGGAGGGCGCUGAAGAGCCCCCCAAGGACGACGACCCUCAGGGGGAAGGUUUCCCCAAUAUCAAGAACUGUCUCUUGAUCUUUGGGGGACGUGCGGCUCGCCUUACAGCGAGUCAGAGGAAGCGCGAACUCUGUGAAGUUUGCGCAGUCAGCACAGCCACGCCAUCGUACCUCAAGUGGUCCGAGAGCGCAAUCACCUUCGACCAACAAGAUCACCCGGAUCGGAUCCCCAAUCUCGGGAGCUAUCCUCUGAUAGUCGACCCCAUCAUCGCCGAGACUUGUCUCACCAAGAUGCUGAUGGACGGAGGCAGCGGCCUCAACAUCCUAUACGCCGAGACUCUGGCCCUCAUGGGGAUCAGCAAGUCCCGGCUAAGGAACGACACUUCGCCAUUCCACGGAGUGGUACCGGGACAUCGAGCCCACCCCCUCGGGCAGAUCGAACUGCCCGUCUGCUUUGGGACCCCGACAACUUCAGACGGGAGGUCCUCACUUUUGACGUGGUCGGGUUCCCAAGAACCUACCACGCAAUCCUGGGACGACCGUGCUACGCCAAGUUCAUGGCCGUCCCCAACUACACUUACCUCAAGCUCAAGAUGCCAGGGCCAAAAGGCAUCAUCACAGCCAGCACGACUAGUCAGCACGCCUAUCAGUGCGACGUCGAGUGCAUUGAGCAGGCCGAGGCUCUGGCUGAGUCUCUAGCCAUCCUCACCGGCCUCGGCGACUGCGACCAAGACAUCCCCGACCCCAAGCGUCACGCCGGGAGCUUCGAGCCGGCGGAGGAGACCAAGCUAGUCUUCCUCGACCCCCAGACCUCUGCAGGCAGGGCGUUGAGGAUCAGCACCAGCCUCGACCCCAAAUAGGAAGUGGUGCUCGUCGACUUUCUCCACACAAAUGCCAAUAUAUUUGCAUGGAGUCCUUCAGACAUGCCUGGUAUACCGAGGGAAGUCGCCGAGCACUCCUUGGACAUCCGAGCCGGCUCCAAACCCGUGAAGCAACGCCUGCGCCGAUUCGACGAGGAGAAGUGCCGGGCCAUCGGGGAGGAGAUCCACAAGCUGCUGGCGGCCGGAUUCAUCAAGGAUGUAUUCCAUCCCGAGUGGUUAGCUAACCCUGUGCUAGUCAGAAAGAAAAAUGGGAAGUGGAGGAUGUGUGUGGACUACACUAGUUUAAAUAAAGCAUGUCCUAAGAACCCCUUUCCAUUACCUCGUAUCGAUCAAAUAGUUGACUCCACAGCGGGAUGCGAGAUUUUGUCUUUUCUUGAUGCUUAUUCCGGUUACCACCAAAUCAAGAUGAAAGAGUCCGACUAGCUCGCCACUUCUUUCAUCACCCCUUUCGGAAUGUACUGCUACGUAACCAUGCCUUUUGGCCUCAAGAACGCGGGGGCUACAUAUCAGCGAUGUAUGCUCCAGGUCUUUGGGGACCUUAUAGGCAAAACAGUAGAGGCUUACGUAGACGACAUUGUCGUCAAGUCCAGGAAAGCAAGCGGCCUAGUUGCCGACCUGGAAGAAACAUUCCAAUACCUCUGGGCAAAAGGGAUCAGACUAAACCCCGAAAAAUGCGUUUUUGGGGUCGCCCGAGGCAUGCUCCUCGGAUUUAUUGUGUCUGAGCGAGGGAUUGAGGCCAACCUAGAAAAGGUCUCGGCCAUCGCAAACAUGGGCCCGAUUCGUAACCUAAAGGGAGUACAGAGGGUCAUGGGAUGUCUAGCCUCUCUAAGCCGUUUCAUCUCUCGUCUCGGGAAAAAGGGCUACCUCUGUAUAGGUUACUAAGGAAAUCCGAGCAUUUUUCCUGGACCCCCGAGGCCCAGGAAGCCUUUGACAAGCUCAAGGCUUUGCUCACCAACCCUCCCAUUCUGGUGCCCCCCGCCGUGGGGGAACCACUUCUUCUCUAUGUCGCAGCCACUGAUCAAGUGGCCAACGCAGCUAUCAUGGUCGAAAGGAAGGAAGAAGGGCACGCCCUGCCGGUCCAGAGACCGGUGUACUUCAUCAGUGAAGUACUGUCCGACACCAAGACCCGAUACCCCUAAAUCCAAAAACUACUCUACGUAGUAGUUUUGGCCCGACGCAAGCUCCGCCAUUAUUUUGAGUCUCAUCAGGUCUCGGUUGUGUCAUCUUUUCCCCAGGGGGAAGUGGUUCAGAACCGAGAAGCUAAUGGUAGAAUCGCUAAGUGGGCCAUAGAGCUUAUGGGUGAUGGGAUCACCUAUGAGCCUCGGAAGGCCAUAAAAUCCCAAGUCCUAGCGGAUUUUGUGGCCGAGUGGACUGGGACUCAACUCCCCCCCCACAGAUCUAGCACGAGUGCUGGACCUUAUACUUCGACGGGUCCUUGAUGAAAACCGGGGCUGGCGUAGGCCUCGUCUUCAUCUCACCCCUCAGAGUAAGAAUGCGAUACGCAAUCCGGCUCCACUUCACCGCCUCAAACAAUGCUGCAGAGUACGAGGUCCUUGUCAAUUGACUCCACAUCACGAUCGAGCUUGGGAUCAAAUGGCUCGAGGUCCGAGGCGAUUCCAGACUCAUCAUCGACCAAGUCAUGAAAGAGUCUAGCUGCCACGAUCCCAAGAUGGACGCGUACUGCAAAGCGGUCCGACACCUGGAGGAAAAGUUCGACGGCCUCGAGCUUAACCAUGUGUUAAGGAAAGACAAUGAGGCCACCGAUGCACUCGCCAAGAUGGCAUCCGAGCGGGCCACGGUUCCCCCGGAUGUUUUCGUCAGCGAUCUCUACAAGCCUUCAGUCGAAUACAAGGACAACGGGGGUCGGAUGAACCCCUAAGCGAACCAGGCCCGACUCCAAUGACUCUGCAGCUCAGGAACAAGAGGCCAUGGACAUCGAAUCCAAGCCCCCUGCGCCUGACGACUCUCCAGACUGGCGUUACCCUUUGCUGCAACGCCUCGUCGACGGCACUCUGCCCCCAGACCAGGCUGAGGCAAGGCGCGUGGCUCAUCGCGCCAAGACCUUUGUCCUUCUUGACGGAGAGAUGUACAUGCGUAGCCCCUCGGGCAUCCUUAUGCGCUGCAUCCCACGUCAGGAAGGAAUCAAGCUCCUGGGGGACAUACACUCGGGGGCUUGCGGCCACCAUGCCGCGCCUCCAACGCUGGUAGGAAAUGCCUUCCGACAAGGCUUCUACUGGCCCACCGCCGUGGCCGACGCCACGGAGAUCGUGCAGACCUGUGAGGGAUGCCAGUUUUACGCUCGGCAGAUCCAUCUCCCCACUCAGGCCCUGCAGAUGAUCGCCAUCACCUGGCCCUUUGCUGUCUGGGGCCUCGACUUAGUCGGGCCUCUGCAAAAAGCGCCCGGGGGCUUCACCCACUUGUUUGUCGCAAUCGACAAGUUCUCCAAGUGGAUUGAGGUCCGACCCAUCACAAGGAUCAAGGCUAAACAAGAAGUGCUAUUCUUCAUAGAUAUCAUCCACCGAUUUGGAGUACCGAACUCCAUAAUCACCGAUAACGGCACACAGUUCACCGGGCGAAAGUUCCUGGAGUUCUGCGACAGACACCACAUACGUGUGGACUGGGCAGCAGUGGCUCACCCCAAGACUAACGGUCAAGUGGAGCGUGCCACUGGCAUGAUCCUCCAGGGUCUGAAACCCAGGAUUUUUAAUUGGUUGAACAAGUUUGGAAAGAGAUGGCUCAAGGAGCUACCGGCCGUGGUCUGGAGUCUAAGGACUUCCCGAAGCCGAGCCACAGGCUUCUCCCCGUUCUUCAUGGUCUACGGGUUGGAAGCCGUCCUCCCCACAGAUCUGGAAUACGGGUCCCCAAGGGUACAAGCCUACGACAAAAAUAGAUGCAAAACGUGCCAAGAAGACGCGCUGGACCAGCUGGAUGAGGCCAGAGAGUAGCCCUCCUACACUCCGCCAAAUACCAGCAGGCCCUCCGCCGAUACCAUGCGCGACGAAUCCGAGGCCGAGCCUUUCAAGUCGGCAACUUGGUGCUGAGGCUCAGGCAGAGCAACAAGGGUCGUCACAAGUUCACCCCGCCUUGGGAAGGACCCUUUGUCAUCAUCGAAGUCCUCCGACCCGGCACCUACAAGCUCGCCAAUGAAGCUGGGGAGGUCUUCAAAAAUGCAUGGAACAUAGAACAACUACGUCGCUUUUACCCUUAAUAUUUUGUAAAAAUUUUCCAUUUGUUCAUCACAUCAAAAGACUAAGUAAAGGUUUAAAUUAUAUGACCAUUUCUUUUGAGUAAGCUUCGGACCUGCUUUGUAGAGUGCAAGCCUUCCUCUGGGGCUACACGAGGGGAACCCCCUGUGGCAACUCCAAAUCUUCUUUACCUUUUUUCACACAAGUUAAAGAGAAUCCCGACCUAGCGUCUUUCUUCCCUUUCCUAAAAAGUAUUUAAGAAACCACAGAUCCAUCCCCUAAAACCUUAAGGCAUGAGCCCGAGGAAAGAUCUGCGCCCACGGGCAAGGACGACCUCUACUCACCCCCUAGGAUCGGGGGACGGAUCCGGACUUCUGAAAACUGCUAAGGAAAAGAAGAAUGACUUAGGCUCGGGAACUCUGAACAAGUGCAGACCCUAAAUAGAUCACCUGACCCCGCGCUGCCAAGGUCGGGUCAGCAUAAGGGGAAAGAAAACAAGAUAAUUAAGAAAAAGCUUAAAAGGAACAAUCAUAUAAACAUUCAUACUUAGCAUUAAUAUUGUAUAUACACAAUACAAGGCCCACUGGCCUUAACGUUUACCUAAAAAAAAGAAGAAAUCUAACUUGAAGGGCCUUGCUGCCCUGCCUGCCUAGGCUCCUACGCGCCAAGGGGGGGGAAGCUCCACCUCAGCGUCGAAGAUGGCGGCCAAGGCAUCUCCCGGGGCGGCCACCACGUCUUCAAGCCUCUGCACAUCCUCCUGGGCCUCCGUUUCAUCAUCAGGGAGGACGUAGCGCUCACAAACCGCCGGCAAAUCAAUUCCGACGUAGUGAGAGCUCACCACCGCCAGGGCUUUCUUCACCCCAGCAUGGAGCGCCUCCCUCAUCCUCUGCCCGGCCUAGGAGUAAAGGGCUUCGACUCGACUCCGCAACGACGACCCCGACGCCGGCACCCCGAGCCCCUCGCACGCCGAAGUGACCACGGCUUCCAAAGCCGAGCGGUCCGUGACCUCGGCGUCAAGAGACCUCUACAGGGCCUCGGCGACAGAGGCUGCCUCGGCCAUCUUCCUCUCCGACUCUGUUGAAAAAUAGGACAAAAAAGAAAAGUUAGAAAAGGCAAUCCAAGCACGAAGGGGGCCAUGGCAAAAGACGCAGCUCCUACCCUCGGCUCGCUUCUCGUUCUCCGCCGAGCUCCGAUGCCAGCAGGCCACUUCGCUCUGAGCAGUAGCAAGGUCAGCCUGAGUUUGGUUCAGGGCAAGGUCUUUUUCGGUGAGCAGAGCCUCAAGCCAAGCAACCUCGCCCUUGUACCUCUCGGCCGCCGCCCUCUGCACCUUGGAUUCCUGGGCUAGGUCCCCGACCCUCUUCUCCAGAGGGGCGACCUUUUCCCAGGCCUCUCGAGCCUCAGUAGCAAGGCCCGUACACUUUUGCCGAAGCUCGGCAGAGAUCUCGCAUUCCUUCGCGAGCUCCCCCUCAGCCGCGUCCCUAGCGGCCCUCUCGUUCUCGCAGAUCGCCCAGGCGUCUCUUUCCCUGCGGAGAAAUACUGACUUCUCCAGGGACGUAGCCUUGAGCGCCUAAAAAAUCUGAAGUCACACAGGGAGUCAGUAUCACAAAAUAAAACAAAAAACACCUCAUGAUAUGAGAAGAAGCCUCACCUAGGCCAACUUGUACAUGUCUCGACUCACGAGCUCGGAAGCUUGGUUGAUCGCCUCGACGUUGGCACGCCCGCACGCGUCCAGACCCUGCCAGAGGUAAGCCUCCGACGGAUCGUCCAGAACAAAUCUGGCCCCUCCCUCUGCGUCGUCGAGGUUGGGCUAGAACACGGGGCUCUUGCCCCAUCGGGCGUCGCCUUCCCCCCUGCCGCGGCAGCCUCGGGCGCCAUAUUGGACGCCACGAUGGCCCGGCCCUCCUCGAUCUGCGCAGGCCGAGCCGCACCCCCUAAGCCGGCAUUCGUAGGGGGAGGCAUAGCCCCGGGGACGAGGGCUGUCUCCACCGGCCCUUGGGGCCUCGGCGCCUCCAGCCCGUGCCCCGCCCGACGGGGCUCCACCUCUUCGCGGCCCGGGGGAGGCGGCGACUUGAGUCCGACCGACCAAGGGGUCGACUGCGCCCCCCUCUUCGCGGCCUUCAUGGGGGCCAGCGCCACUGAUGCCGCCUUUUGCUUUCGGCUGAAAAAAUAACACAAGUCAGAAGAAAGAGAAAAACAAAAAAAUCAAAGGAAAGAUCAUAAAUCCUAUACGCACCUCGCUCGGGGGGCAGAUUUGUUAGGGGAGCUUGGAGCUCCUCGGGGGCCUCCCGAAGCGCCAGGGGCCGUUGGCCGAACCCCCGUCUCGUCCGCGGAUGGUGCAGGGGCCUCAACGGUGGUCUCGGCCUACGUUACCUCCAACGAGCCGCCGGCUUCUGCCCCGGACGUGGGGCGGGGCUCGGCCCGGCCCUCCGGUGCUAUCGGCUGUGGGGGCACCUCAGAUUUGCCUCCCGACGCCUUCUCCCCUUGGAGACCCACGGGGACCGGGCCCUCCCGAGGGGCGCUCUCCUCGUCAUCCACAAUAAUGUGGGGGACGGAUUGACCGCCCCCCGGUGCUUGGAACCCCUCGGGGGCCUCCGACCCCCCUCGGGCCUUCGACCCCUCUGGGAUCUCAAUCCCCCCGCCGGAAGGGGGGAUUACGUCGACCUCCUCCGCCAGCUCAUCGAGCCAGUCCACAUUGUCUCCCCCACCCUCUAUCUCCGAGACCGAAGUCUCGUGAGUGGGGGGCGGGGCGACCCCCGCCUUCUCGGCUUCAUGGUGGUUCUUGGCGGAGAUCUCUCGCCGUUGCGCUUUCCGCGCUGCCUUGGCCUUCUGGUCUUCCUUGGCCUUCUUCUGUUCCUCAUUCCGGGCCCAAUUUUUGGCCCGGAUCUCCUUGUCCUCUGGGACAGGGGGGAGGGAAUCUCUGACGAUCCCCAUCCUCUGCAAACAAACGACAAUUAAGAAAAAGGCAGAAACAAAAAGGGAACAAGCGCGAAAGUCGACAUCUUACCAGAGAAGUAUAGCCCUUUUCAGGGCGCAUCGGCACCACCCGGGAAUUCUUCAUAUCCGGGUGCGUUGUACUCUCCACCCGGGCGGCGAUGUCCGAUGCCGAUAGAAAAUAAUCUAUUCUAUCCGCAAGCGCACAGAUAAAAUACCUCAUUGUAGCAUUUCACCAGGAAAAGUAUUUUGGGUAUCGUUAUUUAUAUUUUGCUUAAGAGAACGGGAAAGUGAAAACAGGGGUAAAAUCUAUCAAGUCAUAGACUAGAGAUAAACUUGCAAUAACAUGAUUACUAAUGAGGAACUCGUCACACAGUCACUUGCUUUAGCAAGGGGUAAGCCAUAAAAUAAAGAUAAUGAAAUAUAAGCUCAUGGGUAAAUAACACAGCGAUUAGGAAUAGACUACUCCACAUAAAUGUAAGGUGACGUUGGAUUAGCUAGAGAAUGGAUUCUGAGUAUCUACUAUCUACUAAGUCAUAAUCUACUCUAGUUAUAUACAAGAUCAUAUAUAGCAUAAAAGACUCUUUAUUCAUGUAUAAGGAACAUUGCUAAAGUAAAUCAGAACAUAGCAAGACUUACUCCGCAAAACAAAUUAUGCCUGUCCUAUCAACGGAGGCUAGACUAUAUAAGAAUCAACGAAGCUGUCACCAUCGCGAACUACCACACGACCCGGCCAAUAGGAUACAUUUGCAGGUAAAUAAUAUCUAAGAACCACACCCACAUAUGAUCUACCACUUAACUCCGUCAAGUCAAGUGCUAAGCGCUUUGCAAACUUAUACAUAAACUCAUUAUCAAUCAUAACUAUAUCAAAUAUAGAACUAGAGCAAACUAAGAACAUAAUAAAUAGAGACAUAAUGCAAUUAGAAUAAAAUAGUAGAGAAAGAUAUGAAAUAAUACCAAUCUUUAUUGAUGAAGAUCCGAAAUCAAGAGCACUAGGCUCUACUUCUCUAAUUCUAUCUAUUCAAUCCUAAAGAACUUGAAGGUAUUGGGAGUAGCUAGUUCUAAUUCUCUGUGGGAGAGAAGUUCCUAAACCCUAACUUCGAUGGCUUCCUCUGAUAAUGAUUUCUCCUCCCCCCUUGGGGUGGAGAGGCCUUGCUUAUAUAGCCCCCACAGAUGAAUUUGGGCCGUUGGAUCAAACCGACAUUAAUCGCACGGUUAUUCUUGAAGAUUAAAGGUGGUGGAGCACGAUCCAGGAGACGGAGCCUGAUUGGCUGUUGCAGGUGGGCGGGCGCCCAAGGGGGUUGGGCGGGUGCCCUACCCCCGGGGUCCGUUCAGCCUCCUGUUCGUUCCCGUGGCUUCUGGACUCUUCUAGAUUAAGGAAAAUUGUGCGGUACGUAAUUAUCUCGUUGUAAACCUGACAUGUGGGCGUUCUCUCCAUAUUUUCUGAUAACCCCCUGCAGAAAUAGACAAACACCAAAGCUCGUGGAAUUCUGUCAGAUAAAACCCUAAUUCUAGGUGUUUGAUGCAUAUUGACCCUUUUCCAUGUUUAGUUGAUGGUUAAAUUUAGUACUUAAGGACCGUCAAUAAACUCCCCCAAGCUUACCCUUUGCUCGUCCCUGAGCAAACAGCUAAACUUAGAUGGAUCAAGAGUUGCUUCGAUGUUUUCUUUCCUGACAGGCACACAUGCUUUCACAUAAAAAUUCUCCUAGAUUAGAAUGAAGUGUCAUGGAGCUUAGUACCUGCACUUAAGUCUUAAGUAAUUGAAAGACAAAAUACCUGCCCAUAAUAAUUAAGUCAAGCACCAUUCCUCCGGUUUAUACUUCACCUUUGUUCUGGAGUUUUGCAUACGUUUUCAAAAAUAAAGCUCAGAGUUCCCAUCUAUGAUAAUCUCAAGUCUCUCUAUAUAUGGUAUUUGUGGAUCCUUACCAAAAAUGUCACUUACCUAUAACUAAGGGAAUGUUUAUGUGAAGCUCAUAGGUGUGAAAAACAAAUCAUACAUAUGUUGUCUAAUCGAGCCAUGGAUCCGAAGGAACUCAACAUGUAAUUAAAUCAAGAUGUGCAUGUGUGGUGGAGUAAAUGAUAAUGAUGGUGAAAAUAUAUAAGUAAUGAUAAAGCUUACUUCUCAUUGCUUCUCAUAUUCCUAUCUCUCCUCUUCUUUGAUCUUUGCUUUGGGAGAACAUGGGCUAUCUUUUUUUAUUUUCUUUUUUUUCAGGUGGGUAGUAAAUACCCCUAAUUCUACUGUCGGACACUUGUCUAUUUUUCCCGCUCAGGUGGGCAUCUUUGUACCCCUAAUUAUACUCCGGACACUUGUCCAUUUUUACCUCUCGUCUCACUCGUUUUCUUUCUUUUUCGAGGUUCCAGGCACUUGCCCCUUUUUAUUUCCUCGCAUAUUUUUGCAUAACCCAUGCCUCUUCUGCAUUGAAUCUUUUUGGAGAGAGAGAAUAACAACACUUGGGACAGUGAGUGAUAAUAUUUUUAGCAAUUUUAAUAAAUGGUGGUGGAUGGUGUAGUAGAUGUGUGCAAGUGAAUAUCUUAAUUUAAUCACAUGAAAAGCUCCUAAGGGUCUACACAACUCGAUCAAACUCAAUGUGAAUAUAAGUAUCAAAAGAUGUUAUAGCAAGUAUGGCUGUGCUAGGAAUUUUGUCAUGCUAGGAACUCAUCAUGUUAUUUUCAAGUUUUCAAAAUAAAUCUCCAGAACUUAGUGUAGUAAGAACAAGAUAAACAGUAGCUCAAACUUUAUAUCAUGUCCUUCUCUUACCUAGACUUUGGUUUUAGGUUCAUGCUUCCCAUAGAUAGUAGAUUUUAGUUUUAGUAAUUCUUGGGAGAACUUUAAUAUAAAAGCUAGGUACUUGAAAGUAAGCAAACAGAGCAACUGUUCAUCAUUUCCAUCGUGCAUCUUUUUAAUCUUUAUAUUUUCCUAGAGAUUAACACUUAGCAGAUAAAUAAGCACACUUAUCUACACACUCUUUUUAUUUUGUUUUCAUAUUUAUAGAAUGCAGUAAAUUAAGGCAAGAAAAUAUUUGUUGAUUUUUCUAUGUUUUUUUGAAAAAAUAAAACACUAAAAUAAAUAAGAGGAGCAAAUAAAAACUUACUUGAUAAAACGGGGAGAAACUCCCCCAAGCUAGAUGUGGUUGUCGGUCUUACCCAAUGUUCCAGAAUCGCAUCAUGGUGGUGAUGUUGUCGUUCAUCGUCGUGGUGUCUUGCCUUAGUUCUUGUACUACAGCGGCGUGGUCCUGGUUCCACUUUUGUUGCUGUUCCAGGAGUCGUCCAUGUUCCGCUUGCGUAUUCUGGAUGUCGAGGAGGGUGUUGUCGGUACGGGUGAAGAAGGUGCCGGCCUCUUGGUAGUAGUCAUUCGUGAAAGAAUAAGAUGUGUCGGAGUACCGUCCUGCAUCGAAUUGGGGCUGGGGCCUAGACCCUGAAGCUCCAUAUGGAUCCGUGGAAUACCUACCCAUACUAAAAGGCGGGUUUGUCCACUGGUGAUCUUGGCCCUCCGGCCAUGUCUCCUGUGUUGGCUCUUGCGGCUGAGCAUGUCGAACCCAUGGGUCCCGAAGGACUCGGGGGGUUGUAGUCGCGGUAAUGCAGGUGCGCUACUUCUUCCGGCCCGGGAUCAGCUCCAUACUAGGUGCGUUCUUGAUGGGUGGUCAUCCUUUCAGAUGCCACUCGUUGUGGAGCUCUCUGGUUUACCGGUGUCACUGCAAUCUCAAUCAAAUAAUUUUGAACAACAUAGAGGCCAAGGUUCCUAAUGAGAUAAACUUGCAAUAACAUGAUUACUAUCAACAUAGAGGCCAAGUGAAAACAGGGGUAAAAUCUAUCAAGGCAUAGACUAUAGAUAAACUUGCAAUAACAUGAUUACUAAUGAGGAACUCGUCACAUAGUCACUUGCUUUAGCAGUGGGUAAGCCAUAAAAUAAAGAUAAUGAAAUAUAAGCUCAUGGGUAAAUAACACAGCGAUUAGAAAUAGACUACUCCACAUAAAUGUAAGCUGAUGUCGGAUUAGCUAGAGAAUGGAUUUUGAGUAUCUACUAUCUACUAAGUCACAAUCUACUCUAGUUAUCUACAAGAUCAUAUAUAGCAUAAAAGACUCUUUAUUCAUGUAUAAGGAACAUUGCUAAAGAAAAUCAGAACAUAGCAAGACUUACUCCGUAGUACAAAUUCUGCCUGUCCUAUCAACGGAGGGUGGACUAUAUAAGUAUCAAUGAAGCUAUCACCAUCGCGAACUACCACACGACCCGACCAAUAGGAUACAUUUGUAGGUAAAUAAUAUCUAAGCACCACGCCCACAUAUGAUCUACCACUUAACUCCCUCGAGUCAAGAGCGAAGCGCUUUGCAAACUUAUACAUAAACUCAUUAUCAAUCAUAACUAUAUCAAAUAUAGAACUAGAGCAAACUAAGAACAUAAUAAAUAGAGACAUAAUGCAAUUAGAAUAAAGUAGUAGAGAAAGAUAUGAAAUAAUACCAAUCUUUAUUGAUGAAGAUCCGAAAUCUAGAGCGCUAGGCUCUACUUCUCUAAUUGUAUCUAAUCAAUCCUAAAGAACUCGAAGGAAUUGGGAGUAGCUAGUUCCUAAACCCUAACUUUGAUGGCUUCCUCUGAUAAUGAUUUCUCCUCCCCCCUUGGGUGGAGAGGCCUUGCUUAUAUAGCGCCCUCAGAUGAAUUUGGGCCGUCGGAUCAAACCGACAUUAAUCGCAUGGUUAUUCUUGAAGAUUAAAGGCGGUGGAGCACGAUCCAGGAGACGGAGCCUGAUUGGCUGCUGCAGGUGGGCGGGCGCCCUGCCCCCGGGCCCGUUCGGCCUCUUGUUCGUUCCCGUGGCUUCACCUUUGGCGUAAUAAUUAAAAUUCGCCUUCGUUCGUUCCCCCGGGCCCAUUCGGACUCUAACAUUAACUAACCAGCAACAAGACCUCGACUAGGACGCAAACUCAACACUGUGGACUCUGAAACUAAAAUAUACAAAGGCUAUGGCGUGGAAGGGUCGUAGGACAGGAAAACGAUAUGGCACUGGACUUAUGGGACGAACACAAUAACACUCGAAACUAAGUGUAGAUGUGAAUCUAACCGUAUACCUGAAGCUUUGAUUACCGCUUGAUGAGAACGAGGGUGACCUGAUCUUCCGAAAGGUUUUGGUAACUCUCGGUUUGGUGGAGACGAGACACAAAUUGGUCCGGCUUACGAACAACACGAUCCGACACCAAGCAAUUUUUUAUUUAUUUGAUAUUUUUCUUUUACUUAGGAGCACUGAAGAACUAACCACAGAAAAUAUGAGGUUAAAAAGGUUAUAGUAACCACAUGAUAAGAACAAGGGUGGCCCGAUCUUCCAAAAGGUUAUAGUAACUCUCGACUUGGUGGAGACAAGACACAAAUCGAUCCGGCUUCCGAACAACACGAUGUGAAACCCUGUAAUUUUUUUUAAUUUUUUGAUAAUUUUCUUUUACUUAGAAUCACUAAAGAAGUAACCACAGAAAAUUUAAGAUUAAACAAGAGAAAGGCGUGGCCUGUGGAAUUUUGUGAAGAUUGCCAAAAAUGUGAAAAAAAACUUCACGAGGUGAAAAACUCCAACUUCGGAGGUGAAUUUAGAGACUACAAAACUUUCAAACCCGCCAAUUGCAAGGACAGACAGAUCUGAAAUUUUUUCUGAUCGAUUUUGAUAUAUGGAACAUUGAAAUCGUAGUUCGUAUGUGAAAGUUAUGGCUAUUUUACGAACGGACUCCGAAUUAGAGGACAAAACGGGCCGAAAGUGAGAAAAAUUUGCGGCGGUGGCUACAAAUCGAUGGAAACGGUGGGGAAAACACAUGAACUGGGCUCUAACAAGACCUAACCAACAACAAGACCUCGACCAGGACACAAACUCGACACUACGGACUCUGAAACUGAAAUAUGCAAAGGCUAUGGCGCGGAAUGGUUGUAGGACAAGAAAACGAUAUGGCACUGGACUUAUCGGACGAACACAAGAACACUCGAAUAAGGGUAGAUGUGAACCUAACGGUAUACCUGAAGCUUUGAUUACCACUUGAAAAGAAUAAGGGUGGCCCGAUCUUCCAAAAGGUUAUGGUAACUCUCGAUUUGGUGGAGAUGAGACACAAAUCGAUCCGGCUUCCGAAUAACACGAUCCGAAACCCUACAAUUUUUUUUAUUUUUUUGAUAUUUUUAAUUUACUUAGGUGCACUAAAUAAGUAACUAUAGAAAAUUUGAGCUUAAACAAGUGAAAGACGUGGCCUGCGGAAUUUUCUGAAGAUUGCAAAAAAUGUGAAAAAAACUUCACGAGGUGAAAACUCAAACUUCGGAGAGGAAUUUGGAGAUUAUAAAAUUUUCAAACCCAUCAAUGGCAAGGACAGACAGAUCCAAAAUUUUUUCUAAUCGAUUUUGAUAUAUGGAACGUUGAAAUCGAAAAUCGUAUGCGAAAGUUAUGGUAGUUUUACGAACGGACUCUGAAUUAGAGGACAAAACGGUCCGAAAGUGGGAAAAAUUUGCAGCGGUGGCUAGAAAUUGAUGGAAACGGUGAGGAAAACACAAGAACUGGACUCUAACAAGACCUAACCAGCAACAAGACCUCGAGCAGGACACAAACUCAACACUGCGGUCUUUGAAACUAAAAUAUGCAAAGGCUGUGGUGUGGAAGGGUUGUUGGACUUAUGGGACGAACACAAGAACACUCGAAACUAAGGGUAGAUGUGAACCUAAUGGUAUACCUGGAGCUUUGAUUACCACUUGAUGAGAACAAGGGUGACCCGAUCUUCCGAAAGGUUAUGAUAACUCUCGGUUUGGUGGAGACGAGACACAAACUCAUCCGGCUUUCAAACAACACGAUCUGAAACUCUGCAAUUUUUAUUAUUUUUUUGAUAUUUUUCUUUUACUUAGGAGCAGUAAAGAACUAAUUAUAGAAAAUUUGAGCUUAAACAAGUGAAAGACAUGGCCUGCGGAAUUUUCUGAAAAUUGUGAAAAAUGUGAAAAAAACAUCACGAGGUGAAGACUCAAACUUCGGAGGCAAAUUUUCAAACCAGCCAGAGGCAGCAACAGACAGAUCUGAAAUUUUUUUUGAUUGAUUUUGAUAUAUGGAAUGUUGAAAUCGGAGUUCGUAUGUGAAAAUUAUGGUUAUUUUACGAACGGACUCCGAAUUAGAGAACAAAACGGUCCGAAAGUGAAAAAAAUUUGCGGCGGUUUCUAGAAAUUGAUGGAAACGGUGGGGAAAAAUACACGAACUAGAUCUAACAAGACAUAACCAGCAACAAGACCUCGACCAGGACACAAACUAAAAACUGCGAAGUCUCAAAUUGAAAUAUGCAAAGGCUAUGGCGCGGAAGGGUUGUAGGACAGGAAAAUGAUAUGACACUGGACUUAUGGGACGAACACAAGAACACUCGAAACUAAAGGUAGAUGUAAAACCAACGGUAUACAUGAAGCUUUGAUUACCACUUGAUGAGAACAAGGGUGGCCUGAUCUUCCGAAAGGUUCUGGUACUCUCGAUUUGGUCGAGACGAGACACAAAUCGAUCCGGCUUCCGAACAACACGAUCUGAAACCCUGCAAAUUUUUUUUUAUUUUUUUGAUAUUUUUCUUUUACUUUGGAGCACUAAAGAAGUAACCACAGAAAAUUUGAGCUUAAACAAGUGAAAGACGUGGCCUGUGGAAUUUUCUGAAGAUUGCAAAAAAUGUGAAAAAAAAUCACAAGGCGAAAAACUCAAACUUCAGGGGCGAAUUUGGAGAUUAUAAAAUUUUCAAACCCGCCAAUGGCGAGGACAGACUGAUCCGAAAUUUUUUUUUGAUUGAUUUUGAUAUAACGGUAUACCUGAAGCUUUGAUUACCACUUGAUGAGAACAAGGUUGACCCGAUCUUCAGAAAGGUUAUGAUAACUCUCGGUUUGGUUGAGACGAGACACAAAUCGAUCCGGCUUUCAAACAACACGAUUCGAAAGUCUGCAUUUUUUAUUUUUUUGAUAUUUUUCUUUUACUUAGGAGCACUAAAGAACUAACCAUAGAAAAUUUGAGCUUAAACAAGUGAAAGACGUGGCCUGCGGAAUUUUAUGAAGAUUGCAAAAAAUGUGAAAAAACUUCACGAGGUGAAAACUCAAACUUCGGAGGCAAAUUUGGAGCUUCCAAAAUUUUCAAACCCGCCAGUGGUAGGGACAGGCAGAUCCAAAUUUUUUUUCUCAUCGAUUUUGAUAUAUGGAACAUUGAAAUCGGAGUUCGUACGUGAAUGUUAUGGCUAUUUUACGAACGGACUUCGAAUAAGAGAACAAAACGGUCCAAAAGUGGGAAAAUUUGCGGCGGUGGCUAGAAAUUGAUGGAAACGGUGGGGAAAAACACACGAACUAGACUCUAACAAGACCUAACCAGCAACAAGACCUCGACUAGGACACAAACUCAACACUACGGACUCUGAAACGGAAAUAUGCAAAGGCUAUGCGCGGAACGGUUGUAGGACAAGAAAACGAUAUGGCACUGGACUUAUGGGACGAACACAAUAACACUCGAAACUAAGGGUAGAUGUGAAACCAACGGUAUACAUGAAGCUUUGAUUACCAUUUGAGGAGAACAAGGGUGGUCUGAUCUUCCGAAAGGUUCUGGUACUCUCGAUUUGGUCGAGACGAGACACUAAUCGAUCCGGCUUCCGAACAACACGAUCUGAAACCCUGCAAUUUUUAUUAUUUUUUGAUAUUUUUCUUUUACUUAGGAGUACUAAAGAAGUAACCACAGAAAAUUUGAGCUUAAACAAGUGAAAGACGUGGCCUGCAGAAAUUUCUGAAGAUUGCAAAAAAUGUGAAAAAAAAAUCACGAGGCGAAAAACUCAAAAUUCAUGGGCGAAUUUGGAGAUUAUAAAAUUUUCAAACCCGCCAAUGGCGAGGACAGACUGAUCCGAAAUUAUUUUUUGAUUGAUUUUGAUAUAUGGAACGUUGAAAUCGGAGUUCGUAUGCGAAAGUUAUGGCUGUUUUAUGAACGGACUCCGAAUUAGAGGACAAAACUGUCCAAAAGUGGGAAAAAUUUGCGGCGGUGGCUAUAAAUUGAUUGAAAUGGUGGGGAAAAACACACGAACUGGACUCUAACAAGACCUAACCAGCAAUAACACCUCGACCAGGACACAAACUCGACACUGCGGACUCUGAAACUGAAAUAUGCAAAGGCUAUGGCGCGGAAGGGUUGUAGGACAAGAAAACGAUAUGGACUCGACUUAUGGGACGAACACAAGAACACUCGAAACUAAGGGUAGAUGUGAACCUAACGGUAUACCUGAAGCUUUGAUUACCACUUGAUGAGAACAAGGGUGACCCGAUCUUCAGAAAGGUUAUGAUAACUCUCGGUUUGGUGGAGACGACACACAAAUCGAUCCGGCUUUCAAACAACACGAUAUGAAACUCUGCAAUUUUUUUUUAUUUUUUGAUAUUUUUCUUUUACUUAGGAGCACUAAAGAACUAACCAUAGAAAAUUUGAGCUUAAACAAGUGAAAGACGUGGCCUGCGGAAUUUUCUGAAAAUUGUGACAAAUGUGAAAAAAACAUCACGAGGUGAACACUCAAACUUCGGAGGCAAAUUUGGAGAUUCUAAAAUUUUCAAACCAGCCAGAAGCAGGAACAGACAGAUCUGAAAUUUUUUUCUGAUUGAUUUUGAUAUAUGGAACGUUGAAAUCGGAGUUCGUAUGCGAAAGUUAUGGUUAUUUUACGAACGGACUCCGAAUUAGAGAACAAAACGGUCCGAAAGUGGAAAAAAUUUGCGGCGGUGGCUAGAAAUUGAUGGAAAUGGUGGGGAAAAAUACACGAACUAGACUCUAAUAAGACCUAACCAGCAACAAGACCUCGACCAGGACACAAACUCAAAACUGCGGAGUCUCAAAUUGAAAUAUGCAAAGGCUAUGGCGCGAAAGGGUUGUAGGACAGGAAAAUGACAUGACACUGGACUUAUGGGACGAACACAAGAACACUCGAAACUAAGGGUAGAUGUGAAACCAACAGUAUACAUGAAGCUUUGAUUACCAUUUGAUGAGAACAAUGGUGGCCUGAUCUUCCGAAACGUUCUGGUACUCUCGAUUUGGUCGAGACGAGACACAAAUCGAUCCGACUUCCGAACAACACGAUCUGAAACUCUGCAAUUUAUUUUUAUUUUUUGAUAUUUUCUUUUACUUAGGAGCACUAAAGGAGUAACCAUAGAAAAUUUGAGCUUAAACAAGUGAAAGACGUAGCCUGCAGAAAUUUCUGAAGAUUGCAAAAAAUGUGAAAAAAAAUCACGAGGCGAAAAACUCAAACUUCAGGGGCAAAUUUGGCGAUUAUAAAAUUUUCAAACCCACUGUUGGUGGGUACAGAUAGAUCCAAAAAAUUUUCUGAUCGAUUUUGAUAUAUGGAACGUUGAAAUCGGAGUUCAUAUGCGAAAGUUAUGGCUGUUUUACGAACGGACUACGAAUUAGAGGACAAAACGGUCCGAAAGUGGGAACAAUUUGCGGCGGUGGCUAGAAAUUGAUGGAAACGGUGGAGAAAAACACAUGAACUGGACUCUAACAAGACCUAACCAGCAACAAGACCUCGACCAGGACACAAACUCAACACUGCACACUCUAAAACUCAAAUAUGCAAAGGCUAUGGCGCGGAAGGGUUGUAGGACAGGAAAAUGAUGUGGCACUGGACUUAUGGGACGAACACAAGAACACUCGAAACUAAGGGUAGAUAUGAACCUAACGGUAUACCUGAAGCUUUGAUUUCCACUUGAUGAGAACAAGGGUGGCCAGAUCUUCCGAAAGGUUAUGGUAACUCUCGGUUUGGUGGAGACAAGACACAAAUCGAUCCGGCUUUCGAACAACACGAUCCGAAACUCUGCAAUUUUUUUAUUUUUUUGAUAUUUUUCUUUUACUUAGGAGCUCUAAAGAAGUAACCACAGAAAAUUUGAGCUUAAACAAGUGAAAGACGUGGCCUGCAGAAUUUUCUGAAGAUUGCAAAAAAUGUGAAAAAAAAUUCACGAGGUGAAAAACUCAAACUUCGGGAGCGGAUUUGGAGAUUAUAAAAUUAUCAAACCCGCCUAUCGCGAGGACAGACAGAUCUGAAUUUUUUUGAUCAAUUUUUAUAUAUGGAACAUUGAAAUCGGAGUUCGUACGCGAAAGUUAUGCCUGUUUUAUGAACGGACUCCGAAUUAGAGGACAAAACUGUCCGAAAGUGCGAAAAAUUUGCGGCGGUGGCUACAAAUUGAUUGAAAUGGUGAAGAAAAACACAUGAACUGGACUCUAACAAGACCUAACCAGCAAUAAGACCUCGACCAGGACACAAACUCCACACUGCGGACUCUGAAACUAAAAUAAGCAAAGGCUAUGGCGCACAAGGGUUGUAGGACAAGAAAACGAUAUGGACAGGACUUAUGGGACGAAUACAAGAACACUCAAAACUAAGAGUAGAUAUGAACCUAACGGUAUACAUGAAGCUUUGAUUUCCACUUGAUGAGAACAAGGGUGGCCCGAUCUUCCGAAAGGUUAUGGUAACUCUCGGUUUGGUGGAGACGAGACACAAAUCGAUUCGUCUUUCAAACAACACGAUCCGAAACUCUGCAAUUUUUUUAUUUUUUUGAUAUUUUUCUUUUAGUUAGGAGCACUAAACAACUAACCAUAGAAAAUUUGAGCUUAAACAAGUGAAAGACGUGGCUUGGGGAAUUUUCUAAAGAUUGCAAAAAAUGUGAAAAAAAACUUCACGAGGUGAAAACUCAAACUUCGGAGGCGAAUUUGGAGCUUCAAAAAUUUUCAAACCCACCAAUGGCAAGGACAGACAGAUCCGAAUUUUUUUCUGAUCGAUUUUGAUAUAUGGAACAUUGACAUCGAAGAUCGUAUGCGAAAGUUAUGGAAGUUUUACGAACGGACUCCGAAUUAGAGGACAAAACGGUCGGGAAGUGGGAAAAAUUUGUGGCGGUGGCUAGAAAUUGAUGGAAACGGUGGGGAAAACACACGAACUAGACUCUAACAAGACCUAACCAGCAACAAGACCUCGACUAGGACACAAACUCAAAACUGUGGACUUUGAAACUAAAAUAUGCAAAGGCUGUGGCGUGGAAGGGUUGUAGAACAGGAAAACGAUAUGGCAGUGGACUUAUGGGACGAACACAAGAACACUCGGAACUAAAGGUAGAUGUGAACCUAACGGUAUACCUGAAACUUUGAUUACCACUCGAUGAGAACAAGGGUGACCCGAUCUUCCGAAAGGUUAAGAUAACUCUCGGUUUGGUGGAUACGAGACACAAAUCGAUCCGGCUUUCAACAACACAAUUCGAAAGUCUACAUUUUUUUUAUUUUUUUGAUAUUUUUCUUUUAUUUAGGAGCACUAAAGAACUAAGCAUCGAAAAUUUGAGCUUAAACAAGUGAAAGACGUGGCCUGCGGAAUUUUAUGAAGAUUGCAAAAAAUGUGAAAAAAACUUCACGAGGUGAAAACUCAAACUUUGGAGGCAAAUUUGGAGCUUCAAAAAUUUUCAAACCCACGAGUGGUAGGGACAAGCAAAUCCAAAAUUUUUUUCUGAUCGAUUUUGAUAUAUGGAACGUUGAAAUCGGAGUUCGUAUGCGAAAGUUAUGAUUAUUUUACGAACGGACUCCAAAUUAGAGAACAAAACGGUCCGAAAGUGGAAAAAUUUUGCGGCGGUGGCUAGAAAUUGAUGGAAACGGUGGGAAAAAACACACGAACUAGACUCUAACAAUACCUAACCAGCAACAAGACCUCGUCCAGGACACAAACUCAAAACUGCGGACUCUGAAAUUGAAAUAUGCAAAGGCUAUGGCGCGGAAGGGUUGUAGGACACGAAAAUGAUAUGGCACUAGACUUAUGGGACGAACACAAGAACACUCGAAACUAAGGGUAGAUCUGAAACCAACGAUAUACCUGAAGCCUUGACUACCACUUGAUGAGAACAAGGGUGGCCUGAUCUUCCGAAAGGUUCUCGUACUGUCGAUUUGGUCGAGACGAGACACAAAUCGAUCCGGCUUCCGAACAACACGAUCUGAAACCUGUAAUUUUUUCUGAUCGAUUUUGAUAUAUGGAACGUUGAAAUCGGAGUUAGUAUGCAAAAGUUAUGGCUAUUUUACGAACGGACACUGAAUUAGAGUACAAAACGGUCCCAAAGUGGGAAAAAUUUACGGCAGUGGCAAGAAAUUGAUGGAAAUUGUGGGGAAAAUCACACGAACUGGACUCUAAGAAGACCUAACUAGCAACAAGACCUCGACUAGGACACAAACUCAACACUGCGGACUCUAAAACUGAAAUAUUCAAAGGCUAUGGCGCGGAAGGGUUGUAGGACACGAAUACGAUAUGACACUGGACUUAUGGGACGAACACAAGAACACUUGAAACUAAGGGUAGAUGUGAACCUAACGGUAUACCUGAAGUUUUGAUUACCACUUGAUGAGAACAAGUGUGGCCCGAUGUUCCGAAAGGUUCUCGUAACUCUCGAUUUGGUGGACAUGAGACACAAAUCGAUCCGGUUUUCGAACAACACGAUCCAAAACCCUACAUUUUUUUAUUUUUUUGAUAUUUUUCUUUUACUUAGGAGCACUAAAGAGGUAACCAUAGAAAAUUUGAGCUUAAACAAGUGAAAGACGUGGCCUCUGGAAUUUUCUGAAGAUUGCGAAAAAUGUGAAAAAAACUUCACGAGGAGAAAACUCAAUCUUCGGAGGCGAAUUUGGAGAUUAUAAAAUUUUCAAACCCACCAAUGGUAGGGACAGACAGAUCCAAAAUUUUUUCUGAUCGAUUUUGAUAUAUGGAACGUUGAAAUCAGAGUCCGUAUGCGAAAGUUCUGGUUGUUUUAUGAACGGACUCCGAAUUAGAGGACAAAACGGUCCGAAAGUGGGAAAAAAUUGCGGCUGUGCCUACAAAUUGAUUGAAAUGGUGGAAAAAACACAUGAAUUGGACUCUAACAUUUUCUAACCAGCAACAAGACCUCGACCAGGACACAAACUCAACACUGCGGACUCCAAAACUGAAAUAUGCAAAGGCUAUGGCGCGGAAGGGUUGUAGGACAGGAGAACGAUAUGGCAUUGGACUUAUGGGAUGAACACAAUAACACUCGAAACUAAGGGUAGAUGUGAACCUAACGGUAUACCUGAAGCUUUGAUUACCACUUGAUGAGAACAAGGGUGGCCCGAUCGUCCAAAAGGUUAUGAUAACUCUCGAUUUGGUGGAGACGAGACCCAAAUCAAUCCGGCUUCCGAACAACACGAUCUGAAACCCUAUAAUUUUUGUUAUUUUUUUGAUAUUUUUUUUACACAGCAGCACUAAAGGAGUAACCACAGAAAAUCUGAGCUUACACAAGUAAAAUUUGAGCUUACACAAGUGAAAGACAUAGCCUGCGGAAUUUUCUGAAUAUUGUGAAAAAUGUGAAAAAACUUCACGAGGUGAAAACUCAAACUUCGAAGGCGAAUUUGGAGAUUAUAAAAUUUUCAAACCCACCAAUGGCGGGGACAGACAGAUCGAAAAAAUUUUCUGAUCGAUUUUUAUAUAUAGAACGUUGAAAUCGGAGUUAGUACGUGAAAGUUAUGGCUGUUUUACGAACGGACUACGGAUUAGAGGACAAAACGGUCCGAAAGUGGGAAAAAUUUGCGACGUUGGCUAGAAAUUGAUGGAAACGGUGGGGAAAGACACAUGACCUGGACUCUAACAAGACCUAACUAGCAACAAGACCUCGAAAUCGGAGUUCGUAUGCGAAAGUUAUGGCUGUUUUAUGAACGGACUCCGAAUUAGAGGACAAAACUGUCCAAAAGUGGGAAAAAUUUGUGGCGGUGGCUAUAAAUUGAUUGAAAUGGUGGGGAAAAACACACGAACUGGACUCUAACAAGACCUAACCAGCAAUAACACCUCGACCAGGACACAAACUCGACACUGCGGACUCUGAAACUGAAAUAUGCAAAGGCUAUGGCGCGGAAGGGUUGUAGGACAAGAAAACGAUAUGGACUCGACUUAUGGGACGAACACAAGAACACUCGAAACUAAGGGUAGAUGUGAACCUAACGGUAUACCUGAAGCUUUGAUUACCACUUGAUGAGAACAAGGGUGACCCGAUCUUCAGAAAGGUUAUGAUAACUCUCGGUUUGGUGGAGACGAGACACAAAUCGAUCCGGCUUUCAAACAACACGAUACGAAACUCUGCAAUUUUUUUUUAUUUUUUUGAUAUUUUUCUUUUACUUAGGAGCACUAAAGAACUAACCAUAGAAAAUUUGAGCUUAAACAAGUGAAAGACGUGGCCUGCGGAAUUUUCUGAAAAUUGUGACAAAUGUGAAAAAAACAUCACGAGGUGAAGACUCAAACUUCGGAGGCAAAUUUGGAGAUUCUAAAAUUUUCAAACCAGCCAGAAGCAGGAACAGACAGAUCUGAAAUUUUUUUCUGAUUGAUUUUGAUAUAUGGAACGUUGAAAUCGGAGUUCGUAUGCGAAAGUUAUGGUUAUUUUACGGACGGACUCCGAAUUAGAGAACAAAACGGUCCGAAAGUGGAAAAAAAUUGCGGCGGUGGCUAGAAAUUGAUGGAAAUGGUGGGGAAAAAUACACGAACUAGACUCUAACAAGACCUAACCAGCAACAAGACCUCGACCAGGACACAAACUCAAAACUGCGGAGUCUCAAAGUGAAAUAUGCAAAGGCUAUGGCGCGAAAGGGUUGUAGGACAGGAAAAUGACAUGACACUGGACUUAUGGGACGAACACAAGAACACUCGAAACUAAGGGUAGAUGUGAACCUAACGGUAUAUCUAAAGCUUUUAUUACCACUUGAUGAGAACAAGGGUGGCCCGAUCGUCCAAAAGGUUAUGAUAACUCUCGAUUUGGUGGAGACGAGACACAAAUCAAUCCGGCUUCCGAACAACACGAUCUGAAACCCUACAAUUUCUUUUAUUUUUUUUGAUAUUUUUAUUUUACUUAGGAGCACUAAAGAAGUAACCACAGAAAAUUUGAGCUUAAACAAGUGAAAGACGUGGCCUGCGGAAUUCUCUGAAGAUUGCGAAAAAUGUGAAAAAAACUUCACAAGGUGAAAACUCAAACAUCAGAGGUGAAUUUGGAGAUUAUAAACUUUUCAAACCCACUGUUGGUGGGUACAGAUAGAUCCAAAAAAAUUUUCUGAUCGAUUUUGAUAUAUGGAACGUUGAAAUCGGAGUUCAUAUGCGAAAGUUAUGGCUGUUUUACGAACGGACUACGAAUUAGAGGACAAAAUGGUCCGAAAGUGGGAAAAAUUUGCGGCGGUGGCUAGAAAUUGAUGGAAACGGUGGAGAAAAACACAUGAACUGGACUCUAACAAGACCUAACCAGCAACAAGACCUCGACCAGGACACAAACUCAACACUGCGGACUCUGAAACUGAAAUAUGCAGAGGCUAUGGCGCGGAAGGGUUGUAGGACAGGAAAACGAUGUGGCACUGGACUUAUGGGACGAACACAAGAACACCCGAAACUAAGGGUAGAUAUGAACCUAACGGUAUACCUCAAGCUUUGAUUACCACUUGAUGAGAACAAGGGUUGUCCGAUCUUCCAAAAGGUUCUGGUAACUCUCGAUUUUGUGGAGACGAGGCACAAAUCGAUCCGGCUUCCGAACAACACGAUCUGAAACCAUGCAAGUUUUUUUUUUAUUUUUUUGAUAUUUUUCUUUUAUUUAGGAGCACUAAAGAAGUAACCACAGAAAUUUGAGCUUAAACAAGUGAAAGACGUGGCCUGCGGAAUUCUCUGAAGAUUGCGAAAAAUGUGAAAAAAACUUUACGAGGUGAAAACUCAAACUUCGGUGGUGAAUUUGGAGAUUAUAAAAUUUUCAAACCCCCCAAAGGCGGGGACAGACAGAUCCAAAAAAAUUUUCUCAUCGAUUUUGAUAAAUGGAACGUUGUAAUCGGAGUUCAUAUUCGAAAGUUAUGGCUGUUUUACGAACGGACUCCGUAUUAGAGGACAAAACGGUCCGAAAGUGGGAAAAAAUUGCAGCGGUGGCUAGAAAUUGAUGGAAACGGUGCGGAAAAACACAUAAACGGGACUCUAACAAGACCUAACCAGCAACAAGACCUCGACCAGGACACAAACUCAACACUGCGAACUCUGAAACUGAAAUAUGCAAAGGCUAUGGCGCGGAAGGGUUGUAGGACACGAAAACGAUAUGGCACUGGACUUAUGGGACGAACACAAGAACACCCAAAACUAAGGGUAGAUGUGAACAUAACGGUAUACCUCAAGCUUUGAUUACCACUUGAUGAGAACAAGGGUGGUCCGAUCUUCCGAAAGGUUCUGGUAACUCUCGAUUUGGUGGAGACGAGGCACAAAUCGAUCCGGCUUCCGAACAACAUGAUCUGAAACCAUGCAAGUUUUUUUUAUUUUUUUUUUGAUAUUUUUAUUUUACUUAGGAGCACUAAAUAAGUAACCACAGAAAAUUUGAGCUUAAACAAGUGAAAGACGUGGCCUGCGGAAUUCUCUGAAGAUUGCAAAAAAUGUGAAAAAAACUUCACGAGGUGAAAACUCAAACUUCUGUGGUGAAUUUGGAGAUUAUAAAAUUGUCAAGCAACCCAAAGGCAGGGACAGACAGAUCCAAAAAAAUUUUCUCAUCGAUUUUGAUAUAUGGAACGUUGUAAUCGGAGUUCAUAUGCGAAUGUUAUGGCUGUUUUACGAACGGACUCCGAAUUAUAGGACAAAACGGUCUGAAAGUGGAAAAAAUUUGCGGCGGUGGCUAGAAAUUGAUGGAAACAGUGGGGAAAAACACAUGAACUAGACUCUAACAAGACCUAACCAGCAACAAGACCUCGACCAGGACACAAACUCAACACUGCGGACUGUGAAACUGAAAUAUGCAAAGGCUAUAGUGUGGAAGGUUUAUAGGACAGGAAAACGAUAUGGCACUGGACUUAUGGGACGAACACAAGAGCACUCGAAACUAAGUCUAGAUGUGAACCUAACGGUAUACCUGAAGCUUUGAUUACCACUUGAUGAGAACAAGGGUGGCCCGAUCUUCUGAAAGGAUCUGGUAACUCUCGAUUUGGUGGAGACGAGACACAAAUCGAUCCGGCUUCCGAACAACACGAUCUGAAACCCUGCAAUUUUUUUUUAUUUUUUUUGAUAUUUUUCAUUUACUUAGGAGCACUAAACAAGUAACCAUAGAAAAUUUGAGCUUUAACAAGUGAAAGACGUGGCCUGAGGAAUUUUCGGAAAAUUGCGAAAAAUGUGAAAAAAACUUCACAAGGUGAAAACUCAAACAUUGGAGGGGAAUUUGGAGACUCUAAAAUUUUCAAACCCACCAAAUGCAGGGACAUACAGAUCAAAAAAAAAAUUUUGAUCGAUUUUGAUAUAUGGAACGUUGAAAUCAGAGUUCGUAUGCGAAAGUUAUGGCUGUUUUACGAACGGACUCCGAAUUAGAGGACAAAACGGUUCGAAAGUGGAAAAAUUUUGUGGCGGUGACUAGAAAUUGUUGGAAACGGUGGGGAAAAACACAUGAACUGGACUCUAACAAGACCUAACUAGCAACACGACCUCGACCAGGACACAAACUCAACACUGCGGACUCUAAAACUGAAAUAUGCAAAUGCUAUGGCGCGGAAGGGUUGUGGGACACGAAAACAACAUGGCACUGGACUUUUUUUAUGGGACGAACACAAGAACACUCAAAACUAAGGGUAGAUGUGAACAUAACGGUAUACCUGAAGCUUUGAUUACCACUUGAUGAUUACAAGGGUGGCCCGGUCUUCCGAAAAGUUCUGGUAACUCUCGAUUUGGUGGAGAUGAGGCACAAAUCGAUUCGGCUUCCGAACAACACGAUCUGAAACCCUACAAGUUUUUUUUAUUUUUUUGAUAUAUUUAUUUUACUUAGGAGCACUAAAGAAGUAACCAUAGAAAAUUUGAGCUUAAACAAGUGAAAGACGUGGCCUGCGGAAUUCUCUGAAGAUUGUGAAAAAUGUGAAAAAAACUUCACAAGGUGAAAACUCAAACAUCAGAGGCGAAUUUGGAGAUUAUAAACUUUUCAAACCCACUGUUGGUGGGUACAGAUAGAUCCAAAAAAAUUUUAUGAUCGAUUUUGAUAUAUGGAACGUUGAAAUCGGAGUUCAUAUGCGAAAGUUAUGGCUGUUUUACGAACGGACUACGAAUUAGAGGACAAAACGGUCCGAAAGUGGGAAAAAUUUGCGGCGGUGGCUAGAAAUUGAUGGAAACGGUGGAGAAAAACACAUGAACUGGACUCUAACAAGACCUAACCAGCAACAAGACCUCGACCAGGACACAAACUCAACACUGCGGACUCUGAAACUGAAAUAUGCAGAGGCUAUGGCGCGGAAGGGUUGUAGGACAGGAAAACGAUGUGGCACUGGACUUAUGGGACGAACACAAGAACACCCGAAACUAAGGGUAGAUAUGAACCUAACGGUAUACCUCAAGCUUUGAUUACCACUUGAUGAGAACAAGGGUGGUCAGAUCUUCCAAAAUGUUCUGGUAACUCUCGAUUUGGUGGAGACGAGGCACAAAUCGAUCCGGCUUCCGAACAACACGAUCUGAAACCAUGCAAGUUUUUUUUUAUUUUUUUGAUAUUUUUCUUUUAUUUAGGAGCACUAAAGAAGUAACCACAGAAAUUUGAGCUUAAACAAGUGAUAGACGUGGCCUGCGGAAUUCUCUGAAGAUUGCGAAAAAUGUGAAAAAAACUUCACGAGGUGAAAACUCAAACUUCGGUGGUGAAUUUGGAGAUUAUAAAAUUGUCAAACCCCCCAAAGGCGGGGACAGACAGAUCCAAAAAAAUUUUCUCAUCGAUUUUGAUAAAUGGAACGUUGUAAUCGGAGUUCAUAUUCGAAAGUUAUGUUGUUUUACGAACGGACUCCGAAUUAGAGGACAAAACGGUCCGAAAGUGGGAAAAAUUUGCAGCGGUGGCUAGAAAUUGAUGGAAACGGUGCGGAAAAACACAUAAACGGGACUCUAACAAGACCUAACCAGCAACAAGACCUCGACCAGGACACAAACUCAACACUGCGAACUCUGAAACUGAAAUAUGCAAAGGCUAUGGCGCGGAAGGGUUGUAGGACACGAAAACGAUAUGGCACUGGACUUAUGGGACGAACACAAGAACACCCAAAACUAAGGGUAGAUGUGAACAUAACGGUAUACCUCAAGCUUUGAUUACCACUUGAUGAGAACAAGGGUGGUCGGAUCUUCCGAAAGGUUCUGGUAACUCUCGAUUUGGUGGAGACGAGGCACAAAUCGAUCCGGCUUCCGAACAACAUGAUCUGAAACCAUGCAAGUUUUUUUUAUUUUUUUUGAUAUUUUUCUUUUACUUAGGAGCACUAAAUAAGUAACCACAGAAAAUUUGAGCUUAAACAAGUGAAAGACGUGGCCUGCGGAAUUCUCUGAAGAUUGCAAAAAAUGUGAAAAAAACUUCACGAGGUGAAAACUCAAACUUCUGUGGUGAAUUUGGAGAUUAUAAAAUUGUCAAACAACCCAAAGGCAGGGACAGACAGAUCCAAAAAAAUUUUCUGAUCGAUUUUGAUAUAUGGAACGUUGUAAUCGGAGUUCAUAUGCGAAUGUUAUGGCUGUUUUACGAACGGACUCCGAAUUAGAGGACAAAACGGUCUGAAAGUGGAAAAAAUUUGCGGCGGUGGCUAGAAAUUGAUGGAAACAGUGGGGAAAAACACAUGAACUAGACUCUAACAAGACCUAACCAGCAACAAGACCUCGACCAGGACACAAACUAAACACUGCGGACUCUAAAACUGAAAUAUGCAGAGGCUAUGGCGCGGAAGGGUUGUAGGACAGGAAAACGAUAUGGCACUGGACUUAUGGGACGAACACAAGAACUUCCGAACGUAAGGAUAGAUGUGAACCUAAUGGUGUACCUCAAGCUUUGAUUACCACUUGAUGAGAACAAGGGUGGUCCGAUCUUCCGAAAGGUUCUGGUAACUCUCGAUUUGCUGGAGACGAGGCACAAAUCGAUCCGGCUUCCGAACAACACGAUCUGAAACCAUGCAAGUUUUUUUUAUUUUUUUAAUAUUUUUGUUUGACUUAGGAGCACUAAAGAAGUAACCCCAGAAAAUUUGAGCUUAAACAAGUGAAAGACGUGGCCUGCGGAAUUCUCUGAAGAUUGCGAAAAAUGUGAAAAAACUUCACGAGGUGAAAACUCAAACAUCAGAGGUGAAUUUGGAGAUUAUAAAAUUGUCAAACCCGGCAAAGGCGGUGACAGACAGAUCCAAACUUUUUUUAUGAUCGAUUUUGAUAUAUGGAACGUUGAAAUCGGAGUUCAUAUGCGAAAGUUAUGGCUGUUUUACGAACGCACUCCGAAUUAAAGGACAAAACGGUCCGAAAGUGGGAAAAAUUUACGGCGGUGGCUAGAAUUUGAUGAAAACGGUGGGGAAAAACACAUGAACUGGACUCUAACGAGUCCUAACCAGCAACAAGACCUCGACCAGGACACAAACUCCACACUGCGGACUCUAAAACUGAAAUAUGCAAAGGCUAUGGCGCGGAAGGGUUGUAGGACAGGAAAACGAUAUGGCACUGGACUUAUAGGACGAACACAAGAACACUAGAAACUAAGGGUAGAUGUGAACCUAACGGUAUACCUCAAGCUUUGAUUACCACUUGAUGAGAACAAGGGUGGUCCGAUCUUCCGAAAGGUUCUGGUAACUCUCGAUUUGGUGGAGACGAGGCACAAAUCGAUCCGGCUUCCGAACAACACGAUCUGAAACCAUAUAAGUUUUUUUAUUUUUUUGAUAUUUUUCUUUUACUUAGGAGCACUAAAGAAGUAACCAUAGAAAAUUUGAGCUUAAACAAGUGAAAGACGUGGCCAGCGGAAUUCUCUGAAGAUUGCGAAAAAAGUGAAAAAAACUUCACGAGGUGAAAACUCAAACAUCAGAGGUGAAUUUGGAGAUUAUAAAAUUGUCAAACACGCCAAAGGUGGGGACAGACAGAUCCAAUUUUUUUUUCUGAUCGAUUUUGAUUUAUGGAACGUUGAAAUCGGAGAUAUUAUGCGAAAGUUAUGGCUGUUUUACGAACGGACUCCAAAUUAGAGGACAAAACGGUCCGAAAGUGGGAAAAAUUUACAGCGGUUGCUAGAAAUUGAUGGAAACGGUAGGAAAAACACACGAACUGGACUCUAACAAGACCUAACCAGCAAUAAGACCUCGACCAGGACACAAACUCAACACCGUGGACUCUGAAACUGAAAUAUGCACAGGCUAUGGCGCGGAAGGAUUGUAGGACAGGAAAACGAUAUGGCACUAGACAUAUGGGACGAACACAAGAACAAUCGAAACUAAGGAUAGAUGUGAACCUAAUGGUAUACCUGAAGUUUUGAUUACCACUUGAUGAGAAAAAGGGUGGCCCAAUCUUCUGAAAGGUUCUGGUAACUCUCGAUUUGGUGGAGACGAGACACAAAUCGAUCCGGCUUCCGAACAACACGAUCCGAAUCCCUACUUUUUUUAUUUUUUUUGUUAUUUUUGUUUUACUUAGGAGCAUUAAAGAAGAAACCACAAAAAAUUUGAGCUUAAACAAGUGAAAGCCGUUGCUUGCGGAAUUUUCUAAAGAUUGAGAGAAUUGUGAAAAAAAUAUCACGAGGUGAAAACUCAAAGGUCGGAGGCAAAUUUGGAGAUUCUAAAAUUGUCAAACCCGCCAAACGAGGAGACAGAUAGAUCCGAAAUUAUUUUCUGAUCGAUUUUGACAUAUGGAAUGUUGAAAUCUGAGUUCGUGUGUGAAAGUUAUGGCUGUUUUGCAAACGAUCUCCGAAUUAGAGGACAAAACGGUCCGAAAGUGGAAAAAAUUUGUGGCGGUGGCUAGAAAUUGAUGGAAACAGUGGGAAAAUACAAACGAACUAGACUCUAACAAGACCUAACCAGCAACAAAACCUCGACUAGGACACAAACUCAACACUGUGGACUCUGAAACUGAAAUAUGCAAAGGCUAUAGCGCGGAAGGGGUGUAGGAUAGGAAAACGAUAUGGCACUGGACUUAUGAGACGAACACAAGAACACUCGAAACUAGGGGUAGAUUUCAACCUAACCGUAUACCUCAAGCUUUGAUUACCACUUGAUGAGAACAAGGGUGGCCCGAUCUUCCGAAAGGUUCUGGUAACUCUCGAUUUGGUGGAGACGAGACACAAAUCGAUCCGGCUUCCGAACAACACGAUCCAAAACCCUACAAUUUUUUUUAUUUUUUUCAUAUUUUUCUUUUACUUAGGAGCACUAAAAAAGUAACCAUAGAAAAUUUGAGCUUAAACAAGUGAAAGACGUUGCCUGCAGAAUUUUCUGAUGAUUGCGAAAAAUGUGAAAAAAACUUCACGAGGUGAAAACUCAAAGGUCGGAGGCAAAUUUGGAGAUUCUAAAAUUUUCAAACCCGCCAAUGGCUUGGAGAGACAGAUCCAAAGUUUUUUCUGAUCGAUUUUGAUAUAUGGAACAUUGAAAUCGGAGUUCGUAUGCGAAAGCUAUGACUGUUUUACGAACGGACUCUAAAUUAGAGGACAAAAUGGUCCAAAAGUGGGAAAAAAUUGCAGCGGUGGCUAGAAAUUGGUGGAAAUGGUGGAGAAAAACACACGAACUGGACUCUAAUAAGACCUAACCAGCAAUAAGACCUCGACUAGGACACAAACUCAACACUGCGGACUCUGAAACUGAAAUAUGCAAAGGCUAUGGCGCGGAAGGGUUGUAGGACAGGAAAACGAUAUGACACUAGACUUAUGGGACGAACACAAGAACACUCGAAACUAAGGGUAGAUGUGAACUUAACGGUAUACCUGAAGCUUUGAUUACCACUUGAUUCGAACAAGGGUGGCCCAAUCUUCCAAAAGGUUCUGGUAACUCUCGAUUUGGUGGAGACGAGACAUAAAUCGAUGCGGCUUCCAAACAACACAAUCCGAAUCCCCGCUAUUUUUUAUUUUUUUUGAUAUUUUUAUUUUACUUAGGAGCAUUAAAGAAGUAACCACAGAAAAUUUGAGCUUGAACAAGUGAAAUACGUUGCCUACGGAAUUUUCUGAAGAUUGAGAAAAAUGUGAAAAAAACAUCACGAGGUGAAAACUCAAACUUUAGAGGCGAAUUUGGAAAUUAUAAAAUUUUCGAACCCACCAAAGGGGGGACAGACAUAUCCGAAUUUUUUUUCUGAUCGAUUUUGAUAUAUGGAACGUUGAAAUCGGAGUUCGUAUGUGAAAAUUUGCGGCGGUGGCUAGAAAUUGAUGGAAACGGUGGGGAAAAACACACGAACUGGACUCUAACAAGACGUAACCAGCAACAAGACCUUGACUAAGACAUAAACUCAAUUCUGUGGACUCUGAAACUGAAAUAUGCAAAUGCUAUGGCUUGGAAGGGUUGUAGGACAGGAAAAUGAUAUGGCACUGGACUUAUGGGACGAACACAAGAUCACUCGAAACUAGAGGUAUAUGUGAACCAAACGGUAUACCGGAAGCUUUGAUUACCACUUGAUGAGAACAAGGGUGGCCCGAUCUUCCGAAAGGUUCUAGUAACUCUCGAUUUGGUGGAGACGAGACACAAAUCGAUCCGGCUUCCGAACAACACGAUUCGAAACCCUGCAAUUUUUUAUUAUUUUUUUGAUAUUUUUCUUUUACUUAGGAGCACUAAAGAAGUAACCACAGAAAAUUUGAGCUUAAACAAGUGAAAGACGUGGCCUACAAAAUUUUCUGAAGAUUGCAAAAAAUGUGAAAAAACUUUAUGAGGUGAAAACUCAAAAGUCAGAGGCAAAUUUGGAGAUUCUAAAAUUUUCAAACCCGCCAAAGGCAUGGAGAGACAGAUCCGAAGUUUUUUUCUGAUCGAUUUUGAUAUAUCACUACUAACUUCUAACCCUAAUGCAACCAUUUUUUUGGUGCAACAGUGAGAUUUGGUUGCGAAAGGUGGUGUUCUCGCAACCAUUUUCAUUCUUGGUUGCGAUAGAUGGGAUUGUUGCCACCAAAAUUUUGUCGUGGCAAAAAGUAUGAUGGCCGUUGCAAUAAGUGGUUGUUGUCGCAACCAAAUAUAGAAUGGUUGCAAUACUUUGUGACUAUUGCCAUGAUUGGAUUAGCGUUGCAUAGAGUUAUUUUGGCGUUGCAAUACUAAGAUAAUAUUGCAACGUUUUUAUUUGGGUGGUUGCAACAAGUGGCUACUAUUGCAACGCUACGAAUGGUGUUGCAGGGAGUUCUUUUAGUGUUGCAAUACUAAAACGAUAUUGCAACGGUUGUAUUUGGUGGUUGCAAGAAUUGGCUUUUAUUGCCAUGAUAUGUUUUGCGUUGCAAUGAUUCCUUGCGGCAUUGCAAUAGUAAAAUAAUAUUGCAACGCUUUUUAGUUGAUGGUUGCAAUAGUAUACAUAUGUUGCAACAAAUUUAUUUCGUUGUAUGUAAUACUACCUUGCGUUGCAAAAAAUAUAUAUUGCAACUAAAAAUUGUAGUGCUGCAAUACCUAUUAUUUGACAAAAAGACAAAAAAUGAAAAAAAUACUGAGCCUACACAAAUUAAACCUGAGACCUUUUGAUUUAACUAGAUUACAAUAACCAGUUGAACCUCAAUGUGUUUGUGUCUUUACCUUAUAGAAAACACUAUAUUAACGAACGUAAAUAUAUAUAUUAUAAAUAAAGAGAUCUAAAAUUAAUUAACUCUUCAUGUUGUAGUAGACGUCGGACUCCUAUACGGGCGCGCGUGCCCUGACGCGAGCCGCCCUUCAUCCUUGCCCUGGCCGCGCCACGCCGCCACGCAGAGCUCCGUCGACGUCCCUCUCGCAGAAGAGAUCGCAGGUCAGCAAUACAGGUAUGCCGCCCUAACUCGAUCUCGAUCGGCCACCCUGCAGUAGCGAAAGCCGGCGCAAUGCCCUAACGACUCUUGAUCCGUCCCCUGCCCUUCCUUGCAGCUAGUGUCGAGGAACAGCAGGCCUUCCGUCCGUGGACGUCCUUCCAUGCAGCUAGCAUCGAGAAACUGAGGGCAGCAACCAUCACCAACAAUCACAGAGUAUCAGCAAGUAUGUGUAUGCAUGCACGCAUUGUAUAUAAAUAUAUAUAUUAUAUUAUAUAUAUAUUGUAGUAAAAUAAAAUUGGUCGUAACUUUCUGUGUUAAUUUUUACAUAAAUUAAUUAGCCUGAUCCCAUUAAUAAACAUGUUACAGGAAAAUCAAUCUCGAUAUAUUUGGAAUAUUGAAUCAAUGGCACGUGAUGAUGAUUGCCAAUGGAUGUUGUUGUCUCCGUCAACCGCUGAGUGCCAAGAUGGUCUCGAGAAAUUUAUUAGUACUAUUUUUGAAGGUAGCUAUGCAUCUGAAACUGCACCGUGUCCAUGUUCAAGGUGUCGUAACGUCGUGUACAAGACAAAAAAAGAGGUUCAGAUGGACUUGCUAACUAAAGGGUUUGAUGAGAACUUUGUCAAAGAGAAAGCUAAAGCUGAACCUUGCAAUGAUGAUAGGGAUCUAGCAGUCACAAGAGAUGAUGCAUCAUGUGCCAGCAAUCUGGUGUUCGCGUUAAUUAGGGGUGCAAACAAUGGUAAUGAUGAAGAGCCAAAUGAGAGUGCAAAGAAAUUCUUUGAAUUGUUGAAAGAAGCACAACAAGAGCUGUAUCCAGGUUGCUCCAAUCUUAGCAAGGUUUCAUUCAUGGUUAGGCUCUUUCAACUUAAGUGCAUGGGUGGAUGGAGUAAUGAGAACGCAGAGCAAACACUUAAGUUGUUCUCGGAUGCACUACCCCCGGGACAUUGUCUCCCUAACACUAUCAAGAAAGCACAAAAGAUUAUUCGCGACCUUGGCCUCACAUAUGUUAACAUUGAUGCUUCUGUGAAUGAUUGUGUGUUAUUUCGUGGACCAUUUGCCGAUAAGGACACAUGUCCCAUAUGUCAUGAGAGUAGGUGGAUGAAGGAUGACACUAGCGAGUCUAGUGAAAGUGGUGGACCGAAGCGCAGCUCCUUGCAAAAUUCUAAGGUAUUUUCCACUUGUUCCUAGAUUGCAAAGAUUAUAUAUGUCAUAGGAAACAUCAUCAUUGAUGCGGUGGCACAAGGAAGAAUUGAUCAGUGAUGGGAAAAUGUGGCACCCAGCAGACUCGCCAGCAUGGAAGCACGUCGAUCAAAGGUAUAAGAAAUUUGCUUCGGAUCCACGUAAUGUUAGGCUAGGACUUGCAUCGGAUGGCUUCAAUCCGUUUGGUAUGUUGAAUGUUAAUUACUCUUGUUGGCCUGUGAUAUUGAUUCCUUAUAACCUGCCUCCUUAGUUGUGUUUAAAACAACCUUAUUGGAUGAUGUCCAUGUUGAUACCUGGGCCUAAAUCUCCUAGAGUGAACAUUGAUGUAUAUUUGAACCUCUAAUUGAUGAGCUACAUGACCUGUGGGUUAAGGAGUUGAGACAUGGGAUGAGAAGGAGAAGAAGAACUUUACUCUACAUGCAAUUCUGUUGUGGACAAUUAAUGAUUUUCAUGCAUAUGCAAUGUUAUCUCGUUGGAGCACAAAAGGUAAAUUUUCAUGCCCUUAUUAUCAUAGGAAUACUAAUUACUUGUGGUUAAAAUAUGGAUCAAAGCAUUGCUACAUGGACAUCGCCGAUUUCUACCAAAGAACCACAAGUGGCGAAGAAAUAAGGUGAGCUUCAAUAAUAAGGCUGAAACCAGGGAAGCUCCUGUGCCGCUCACUGGUGAGCAAGUCCUGCGCGAGUUUGAGAGUUUCGAGCAAGUGAAAUUUGGGAAGGAUACAAGGAAAAGGAAGCAAUGUGAGGAAGAAAAUAGGUGGCACAACUGGAGGAAAAAGAGUAUUUUCUUUCAGCUUCCUUACUGGCAAUCAUUAAUUGCCAUUACUUGUACGACAUAAUUUGGAUGUCAUUCAUACUCAGAAGAACAUUUGUGAGAGCAUACUCGGGACUUUGUUGGAAUCACAAGGUAAAGAUAAGGACGGUGAGAAGGCCCGACUUGAUAUGCAACAUUUGAGUAUUAGGCAAGAUCAGCAUCUAGUGCUCGAAAAGGGUAAGUACACUUUGCCACCAGCAUUAUACUCACUAAGUAAGGAUGACAAGGAAAAUUUGUGCAAAUUUUUAUAUGUAGUGAAGUUCCCUGAUGGUUAUGCUGCAAAUAUUAGAAGAUGUGUAGACGUCAGUGGUUGUAAGCUUUCUGGACUUAAAACUCAUGACCUCCACAUCAUCUUGCAAAAACUGUUGCCCUUAGUGGUGCGCAACAUAUUGUCUGAAGAUGUGGUGAUCCCAUUGAUUGAGCUAAGUAGGUUCUUUAACUCAAUAUGUUGAACACAGUUGGAGCGUACAGAAAUUGAAAAACUAAGCACUUCAAUUAGGGAAACUCUUUGUCGGCUCGAGAUGAUUUUCCACCCACUUUUUUUUGAUUUUAUGAUGCACUUACCAGUUCAUCUUGCUGAUGAAGCUACACUUGGAGGCCCGGUUUGUUAUAGAUGGAUGUAUCCAGUUUAGAGGUACCUCCGUACUCUUAAAGGCUUUGUGAGGAACAAAGCGUACCCUGAAGGUUCGAUUGCAGAGGGGUAUAUAUCCGAAGAGUGCAUCACAUUUUGCUCUCUCUUCUUUGAUAAUAUUAGUACCAAGCUAAAUCGUCUAGAACGACAUGAAAGCGCCGCUGGUAGUGAACCACCAUCUAGGCUAAGUAUAUUUGGAAACAUUGACUACAGUAGAAAAGGAUGUACUAUAGAGGUCGUUUCUGAUAUUGACAUGCACAGGAUGAGGCAUUACUUAUUAACAAACUGUGAUGAGGUCACUCCAUGGAUAAAGUAAGCUAAAUUUGUUUAUAUAUAUUUUCAUAUUUUUUUGUUUCAUAUGUACAGUAAGCUAUAAAAUUUGUUUAUAUAUAUUUUCAUAUUUAUUUGUUUCAUAUGUACAGUAAGCUAUAAAAUUUGGUUAUAUAUAUUUUCAUAUUUAUUUAACGUAUUUUCAUUUUUUGUGGAAAGUGAGCAUAUGGAUGAGCUGAAAAAUCAAACACUCGACAGGUUGAUAAAAGACACAAACAGGAGUUUGUAUCAUGGUUUGAGCGUAAAGUGAGUCGGCCUUAUAUAUAUUAAAUUUGUUAUCCUUAUUUUGUCUAUAUAAUUUAUCCCUUAUAUUUUUUUAAAAAAAUUGAUAACUGCAGACCAUCACAUUGCGUGCACAAGGGAAAAUUGAUGACAUGAUUUAUUAUCUAUCUCGCGGUCCGGACCGUCAGGCUCGUGUGUUCAGCAGGUGCUUCAUCAAUGGCUUCCUAUUUCGGGUUUCUUCCGUAGAGAACUGCUUAACUAAUCAAAAUAGUGGUGUAUUUGUGAAAGGUGAUUGAAGUACAGGUGACAUGGGCUGGUAUGGCGUGCUUAAGAAAAUCAUCUGCCUUGAUUUUCCUGGUCAAAAGUAAGUAAUGUUGUUCCAGUGCGUUUGGUUUGAUAUCCCUACAGCAAGUACAAGCAGAUCGAGAGGGUACCAUCACGAUCGAUAUGGGGUCAUAGAUAUUAAUACCACUAGGUUCAGGUAUAAAGAUGAACCCUUAUACCUUGAGCAUACAGGCCGAGCAAGUCUUCUAUGCAAAAUACCCAGAUAAACCAGAUUGGUGUAGUGUCCUCAGAGUGCAGCCUAGAAACUUGUUUUCCAUGCCUGAAGGCGAAGGUAGUGACAACAUGGAGCUUGAUCUGGACUCAGUUGAUGUAGGUGUGGGAGAUAUGAAUGUUCAACGGCAAAUUGGAGAUGUCAUGACUUGGAGUAGGUCUGGCCUUGAUGGGGUUACUGUUCAAGCUUCUAUUAUUGAGCAUGCUCUUGCAACAGCAAUGCCUGAACCUGAACAUGAUUUCCUUGAUGAAGACGAAGACCCAUAUGACAUAUAAAUGAUGGAGUCAUCCCUCCUUUCAGUGUUUUGAGAGAUGAUUCACAUGAUGAUAUUUUUUGAUAAAUGAUUUAGCUUUUUCUAUUUCUUUGAUCCCUAUGUGGAUGCUUUCAGUGUUUUGAGAGAAAUUUAUAUUUCAGUAGACGCGAACUAUCAUUUUUUAAUUAAGCACUAUUAUUUUUGAAUUAAACACUAAAAUUUUUUACGGAGUCGUCCCUUUCAGUGUUUCUUUUAUUAUGCACAGUUCAUACAUAUUAACAAAUAUUUUUUUUGAACUAUUGGGCCACACCCCUGUCUUUUAACACAACUGCAAACAAGAGUAUGCCAACAGUAAAGUCUAAACCUCACAAAAACUAACAUCCAAAACUUUGAGCAAGUCAGACACAUAGGCAACACACAAAGCAAAGAAAUAUUAGGUCCAAGCAACUCAUUUCCCUUAUAUAUAUUAGGUCCAAGCAAGUCACAGACAACUCAGUUGCCAAACACUACAACAUUAGGUUUUGAAAACUAAUAACUUAAAACGACAUAGUUCUACUGAUUCCCAUCAGACAAGUCUUUUCCCUUCCUAACAUUUAUUUAUUUACAUCAAAAGAUAAGUACCACAUCAGCAGCACGCACUUUACUACUUCGGCUUGUACAUCUUGCUGAUCUGAGCGUACAACUUGUCAAACCUCUUUUCAGCUGAACGCCUAGUGUCCUUUAGAAACUGCUCGGCAUGGUAAUCCAUGGUGCCAAGGACAUCAGCUUUAGCCAGCUCAAUUCUCCAUUUCAGCUUGUCCAUGGGUUUCUCAUCACUGUCAUCACCAAAGGAACAGGUGGUGGAGUAGUCGUCACCACUGCCAUCCUCAUAAGGAUCAUAAAUGGGAGUAGUCGUCACCGUCACCUUCGAGAGACGAGGCCCUCCUUUGGCACGCUUGGUAGUGGACUUUGGCACCUUCUUGUUGGCAGUACAGGAUGCAGCAGCUUUGCCACGCUUGACAGCGGACACCGGGACCUUCUUCAAAUUGGUGUUAGAUGCCCUUUUGGUCCCCGACGCUGCUCCUAUGGUGUCUUUGCCACUGAUCUGCAAGAUACAUGUAAACAAGGUCAAAUAUUACUAAACAAUCCAAAGGAUUGCAUAAUAAAAUGGCUGACAGGGAUUCUAGAACAAUAUCUUAUCAAGAUAAUAAAAUGCCUGAAAUAAAAUUAUUUAACAAAAUAUACUAAAUGACAAAGCUAAAUCAUCCACUCCCAGAACAACUCAUGUUGGAUCAUUUACUACACAAUAAGACAGUGCAAAAAGACAUACAUACAUGCAUGUACGCCUUGUGACACUAUCUCCCAGGCGCUCUAAGCAUUCUAAUUGCUUAGCAAUCAAACAAGUCAGGAUGAGAUGCACAAUUUAGAAACUGAAAAUACACAAAAUUAAAUGCACUGGAGCAAUACAUGGAUGACCAAUAAAAUUAUCGAACUAUUUUCAUGCUACUGGACCAGUGACCUUAUGUCAUGAGUUUGGACAACAAAUGGUUCCCACAGAAUUAGGCAGAUAAGAGAAGUACAAUACAUAAUGUUAUGCCUCAGAUUUGGACAAAUAAAGUCAACAGCUGAUUGAACUGUUGAAUGUCAGUCAGCUCUCCUCUGUUCUCAUGUACAGCAUUCUAAUUUAGUCAUUCUAAUUGGGUGCUUGCAAGCCAUACUAAUUUUAGAGUUCUAUAAUCAUGUUUCCUUUCAAUCACAAAUAUAGUUCAAAGUUCUAUAUUCUAUGACCUGAAACUCUGAACAUAGCUAAUUUCAAAUAACUCUGAACUACUAUAAUUUAAUUUAAGCUAUCAACUCUAGCUAGACCGAACAAAUAAAAUUUAAUUUUCACAAACCGAAUGCUGAUCCUAGGACCUUCAAAACUGAAUUACUUGAAACCCUAAAUCCUGCAGAGGAAUUACUUAAAACCCUGGAAGGUAACAUCUGCACUAACUGGCCCUAAAUCCCCAUUGCAACACUACUGGCCCUAAAUCCCCAUUACAACCCUAAAUCCCCAUUGCACUAAGUCAGACCCAAUUGCAACAGUACUGGCCCUAGUCACCAUUGCAACCCUAAAUCCCGAAUGCCAAAUCUUACCUUGGUCGCCAGGCUUACCUUUGUCGCUGGUGUCACCAGGGUCAGUUUGGCCGCCGGGGUCAUCUUUGUCGCCAGCUUGACGUUGGAGUCUGGGUCGGACCCGCAGUCCGAUUCGGAGUCAGAGUCGGAGAAUAUCUCGAUGUAGACCGGCUCGGGGGCGAACUGACCGCAUGCAUUGCGCCUUUGGGUCCGAGCGUUGUGGCCACGCUUGUCGCUUCCCAUCUUCGCCGCCGAUGGAGACGCCGCCGAGGGAGACGCUAUCACCGCCUCGCUGCAGCCGCCCGUGGGUGGGGAAUGACGAAUGGGUAAUGGCACGCACGGGUGGGGGGAAGGGGAACGGCACCAUGGCCUGUUUUCUCUCCGCGAAAUCGAGUUGGGCCGUUGGUCGGCCCGUUAACCUGAGUUAGCCGCAACAAGGCAAGUGAGGUGGCCUCAUUGUUUUUAGUACCACCUCGCCAACUGAAGUUGUGGUAGCGUUGCUUAAAAGCGUAGAUGCCUAAGGUGGUUCGAACUCCUUGAUACGAAUACCGUGCUGACCUGUGUGCCCUUGUCUUAGGCCUGCUGGGCUUCAUUGGCUCGCUGGGCUCCCGUUUCGGUUUGAGCCCGUUGGGUUCCCUUGCGGUUGAGCCUGGCGAGCCUACUUGCCCUGCAGGCCUACAAACUUUUUGUUUUUAAAAUUUAAAAAUUAUUUUUCUUACCCUUUAUUAAACCAUUUUGUUUUACCAUAAAUUGUUUUUCUAACCCUUUCUUCAACAAUUUUAGAUUUUUUUCGAAAAUGUUUAUCUAAAUUAUUUAUUGCCAACCUUUUUAAAUUGUAGUGGGUGCCAUGUCAAGACCAACUUGGCAACCAAUCUCGUUCGAGAGUUUCAUCGUGUCCAACUAUGUUUUUCUAACACUUAAUUCAACAAUUUUAGUUUCUUUACUAAAUUGUUUGUCUAAAUUAUUUAGUGCCAACACUUUUAAUUCUAGUGAGUGCCAUGUCAUGAUCAACAACUACUAUGAGUGCCAUGUCAUGUCGUUACUGCUCGUCCACCUUCCGUCUCGCUUCCAUCUAGUAACUACUAUGUGUCAUAUUGUGUCGAUAUGCCACAUAGUGUCAUGUCGUUACUUGCGGAGCUUAGGCAUGGCCAUAAUGUGUCAUGGCCCCCUGCUAAAGCAAUAUCUCCAUUGAGUGAAUACUGAUUUUGGUACUGUUUAUAAGUUUAGUUGCUUAAUGAACACUGGCUGCCCCCCUGAAUUCUUCAUUAAGCUCCGCCACUAUAUAUCAUGACCAACAAAACUAACACUAUGCUAUAUAUCUUCCAUCAAGCGUGUUAUGUAUUCACCAAAAACUUGAUUUGUACUCUACUAUCAACUGCCAUGUACAAAUUUCUUCUGAGUGGUCAAAAGAAGUUAAUUAGUACCUUGAUAUAUCAAGUGUCAUGUCAUAUGCCAUCCAAUGCAAUGUAGCGAUGUAGCAAAAGACACAUCGAGUGUCCCAUCAUGAUAAAUAACCUUUCAUGGUGGCAUACCAAGGACGACACAUCAUAUGUAAGUCAUAAACCAUGAGUUCCCGAUGAUCAACAACAACUUCAUAUGCAAGUCGUAAACCAUGAAUUAUUAAUAUUUUGUGACUUGCGUGAAUCAAGAUCAUGAUAUUUUAAUAUUUUUUCACGUUAUAUACCUUCGUACUUAUUUGUAAAAUUAAUUUUCAAGAUAAUAAUUAUUUUUUGAGUUUCCUCAAAAAAGUGCGCCAAAUUUCCCACUUUCCUAAUCAAACCUUGACCAAAUCUAUUCCCAAACCCCCGUAACCCCCGUCCCCCACGCCCUCCUGGUCCUAAUCUAAUUUUCCUCCACGACGCCGCCAGUCAGCGGUUCUUACUUCUUCCUCCGUUGCUGUGAGGGGCAUGGCGCCCCAGCGGCCAUAUAGGACACCGCUGACGCCUCCGAGGUCCAUGACGACCACGACACCGGUGACACCACCAGGCAGGAUGUUGAUUUCUCAGCCUCCAAGCAACGACAACGACACCACCACCAUGGGUGCCCAUCGGUACACAGAAGCCACCCUCGAAAUCGAAGACGAUGAAGGUUUCACAACUCCAUAUAAGCCCAGGUACUAGUUGUAAUUAGGGUUUCAAAGCAUAUGUGUUAAUUAGGGUUUGCAGUUUAUACUGACUUAUAUAAGUUAAUUUGGAUUCGCAAUUUACUGACUGUAUUUAGGGUGUAGUUUCUUACUGAUUGUUUAUGUUGUAGAAUAAUUCUGUGCAAAAUUAUAGGUACUACUUUUAGGUAUAUUUUCUUACUGAUUGUAGUUUCUUAAAUUUUUCCUUAAAUUUCUUACUGAAUGUAGUUCAAUUGAGUGCAAAUUUAGGUGUUGUUUCUUACUGAUUGUUUUCAUUGUAGAAUAAUUGCUUAAGUUUCUUUUUAAUUGUAGUUUUCUAGAAUAAUUGAGUGUAAAUUUAUGUGAAGUUUCUAAGUAGUUCUUUAUGUUCUAGAAUAAAUUGUAAGUUCACAUUCUCGUUACAAUGGCUUACAGUGACUUUAUUUAUUGAAAAUUAACUAACAGUGGCAUAGUGUUAGUUAAUGAAUCUCCUUAUUUAAUACUUCUUUAUUUGUCUACACUUGUACUAUGAAUACAGUGACUUGUUUAUUUGUCAAACUUUAUCCUCUAAAUCUCCUUUUGUAAUAAUUGUUUAUUUAUCAACCAUCAUUCUAUGGGUACAGUGGUAAAGGUGAACUCUAGACUCUAUAUGUUCAUUGCAAGAAUGGACUUCCAAACCAGGAGUAUGUCAUGUUCAGAAUUCAAAAGAGUGAUCUAAGAUUCAAAACAUUGUCAUCUCUUAAGGACCAGCUUGGGUACGCUGUCCGGGAUUUUUUAUACUACAAGAAGCGUUGUGGAAGAGAUGUAGCUACUCUUGAGCCCAUAGAUUAUAUCAAACAUGCAAAGAUUAUGAUACAAGAAAAUGAAAUGGAGAAGGAAAUCAGAUUAGUACUCAGAACCAGUUAGCAUAACACCAAUGAAGCGACCAAGGCAACACACCGAAGAAGAAGAUGAUGAUGACCAUCCGUUUAUGGAUGAUGAACUUAAUGCAUACAAGGUCUGGCUAGAAAACCUACCACUAGAGAGAAAGAAAGGUAUACUGUACUAUAUUUUUUUUUGUUUGUAUUGUUACUGUUCAUAAUUUACACCCUUAUAUAAACUACACUAUAUCUAACAUAUUUUGGUGACUAACAGAUUUGAAGGAUACUACCAAUAGGACAGAAACAACUGACACGUAUAGGGAAUUUUUAAAGAUGAAAGGGGAUUUGCCAGAAAUAAGUAAUUAAAUAUCCUUUUUAUAGCACUAUAUAUUUCACUUCUAUGUUUUUAAUAACUAAAGCUUUUAACCUUGUCCAGUGGCAUAUCUUGAGCAACCUAAAAUGGAUGGCAUCAUAAAUGAUGAAGAUGAAAGUAAUGGAAGCAGCUUGACACCACCCUCAAAUAGGCCAAGUCAUGCAAGGAGGCCAAGGGGACAGGAAAAUGGUUUGUGAUGAUACAUAUACUUUUAAUAUUGUGUUUACUUUCUUCAAUUGAGAGCUAAGACAGUUGGAGUUUAUUGUUGCCUUUUUUUGCAAGGAGGUGGCCCCAAUCAACCUAAGAAAAAAGGUUGUGGUACAGUCAAAGGAAAAACAGUAAUCAGUAGGAGAGUUAAGGAACGCACACAAAAACUCUCAAUUGAAUUUUCAGCAACCCGUGGAGGUCCAAUUGGACCGAACGCCCGUGCAUUUGUGGAUGAAAUCAUGCUGUUUACAAGGAAAUGGGCACCGCUGAUUGGAGUAAAUAGUUGGUAGGGUAUAAAGGAGGAAGUCAAAGAGCAAAUUGCUGAAGAGAUGCUGGUAUGCUUCGUACAACGUUUUUUGUACUUGUGUCUUAUAUUAAUUUUGUUAAACAUUUGAUUGCUUUUAAAUUAUAAGCAGCUUACGUGGAACUUCACCAACAUUAGCACUUUGGAAAAAAAAAGAUGAAGAUAUGGGGCAUUGUUAGGGAGCGGUACAAAGGAUGGCGAGCAGCUCUGAGUGCCACAUACAGGGCUUACAAUACCUAUGCUGAGAGAAUAAUGAAUAAACCUGAAGAAAUAGACAUUGUUGAGUGGCACUAUCUGCUAUUGUAUUUUUUAUCUGAUGAAUUCAAGGUCAGUUCAAGUAAAAUGUACUUUCUCAAACAAGCUUUGUGAACCAAUGUUGCAUUCUCACAUAUGCCACUUGUACUCAUUUUGCAGAAGACUAGCAGCCAGAACUCCUCCAACCGUAAGCAACAAAGAACCACACAUCUGAUGGGUUCAAAAAACUUCUCUCAGUGUAGCUACGAGCAGGUAUCCAUAUGGUUCACUAGUCUGGUCUUUCCAUUUUAUUAUGCAACACUAUUUUUCAAAUAUGUAUUGGCAUUCUAGAGAAACGAAGAAACUGGUGAAGAGCCAAACGAUCUUCUUCUUUGGAGGAGCACUCACACAAAACAUGCCAAAUGGUCAAAUUCUAUAUCAGCUGCAGUAUAUGUGAGUAAAUCUUUCCAAAAGCCUUUUUAUAUAAGUGCUGUUUCUAUCAAGCAACUUGUAACAAACUUUGUUCUUUUACUUAGGAAAAUGCAGCCAUGAAAAUUGGUGAGAUUGCUUUACAACCUGAUGCACAAUCACUUUCAUCUGCUGAGGAGAACAUGAUUUUCCAAUCAUGCUACAAAGAAACCAAACAAAUCAAAUCAUCCAAAUUACAUGGGCGUGGAUAUUUGGCUAAGUAUCGAACUCGCAGAGAACAUAUGGAAGAGAAUCUUGAAGUACAUUCACGUGUUAAAGCUGCAGCUAGAGAAGAGCAUUGCUUUUCAAGCAGAGGUUGAGAAGCUAAAAGAACAGAUUGCAAACGAAGCUAUAGAAAGGGAGAGGGAGAUAGAAGAAGAUAGAAGGAAGAUGCAACAGGAACCUGAAGAGGCUAAGAUAAAAAUAAGAUAAGAAAUGAAGCAAUACAUGGUUAAUAUGUUAGCACAUCACAAGGAAGCAAAUAUGAAUAUGGUAAAUUUUCAAAAAAAAAAUCCUUCUUCCUCAUAACAAACUUAUGAUUAUGAUGGUGACUAGUCUUUUACCUCAAUAUUUGUUGUGUAGAGUACCCCUCAAAACAUUGACACUAUACAAGUUGCACCAGCCAUACAAGGCGACGAUGAGACUGCUGAACAUGAUCAAGAAAAUGAGUUACAGCAGGUAAUGACACUGUUGCACUAAUUUUCAUGUGAUCUUGAGUACCAUGAACUGUAGCUAAAAAUAUUUUAUUGUUUGUAAACUCAGCCUCAAAGUGUUGUGACUGUACAAAAAGAUGCAGCUACUCCUUCUAAUAGAAGUACUAGUCUUGUGAGCAAAAACCUUUUCGACGAAAACUCUACAAAUGUGGCACCAUCGAAGACAUAUAUCACACAGCAACAGCUCAUGAAUAGAACAAGAAGUAACAAAAAGAGGAAGGUAAUUAGAAUCUAAAUUUUGAUCAUUUUUACUUGCUGCCACUACAUUUUAUAUUUAUGUGAGCUUGAAUGGCUGUUGUGAGCUUGAAUGGUUGCUGUGAGCUUUCAAUUUCUUUUGUGAUGUGAGCUUGCAUGUAUAACUAGAAGCAAGUUUGAUAUUCCCCUAGGCCAUUAAUUAAUGGAUCAAGGUGAGAUGCUUUUGAUGUAUUCCCCUAUUUUUGGAAGAGUUUUAGGGCACUGAUAUAGCAUUUUUCGUUGGAUUUGUUGGGGCAAUAGAGUUUGAUCUUGUGUGUCAUCCCUGCUAGGUGACAGUUUUGGCAGUUUCUGUUUCUCUUUGAAUAUGGAUGUGUUACAUCCUGAAUUAAAUUUACCACAUGUUGAAGUAUUUGUAGAAGACUUAGAAUUUUAUCUAGGAAGGUCGAGAUCAUAAUUUUUGGCCUUGUGGUUUAAGAGACAUUGUAGUUCAAAGUUGGCUGUCUUGUUCUGACUAGUUUCUGAACAGUUUUAGAUGUAAUCUGUUUUUGGCUAUCUUAAUGGAUGAAUUUGAAACUAUGAUCUAAACAAAAGUUGUAGGGUUUUUAUCAAGCUUUCCAUAUUGGUACAGAUCACAAUUUUUGGAUUCCUAGAACUACACAUAUGAAAUUUAAAGUGGACUGUCAGAUUUGUGUUGUCAGAUUCAACACUUAGGGUUCCCACUAUGGUUAAUGGAUCUUAUUGAUCUUUUACUGCAUAGAGCUAUAUAACUAAAGUUAUGAAUAAGAAAAUUGUGCAUUCUCUGGUGAAGUUUCAUAAUUUUUGGAUGAGUGGUUUAGUAGAUAAUCAAGGUGUCACCAUUGACUAUCAAACCUCAAGACAGAUUUCAUAGUCUUGACUGAGCUGAAUAUUAGGAUAGUUUCCUAAGCAAAUAAAAAUGUUUUGACUAGUGAAAGUUGUUCACCUUUCUCUUUAAAUUCUGAAAGUUUUUUUACUUACUAGCAUUACUUUUGUAGAUUAAAAGAUAUAAAAAAGAUAAGUAUGGUUUCUCUUGUAGGAUGAUUGUGGUGUUGCUGAUUUUGUGAAGUUUGAUGUUCAGUUUUGGAUGUCAGAAAUUAAAAGAUAUGAUUUAGAAUUUGAAUGCUUCACUGAUCUUAUUUAAGUUUUCCUAAUAUCAUAUUCUUACUGUUUUUGCAGUGACUGCAGAAGGAUUCAGUGGGAGGCGAGGCGAUGAAAUGUUGGGCUGAUUGUGAUGUACUGAAGGCUACAUAGAUGUUUUUGGAAGUGUCGUCUAGUUACAAAGUUUCUUUAAAUUGUCCAAAUAUCAGUGAACUACAUUUAUGGUUUUACUUACUAUUUGAAUUGUUUGUCAGAAUAUUGAAUUGGAUGUUUCAUUGAAGUUAACAUAUGCGAGUGCAAACUUUUUUAUUAUGGUCUCUUGAUAUUGCAACAGAAAGCAUAGUCACUACUAGCAUUGUAAUAAACACUAUUACCACGGCAUUGCUAUCGUUGCAAAAAAAACAUUUACAUAUUGCCACGGCAUUGCUAACGUUGCAAAAACAUUUAAACUACCACAACGAUAAAAUUGCGUUGCAACAAUGGUUGUAGCAAUAGCGAAUGGUCUGUUGCAACGGUGAACAAUUCGAUGCAAAAAUACUAUUGCCAUGAAAAAAACAACCGUAGCAAUAACAUAUCAUAUCUUGCAACCAAUAAAAAUCGUGGCAAGAGGUAAUAUUGCAACGCCAGAGUUUUCAUGGCAAUAAUGCAAACGUUCUCGCAACGAGUGCAAUGUUGUGGCAAUAAACUAUUUGGCAACCAAAUUUUAUCAUGGCAAUAAAUGAUAUUGCAACGCAUCAAUUAAACUCUUGCAACAAAGCCUAGUGUUGCAAGUGUUCCUAUUGCAACGUGUCAAACGACCUCUUGCAACGAAGUCUAGCAUUGCGAGUGCUCAUAUUGCAACGCAUCAAUUCAGCUUUUGCAAUGAAUCCUAGUGUUGCAAGUGUUCCUAUUGCAACGUGUCAAAUGACCUCUUGCAACGAAGUCUAUCGUAGCGAGUGCUCAUAUUGCAACGCAUCAAUUCAGCUUUUGCAAUGAAUCUUAGUGUUGCAAGUGCUCGUAUUGCAACGCAUCAAUCAAACUCUUGCAACGUAACCUAGUGUUGCAAAUGCUCAUAUUGCAACUCCAUGGGCGUUGCGACAACAUUCAAUUGCAACGCUUCGCAACGAACCACUACGGUUGCAAUACACAUUAGCACUGACAACGCCAAACUAAAAACGGUUGCAGUAACUUAUUGCAACCAUUGGCAAUGCCAGUGUUUUGGUGGCAAUUGCUACAUAUUGCAACCAAAUAGGGCCUAUUGCAACGCUUUUGCAGAGUUGUGAUAGACAUAGAAGUUAGUAGUGUAUGGAACGUUGAAAUCAGAGUUCGUAUGCGAAUGUUAUGCCUGUUUUACAAACGGACUCCAAAUUAGAGGACAAAACGGUUCGAAAGUGGAAAAAAUUUGCGGCGGUGGCUAGAAAUUUAUGGAAACGGUGGGGAAAAACACACGAACUGGACUCUAACAAGAGCCAACCAGCAAUAAGACCUCGACCAGGACACAAACUCAACACUGUGGACUCUGAAACUAAAAUAUGCAAAGGCUAUGGCGCGGAAGGGUUGUAGGACAGGAAAACGAUAUGGCACUAGACUUAUGGGACGAACACAAGAACACUCGAAACUAAGGGUAGAUGUGAACCUAACGAUAUACCUGAAGCUUUGAUUACCACUUGAUGAGAACAAGGGUGGCCUGAUCUUCCGAAAGGUUGUGGUAACUCUCGAUUUGGUGGAGACAAGACACAAAUCGAUCCGGCUUCCGAACAACAUGAUCCAAAACCUUGCAAUUUUUUAUUUUUUUGAUAUUUUUCAUUUACUUAGGAGCACUAAAGAAGUAACCACAGAAAAUUUGAGCUUAAACAAGUAAAAGACGUGGCCUGUGGAAUUUUCUAAAGAUUGAGAAAAAUGUGAAAAAAAACUUCACGAGGUGAAAACUCAAAGGUCGGAGGCAAAUUUGGAGAUUCCAAAAUUUUCAAACUCGCCAAAGGCAUGGAGAGACAGAUCCAAAGCUUUUUUCUAAUCGAUUUUGAUAUAUGGAACGUUGAAAUCGAAGUUCGUAUGUGAAAGUUAUGGCUGUUUUACGAACGAACUCCAAAUUAGCGGACAAAACGGUCCGAAAGUGGGAAAAAUUUGCGUCAAUGGCUAGAAAUUGAUGGAAACGGUGGGGAAAACACAUGAACUGGACUCUAACAAGACCUAACCAGCAAUAAGACCUCGACCAGGACACAGACUCAACACUGUGGACUCUGAAACUGAAAUAUGCCAAGGCUGUGGCGCGGAAGGGUUGUAGGAUAGGAAAACGAUAUGGCACUCGACUUGUGGGACGAACACAAGAACAUUCAAAACUAAGGGUAGAUGUGAACCUAAUGGUAUACCUGAAGCUUUGAUUACCACUUGAUGAGAAAAAGGGAGGCCCAAACUUCUGAAAGGUUCUGGUAACUCUCGAUUUGGUGGAGACGAGACACAAAUCGAUUCAGCUUCUGAACAACACGAUACGAAACCCUUCAAUUUUUUUAUUUUUUUGAUAUUUUUAUUUUACUUCAGAGCACUAAAGAAGUAAGCAUACCAAAAUUGAGCUUAAACAAGUGAAAGACGUGGCCUGCGGAAUUUUCUAAAUAUUGCAAAAAAUGUGAAAAAAAACUUCACGAGUUGAAAACUCAAAGGUCGGAGGCAAAUUUGGAGAUUCUAAAAUUUUCAAACCCACAAAAGGCAUGGAGAGACAGAUCUAAAGUUUUUUUCUGAUCGAUUUUGCUAUAUGGAACGUUGAAAUCGGAGUUCGUAUGCGAAAGUUAUGGCUAUUUUACGAACGGACUCUAAAUUAGUGGACAAAACGGUCUGAAAGUGGGAAACAUUUGCGGCGGUGGCUAGAAAUUGAUGGAAACGGUGGGGAAAAACGCACGAACUGGACUCUAACAAGACCCAACCAGUAAUAAGACCUCGACCAGGACACAAACUCAGCACUGUGGACUCUGAAACUGAAAUAUGCAAAGGCUAUGGCGCGGAAGGGUUGUAGGACAGGAAAACGAUAUGGCACUAGACUUAUGGGACGAACACAAGAACACUCGAAACUAAGGGUAGAUGUGAACCUAACGAUAUACCUGAAGCUUUGAUUACCACUUGAUGAGAACAAUGGUGGUCUGAUCUUCUGAAAGGUUGUGGUAACUCUCGAUCUGGUGGAGACAAGACACAAAUCAAUCCGGCUUCCGAACAACAUGAUCCGAAACCUUGCAAUUUUAUUAUUUUUUUUGAUAUUUUUCUUUUACUUAGGAGCACUAAAGAAGUAACCAUAGAAAAAUUGAGCUUAAACAAGUGAAAGACGUGGCUUGCGGAAUUUUCUGAAGAUUGAGAAAAAUGUGAAAAAAAACUUCACAAGGUGAAAACUCAAAGGUCGGAGGCAAAUAUGGAGAUUCCAAAAUUUUCAAACCCACCAAAGGCAUGGAGAGACAGAUCCAAAGUUUUUUUCUAAUCAAUUUUGAUAUAUGGAACGUUGAAAUCAAAGUUCGGAUGUGAAAGUUAUGGUUGUUUUACGAACGGACUCCAAAUUAGAGGACAAAACGGUCCGAAAGUAGGAAAAAUUUGCGACAAUGGCUAGAAAUUGAUGGAAACGGUGGGAAAAAACAUAUGAACUGGACUCUAACAAGACCUAACCAACAAUAAGGCCUCGACCAGGACACAACUCAACAUUGUGGACUCUGAAACUGAAAUAUGCCAAGGCUAUGGCGCAGAAGGGUAGUAGGAUAGGAAAACGAUAUGGCAGUGGACUUAUGGGACGAACACAAGAACACUCGAAACUAAGGGUAGAUGUCAACCUAAUGGUAUACCUAAAGCUUUGAUUAUCACUUGAUGAGAAGAAGGGAGGCCCAAUCUUCUGAAAGGUUCAGGUAACUCUCGAUUUGGUGGUGACGAGACACAAAUCGAUUCGGCUUCCAAACAACAUGAUCCGAAACCCUACAAUUUUUUUAUUUUUUGAUAUUUUUCUUUUACUUCGGAGCACUAAAGAAGUAAGCACAGAAAAUUUAUGCUUAAACAUGUGAAAGACGUGGCCUGCAGAAUUUUCUGAAGAUUGCAAAAAAUGUGAAAAAAAACUUCACGAGUUGAAAACUCAAAGGUCGGAGGCAAAUUUGGAGAUUCUAAAAUUUUCAAACGCACGAAAGGCAUCGAGAGACAGAUCUGAAGUUUUUUUCUGAUCGAUUUUGCUAUAUGGAACGUUGAAAUCGGAGUUCGUAUGCGAAAGUUAUGGCUGUUUUACGAACGGACUCCAAAUUAGUGGACAAAACGGUCCGAAAGUGGGAAACAUUUGCGGCGGUGGCUAGAAAUUGAUGGAAACGGUGGGGAAAAACGCACGAACUGGACUCUAACAAGACCCAACCAGCAAUAAGACCUCGACCAGGACACAAACUCAACAAUGUGGACUCUGAAACUGAAAUAUGCAAAGGCUAUGGCGCGGAAGGGUUGUAGGACAGGAAAACGAUAUGGCACUAGACUUAUAGGACGAACUCAAGAACACUCGAAACUAAGGGUACAUGUGAACCUAACGAUAUACCUGAAGCUUUGAUUACCACUUGAUGAGAACAAUGGUGGUCUGAUCUUCCGAAAGGUUGUGGUAACUCUCGAUCUGGUGGACACAAGACACAAAUCGAUCCGGCUUCCGAACAACAUGAUCCGAAACCUUGCAAUUUUUUUAUUUUUUUUGAUAUUUUUCUUUUACUUAGGAGCACUAAAGAAGUAACCACAAAAAAUUUGAGCUUAAACAAGUGAAAGACGUGGCUUGUGGAAUUUUCUGAAGAUUGAGAAAAAUGUGAAAAAAACUUCACAAGGUGAAAACUCAAAGGUCGGAGGCAAAUUUGGAGAUUCCAAAAAUUUCAAACCCACCAAAGGCAUGGAGAGACAGAUCCAAAGUUUUUUUCUAAUCAAUUUUGAUAUAUGGAACGUUGAAAUCGGAGUUCGUAUGCGAAAGUUAUGGCUAUUUUACGAACGGACUCCAAAUUAGUGGACAAAACGGUCUGAAAGUGGGAAACAUUUGCGGCGGUGGCUAGAAAUUGAUGGAAACGGUGGGGAAAAACGCACGAACUGGACUCUAACAAGACCCAACCAGAAAUAAGACCUCGACCAGGACACAAACUCAGCACUGUGGACUCUGAAACUGAAAUAUGCAAAGGCUAUGGCGCGGAAGGGUUGUAGGACAGGAAAACGAUAUGGCACUAGACUUAUGGGACGAACACAAGAACACUCGAAACUAAGGGUAGAUGUGAACCUAACGAUAUACCUGAAGCUUUGAUUACCACUUGAUGAGAACAAUGGUGGUCUGAUCUUCUGAAAGGUUGUGGUAACUCUCGAUCUGGUGGAGACAAGACACAAAUCAAUCCGGCUUCCGAACAACAUGAUCCGAAACCUUGCAAUUUUAUUAUUUUUUUUGAUAUUUUUCUUUUACUUAGGAGCACUAAAGAAGUAACCAUAGAAAAAUUGAGCUUAAACAAGUGAAAGACGUGGCUUGCGGAAUUUUCUGAAGAUUGAGAAAAAUGUGAAAAAAAACUUCACAAGGUGAAAACUCAAAGGUCGGAGGCAAAUAUGGAGAUUCCAAAAUUUUCAAACCCACCAAAGGCAUGGAGAGACAGAUCCAAAGUUUUUUUCUAAUCAAUUUUGAUAUAUGGAACGUUGAAAUCAAAGUUCGGAUGUGAAAGUUAUGGCUGUUUUACGAACGGACUCCAAAUUAGAGGACAAAACGGUCCGAAAGUAGGAAAAAUUUGCGACAAUGGCUAGAAAUUGAUGGAAACGGUGGGAAAAAACAUAUGAACUGGACUCUAACAAGACCUAACCAACAAUAAGGCCUCGACCAGGACACAACUCAACAUUGUGGACUCUGAAACUGAAAUAUGCCAAGGCUAUGGCGCAGAAGGGUAGUAGGAUAGGAAAACGAUAUGGCAGUGGACUUAUGGGACGAACACAAGAACACUCGAAACUAAGGGUAGAUGUCAACCUAAUGGUAUACCUAAAGCUUUGAUUAUCACUUGAUGAGAACAAGGGAGGCCCAAUCUUCUGAAAGGUUCAGGUAACUCUCGAUUUGGUGGUGACGAGACACAAAUCGAUUCGGCUUCCAAACAACAUGAUCCGAAACCCUACAAUUUUUUUUAUUUUUUGAUAUUUUUCUUUUACUUCGCAGCACUAAAGAAGUAAGCACAGAAAAUUUAUGCUUAAACAUGUGAAAGACGUGGCCUGCAGAAUUUUCUGAAGAUUGCAAAAAAUGUGAAAAAAAACUUCACGAGUUGAAAACUCAAAGGUCGGAGGCAAAUUUGGAGAUUCUAAAAUUUUCAAACGCACGAAAGGCAUGGAGAGACAGAUCUGAAGUUUUUUUCUGAUCGAUUUUGCUAUAUGGAACGUUGAAAUCGGAGUUCGUAUGCGAAAGUUAUGGCUGUUUUACGAACAGACUCCAAAUUAGUGGACAAAACGGUCCGAAAGUGGGAAACAUUUGCGGCGGUGGCUAGAAAUUGAUGGAAACGGUGGGGAAAAACGCACGAACUGGACUCUAACAAGACCCAACCAGCAAUAAGACCUCGACCAGGACACAAACUCAACACUGUGGACUCUGAAACUGAAAUAUGCAAAGGCUAUGGCGCGGAAGGGUUGUAGGACAGGAAAACGAUAUGGCACUAGACUUAUAGGACGAACUCAAGAACACUCGAAACUAAGGGUACAUGUGAACCUAACGAUAUACCUGAAGCUUUGAUUACCACUUGAUGAGAACAAUGGUGGUCUGAUCUUCCGAAAGGUUGUGGUAACUCUCGAUCUGGUGGACACAAGACACAAAUCGAUCCGGCUUCCGAACAACAUGAUCCGAAACCUUGCAAUUUUUUUAUUUUUUUUGAUAUUUUUCUUUUACUUAGGAGCACUAAAGAAGUAACCACGAAAAAUUUGAGCUUAAACAAGUGAAAGACGUGGCUUGUGGAAUUUUCUGAAGAUUGAGAAAAAUGUGAAAAAAACUUCACAAGGUGAAAACUCAAAGGUCGGAGGCAAAUUUGGAGAUUCCAAAAAUUUCAAACCCACCAAAGGCAUGGAGAGACAGAUCCAAAGUUUUUUUCUAAUCAAUUUUGAUAUAUGGAACGUUGAAAUCGAAGUUCGGAUGUGAAAGUUAUGGCUGUUUUACGAACGGACUCCAAAUUAGAGGACAAAACGGUCCGAAAGUAGGAAAAAUUUGCGGCAAUGGCUAGAAAUUGAUGGAAACGGUGAGGAAAAACAUAUGAACUGGACUCUAACAAGACCUAACCAACAAUAAGGCCUCGACCAGGACACAACUCAACAUUGUGGACUCUGAAACUGAAAUAUGCCAAGGCUAUGGCGCAGAAGGGUUGUAGGAUAGGAAAACGAUAUGGCACUGGACUUAUGGAACGAACACAAGAACACUCGAAACUAAGGGUAGAUGUCAACCUAAUGGUAUACCUGAAGCUUUGAUUACCACUUGAUGAGAACAAGGGAGGCCCAAUCUUCUGAAAGGUUCAGGUAACUCUCGAUUUGGUGGUGACGAGACACAAAUCGAUUCGGCUUCCAAACAACACGAUCCGAAACCCUACAAUUUUUUUAUUUUUUGAUAUUUUUCUUUUACUUCGGAGCAAUAAAGAAGUAAGCACAAAAAAAUUUAUGCUUAAACAAGUGAAAGACGUGGCCUGCAGAAUUUUCUGAAGAUUGCGAAAAAUGUGAAAAAAACUUCACAAGGUGAAAACUCAAAGGUCGGAGGCAAAUAUGGAGAUUCCAAAAUUUUCAAACCCACCAAAGGCAUGGAGAGACAGAUCCAAAAUUUUUUUCUAAUCAAUUUUGAUAUAUGGAACGUUGAAAUCAAAGUUCGGAUGUGAAAGUUCUGGCUGUUUUACGAACGGACUCCAAAUUAGAGGACAAAACGGUCCGAAAGUAGGAAAAAUUUGCGACAAUGGCUAGAAAUUGAUGGAAACGGUGGGAAAAAACAUAUGAACUGGACUCUAACAAGACCUAACCAACAAUAAGGCCUACAACUCAACAUUGUGGACUCUGAAACUGAAAUAUGCCAAGGCUAUGGCGCAGAAGGGUAGUAGGAUAGGAAAACGAUAUGGCAGUGGACUUAUGGGACGAACACAAGAACACUCGAAACUAAGGGUAGAUGUCAACCUAAUGGUAUACCUGAAGCUUUGAUUACCACUUGAUGAGAACAAGGGAGGCCCAAUCUUCUGAAAGGUUCAGGUAACUCUCGAUUUGGUGGUGACGAGACACAAAUCGAUUCGGCUUCCAAACAACACGAUCCGAAACCCUACAAUUUUUUUAUUUUUUGAUAUUUUUCUUUUACUUCGGAGCAAUAAAGAAGUAAGCACAGAAAAUUUAUGCUUAAACAUGUGAAAGACGUGGCCUGCAGAAUUUUCUGAAGAUUGCAAAAAAUGUGAAAAAAAACUUCACGAGGUGAAAACUCAAAGGUCGGAGGCAAAUUUGGAGAUUCUAAAAUUUUCAAACGCACGAAAGGCAUGGAGAGACAGAUCUGAAGUUUUUUCUGAUCGAUUUUGCUAUAUGGAACGUUGAAAUCGGAGUUCGUAUGCGAAAGUUAUGGCUGUUUUACGAACGGACAAUAAAUUAGAGGACGAAACGGUCCGAAAGUGGGAAACAUUUGCGGCGGUGGCUAGAAAUUGAUGGAAACGUUGGGGAAAAACACACGAACUGGACUCUAACAAGACCCAACCAGCAAUAACACCUCGACCAGGACACAAACUCAACACUGUGGACUCUGAAACUGAAAUAUGCAAAGGCUAUGGCACGGAAGGUUUGUAGGACAGGAAAACGAUAUGGCACUGGACUUAUAGGACGAACAUAAGAACACUCAAAACUAAGGGUAGAUGUGAACCUAACGGUAUAACUGAAGCUUUGAUUACCACAUGAUGAGAACAAGGGUGGCCCGAUCUUCCGAAAGGUUCUGCUAACUCUCGAUUUGGAGACGAGACACAAAUCGAUCUGGCUUCGGAACAACACGUUUCGAAACCCUGCUAUUUUCUAAAAAAAUUUUGAUAUUUUUCUUUUACUUAGGAGCAUUAAAGAAGUAACCACAGAAAAUUGGAGCUUAAACAAGUGAGAGACGUUGCCUGUGGAAUUUUCUGAAGAUUGAGAAAAAUGUGAAAAAAACUUCAUGAGGUGAAAACUCAAACUUCGGAGGUGAAUUUGGAGAUUUUAAAAUUUUCAAACCCACCAACAGCAGGGAUAGACACAUCCGAAAUUGUUUUCUGAUUGAUUUUGAUAUAUAGAACGUUGAAAUCGAUGUUCGUAUGCGAAAGUUAUGGCUGUUUUACGAACGGACUCCAAAUUUGUGGCGGUGCCAAGAAAUUAAUGGAAACGGUGGCGAAAAACACACAAACUGGACUCUAACAAGACCUAACCAGCAACAAGACCUCGACUAGGACACAAAUUCAACACUGUGGACUCUGAAACUGAAAUAUGCAAUGGCUAUGGCGCGGAAGAGUUGUAGCACAGGAAAACGAUACGGCACUAGACUUAUGGGACGAACACAAGAACACUCGAAACUAAGGGUAGAUGUGAACCUAACCGUAUACCUGAAGCUUUGAUUACCACUUCAUGAGAACAAGGGUGGCCCGAACUUGCGAAAGGUUCUGGUAACUCUCCAUUUGGUGGAGACGAGACACAAAUCGAUCCGGCUUCCGAACAACACGAUCCGAAUCUCUUCUAUUUUUUUAUUUUUUUGAUAUUUUUUUACUUAGGAGCAUUAAAGAAGUAGCCACAGAAAAUUUGAGCUUAAACAGGUGAGAGACGUUGCCUCUAGAAUUUUCUCAUGAUUGGUAAAAAUGUGAAAAAACUUAACGAGGUGAAAACUCAAACAUCAGGGGCGAAUUUGGAGAACUUAAAAUUUUCAAACCCACAAUAGGUGUGGACAGACAGAUCCAAAAAUUUUUUCUGAUCGAUUUUGAUAUAUGAAACUUUGAAAUCAAAGCUCGUAUGUGAAGGUUAUGGAUGUUUUGUGAACGGUCUCCGAAUUAGAGGACAAAAUGGUCCAAAAGUGGGAAAAAAUUUGCGGCGGUGGCUAGAAAUUGAUGAAAACGGUGGGGAAAUACACACGAACUGGAAUCUAACAAGACCUAACCAGCAACAAGACCUCGACCAAGACACAAACUCAACACUACGGACUCUGAAACUGAAAUAUGCAAAGGCUAUGGCGUGGAAAGGUUGUAGGACAAGAAAACAAUAUGACACUGGACUUAUGGGACGAACACAACAACACUCGAAACUAAGGGUAGAUGGGAACUUAACGGUAUAGCUAAAGCUUUGAUUACCACUUGAUGAUAACGAGGGUGGCCCGAUAUUCCGAAUGGUUAUGGUAACUCUUGAUUUGGUGGAGACACAAAUCGAUCCGGCUUCCGAACAACACGAUCCGAAACCUUGUAAUUUUUUUAUUUUUUGAUAUUUUUCUUUUACCUAGGAGCACUAAAAAAGUAACCACAGAAAAUUUCAGCUUAAACAAGUAAAAUAUGUGGCCUACAGAAUUUUCUGAAGAUUGCAAAAAAUAUGAAAAAAACUUCACGAGGUGAAAACACAAACUUCGGAGGCGAAUUUGGAGAAUUUAAAAUUUUCAAACAUGCCAUUGACAGGGACGGACAGAUCUGAAUUUUUUCUGAUCGAUUUUGAUAUAUGGAACUUUGAAAUCGGAGUUCGUAUGUGAAAGUUAUGGCUGUUUUGCGAACGGUCUCCUAUAUAGAGGACAAAACGGUCUAAAAGUGGGAAAAAUUUACGGCGGUGGCUAGAAAUUGAUGGAAACGGUGGGGAAAUACACACGAACUGGACUCUAACAAGACCUAACCAACAACAAGACCUCGACCAAGACACAAACUCAACACUGCAGACUCCGAAACUAAAAUAUGCAAAGGCUAUGGCGUGGAAAGGUUGUAGGACAGGAAAACGAUAUGGCACUGGACUUAUGGGACGAACACAAGAACACUCGAAACUAAAGGUAGAUGUGAACCUAACGAUAUACCUGAAGCUUUGAUUACCACUUGAUGAUAAUAAGGGUGGCCCGAUCUUUCGAAAGAUUCUGUUAACUCUCGAUUUGGUGGACACGAGACUCAAAUCGAUCCGGUUUCUGAACAACACGAUCUGAAACCCUGCUAUUUAUUUUAUUUUUUGAAUUUUUUCUUUUACUUAGGAGCAUUAAAGAAGUAACCACAAAAAAUUUGAGCUUAAACAAGUGAAAGACGUUGCCUGCGGAAUUUUCUGAAGAUUGAGAAAAAUGUGAAAAAACUUCACGAGGUGAAAACUCAAACUUUGGAGGCGAAUUUGGAGAAUUUAAAAUUUUCAAACCCGCCAAAGGUGUGGACAAACAGAUCCGAAAUUUUUUUCUGAUCGAUUUUGAUAUAUGGAACGUUGAAAUCAGAGUUCGUAUGUGAAAGUUAUGGCUGUUUUACGAACAGACUCCGAAUUAGAGGACAAAACAGUUCGAAAGUGGGAAAAUUUGUGGCGGUGGCUAGAAAUUGAUGGAAACGGUGGGGAAAAACACACGAACUGGACUCUAACAAGACCUAACCAGCAAAAAGACCUCGACCAGGACACAAACUCAAUAUUGUGGACUCGAAAACUCAAAUAUGCAAAGGCUAUGGCGCGGAAGGGUUGUAGGACAGGAAAAGGAAAAAGUCUAAAUAACCCUCUGAAGUAUUGAUGGGUGUCUAGUUUUGGGCUUGACCUAUAAAACCGGGUAUAUAGGACAUUAAACUUUGGAUGUUGGUUUAGUUUACCCCCUGGGUGGUAUUCCAGGGCGGUUUUCGCCUACGUGGCGGCCAGCGUGGCAGCCGACGACGCAUGGGCCUUGAACACGACCGCCCACUCUGCUUCUGUUCCCUUCCUCGUCGGACGUUCCUCGUCGUCAGUAAUGGCAGCACAGGAGCGCUCGGUGGUCAUCCCUGUGCGCACGCUCGACGGAGGCACCACGUCCGUGCGUGUGCCCGCCACGGCCUCCGUGCGAGACCUCAAGGCGGCGCUGCGUGUCUGCUUCCCGCCCGCGCAGGCCGCCUUGGGUUCCACCUCUUCCUCCACAGCGGCAAGCUCCUCCGGCGUAGAGGAGCGUUUCGGCAUCAGGAAGGGACACCGCCGACACGUCAUCUUGACCACGUCGACAACCAUGAUGUACUUGUCUUCGGCCUGCAGUUUGUACAUGACAUCGCUGACGACGACUGAUGGGCCUUGACAGGGGACCAGGUUCCGGUGAACCGGUCCGGUGGCAGACUCCCAAGCGGAGGAUACCGAUGAGUAGAUCAGAACCUCGAAGUGAUUCGGGUCGGUGCUGAAGAGGACAACCAUGACGCGGAACGCGACACCUUCCCUAGGGAUGAGCACGCAGCACGCCACCCUGUGCCCGACGAUGAAGAGGGGCGGCACUCGAACGUACAUCUUCUCCAACGGCCUGCAGACGAGGAGCCUGAGUUCGCAGGGGUAGCUAGGGCCGGCCGAGCUCCCGCAGGAGCAGUCGCCAGUUGCGGGCGUCGACGAGGACCGCGCCGCACAUGGGCAGCACUUGGAGGAAACCGAGGUCGAGGGAGAUGCCUGCGGUGGGCACGAACGGGGGCAGCGGCGACGUGCCGUAGUUGCGGAAGAAGCCGAAAUGGGUAGGCGGCCUGGGGAGACAUGCCGCUCCGGCGCCGGAGACGACGCGACGCCAGCGGCGGCACACCGCGGCGCAGCGGACGACGUCGCGUGUGGGCGGCAGCCGCUUGAAGACCUCUAGGAGCAUGUCGUCGGGAAGUGCUGCCGCCGCCGCCGCGGCCUCGCCCUCUCCCGUCGGCUCCACCUCCAUCGUCGGGUGCGCGCGCUUGCAGAGUGCGUAGUCGAAACCGCAAGGCGGAGGCCCGGGGCGCUUGGGGCCGACGUCGACGGAGGACGGCACAAGGCGCUCCUAGGGCAGCACCUCGCCUGUGCUGCUUUCGAGAAGCCGCUGUGCCCUGAGCCUUGCACUUGGGGCGGCCGCGUUCAAGGCCCAUGUGCCGUCGUCUGCCACGCUGGCCGCCACGUAGGCAAAAACCACCCUGGAAUACCACCCAGGGGGUAAACUAAACCAACAUCCAAAGUUUAAUGUCCUAUAUACCCGGUUUUAUAGAUCAAGCCCAAAACUAGACACCCAUCAAUACUUCAUGGGGUUAUUUAGACUUUUUCCGACAGGAAAACGAUAUGGCACUAGACUUAUGUGACGAACACAAGAUCACUCGAAACUAAGGGUAUAUGUGAACCUAACAGUAUACCAAAAGCUUUGAUUAUCACUUGAUGAGAACAAGGGUGGCCCGAUCUUCCGAAUGGUUCUGGUAACUCUCGAUUUGGUGGAGACGAGACACAACGAUCCAGCUUCCGAAUAACAUGAUCCGAAACUCUGUAGUUUUUUUUAUUUUUUUUAUAUUUUUCUUUUACUUAGGAGCACUAAAGAAGUAAUUCUAGAAAAUUUGAGCUUAAACAAGUGAAAGACGUGGCCUGCGGAAUAUUCCAAAGAUUGAGAAAAAUGUGAAAAAAACUUAACGAGGUGAAAACUCAAACUUUGGAGGCGAAUUGAGAGAUUUUUAAAUUUUCAAACCCGCAAAAUGCAAGGACAGACAGAUCCGAAAUUGUUUUCUGAUCGAUUUUGAUAUAUAGAACGUUGAAGUCAGAGUUCGUAUGUGAAAGUUAUGGCUGUUUUGCGAACGGUUUUCGAAUUAGAGGACAAAACGGUCCGAAAGUGGGAAAAAUUUACGGCGGUGGCUAGAAAUUGAUGGAAAUAGUGGGGAAAUACACAAGAACUAGACUCUAAUAAGACAUAACUAGCAACAAGACCUCGACUAGGACACAAACUCAACACUGCGGACUCUGAAACUGCAAUAUGCAAAGGCUAUGGCGCGCAAGGGUUUUGUAGCACAGAAAAACAAUAUGGCACUAGACUUAUGGGACGAACACAAGAACACUCGAAAUUAAGGGUAGAUGUGAACCUAACGGUAUAGCUGAAGCUUUGAUUACCACUUGAUGAGAACGAGGUUGGCCCGAUCUUCCGAAAGGUUAUGGUAACUAUUGAUUUGGUGGAGACACAAAUCGAUCCGGCUUCCGAACAACACGAUCUGAAACUCUGUAAUUUUUUUUCUUGAUAUUUUUCUUUUACCUAGGAGCACUAAAAAAGUAACCACAGAAAAUUUGAGCUUAAACAAGUGAAAGAUGUGGCCUGCAGAAUUUUCUGAAGAUUGCGAAAAAUAUGAAAAAAACUUCACGAGGUGAAAACUCAAACUUUGGAGGCGAAUUUGCAGAUUUAAAUUUUUCAAAUCUGCGAAAGGCAGGGACAGACAGAUCCGAAUUUUUUUCUGAUCAAUUUUGAUAUAUGGAACGUUGAAAUUGGAGUUUGUGUUCGAAAGUUAUGGCUAUUUUACGAACGGACUCCGAAUUAGCGGACAAAACGGUCGGAAAGUGGGAAAAAUUUGCGGUGGUGGCUAGAAAUUGAUGGAAACGAUGGGGAAAAACACACGAACUGGACUCUAACAAGGCCUAACCAGCAACAAGACCUCGACCAGGACACAAACUCAACACUGUGGACUCUGAAACUGAAAUAUGCAAAGGCUAUAUCCCGGAAGGGUUGUAGGGCAGGAAAACGAUAUGACACUGGGCUUAUGGGACGAACACAAGAACACUCAAAACUAAGGGUAGAUGUGAACGUAAUGGUAUACCUAAAGCUUUGAUUACCACUUGAUGAGAACAAGGGUAGCCUGAUCUUCCGAAAGGUUCUGGUAACUCUUGUUUUGGUAGAGACGAGAAACAAAUCGAUCCGGCUUCCGAGCAACACGAUCUAAAACCCUGUAAUUUUUUUAUUUUUUUGAUAUUUAUCUUUUACUUAGGAGCACUAAAGAAGUAACCACAGAAAAUUUGAGCUUAAACAAGUGAAAGACGUGGCCUGUGGAAUUUUCUAAAGAUUGCAAAAAAUUUAAAAAAACUUCACGAGGUGAAAACUAAAAUUUCGGAGGCGAAUUUUAGAUUCUGAAAUUUCCAAACCCCCUAGAGGUAUGGACAGACACAUCUAGAAAUUUUUUCUUAUCGAUUUUGAUAUAUGGAACGUUGAAAUUGGAGUUCGUAUGCCAAAGUUAUGGGUGUUUUACGAACGGACUCCGAAUUAGAGGACAAAACGGUCCGAAAGUGGGAAAAAUUUGCGGCGGUGGCUAGAAAUUGAUAGAAAUGGUGGGGAAAAACACACGAACUGGAGUCUAACAAGACCUAACGAGCAACAAGACCUCGACCAAGACACAAACUCAACACUACGGACUCUGAAACUGAAAUAUGCAAAGGCUAUGGCGCAGAAGGGUUGUAGGACAGGAAAACGAUAUGGCACUGGACUUAUGGAACGAACAUAAGAACACUCGAAACUAAGGGUAGAUGUGAACCUAACGGUAUACCUGAAGCUUUGAUUACCACUUGAUGAGAACAAAGGUGGCCUGAUCUUCCAAAACGUUCUGGUAACUCUCGAUUUGGUGCAGACGAGACACAAAUCGAUCCGGCUUCCGAACAACACGAUCCGAAACCCUACAAUGUUUUUUAUUUUUUUGAUAUUUUUCAUUUACUUAAGAGCACUAAAGAUGUAACCACAGAAAAUUUGAGCUUAAACUAGUGAAAGACGUGGCCUUGGAAUUUUCCGAAGAUUGCGAAAAAUGUGAAAAAACCUUCAUGAGGUGAAAACUCAAACUUCGGAGGCAAAUUUGGAGAUUCUAAAAUUUUCAAACCCGCCAAAGGCACUAAAGGCAUGGAUAGACAGAUCCAAAUUUUUUUUGAUCGAUUUUGAUAUAUGGAACGUUGAAAUCGGAGUUCGUAUGCGAAAGUUAUAGCUGUUUUACGAACGGACUCCAAAUUAGAGGACAAAACGGUCCGAAAGUGGGAAAAAUUUGCGGUGGUGGCUAGAAAUUGAUGGAAACGGUGGGAAAAAACACACGAACUGGACUCUAACAAGACCUAACCAGCAACAAGACCUCGACAAGGCCACAAACUCAACAAUGCAGACUCUAAAACUGAAAUAUGCAAAGGCUGUGGCGCGGAAGGGUUGUAGGACCGGAAAACGAUAUGGCACUGGACUUGUGGGACAAACACAAGAACACUUGAAACUAAGGGUAGAUGUGAACCUAGUGGUAUACUUGAAUCUUUUAUUACCACUUGAUGAGAACAAGGGUGGCCCGAUCUUCCGAAGUGUUGUGGUAACUCUCGAUUUGGUGGAGACGAGACACAAAUCGAUCCGGCUUCUGAGCAACACAAUCCAAAACCCUGCAAUUUUUUUAUUUUUUUGAUAUAUUUCUUUCACUUAGGAGCACUAAGGAAGUAACCACAAAAAAAAUUGAGCUUAAACAAGUGAAAGACGGCCUGUGGAAUUUUCUCAAGAUUGUGAUGUGAAAAAAACAUCACGAGGUGAAAACUCAAACUUCGGAGGCAAAUUUGGAGAUUCAAAAAAUUUCAAACCCACUAAAGGCGUGGAUAGACAUAUCCAAAGAAAUUGUCUGAUCGAUUUUGAAAUAUGGAACGUUGAAAUCAGAGUUCGUAUGUGAAAGUUAUGGUUGUUUUACGAACGGACUCCAAAUUAGAGGACAAAACGGUCCGAAAGUGAGAAAAAUUUACGGCGGUGGCUAGAAAUUGAUAAAAACGGUAGGGAAAAAAUACACGAACUGGACUCUAACAAGACCUAACCAGUAACAAGACCUCGACCAGGACACAAACUCAACACUGCAGACUAUGAAAUUGAAAUAUGCAAAGGCUAUGGCGCGGAAGGGUUGUAGGAUAGGAAAACGAUAUGGCACUGGACUUAUGGGACAAACACAAGAACACGUGAAACUAAGGGUAGAUGUGAACCUAACGGUAUACCUGAAGCUUUGAUUACCACUUGAUGAGAAGAAGGGUGGCCCGAUCUUCCGAAGUGUUCUGAUAACUCUCGAUUAGGUGGAGACGAGAUACAAAUCGACCCGGCUUCCGAGCAACACAAUCCAAAACCCUGUAAUUUUUUAUUUUUUUGAUAUUUUUCUUUUACUUAGGAGCACUAAGGAAGUAACCACAAAAAAUUUGAGCUUAAACAAGUGAAAGACGUGGCCCAUGGAAUUUUCUCAAGAUUGCGAAAAUGUGAAAAAAACUUCACGAGGUGAAAACUCAAACUUUGGAGGCGAAUUUGGAGAUUCAAAUUUUUUCAAACCCACUAAAGGCAUGGAUAGACAUAUCCAAAAAAAUUUUCUGAUUGAUUUUAUUAUAUCGAACGUUGAAAUCAGAGUUCGUAUGCGAAAGUUAUGGUUGUUUUACGAACGGACUCCAAAUUAGAGGACAAAACGGUCCGAAAGUGGGAAAAAUUUGCGGCGGUGGCUAGAAAUUGAUGAAAACAGUGGGGAAAAAACACUGGACUCUAACAAGACCUAACCAGCAACAAGACCUCGACCAAGACACAAACUCAACACUGCAGACUCUGAAAUUGAAAUAUGCAAAGGCUAUGGCGCGGAAGGGUUGUAGGACAGGAAAACGAUAUGGCACUGGACUUAUGGGGCGAACAUAAGAACACUCGAAACUAAGGGUAGAUGUAAAGUAACGGUAUACCUGAUGCUUUGAUUACCACUUGAUGAGAACAAGAGUGGCCCGAUCUUCCGAAAGGUUCUGCUAACUCUCGAUUUGGUGGAGACAAGACACAAAUCGAUGCGGCUUCCAAACAACACGAUCCAAAACUCUGCAUUUUAUUUAUUUUUUUGAUAUUUUUCUUUUACUUAGGAGCACUAAAGGAGUAAGCACAGAAAAUUUGAGGUUAAACAAGUGAAAGACGUGGCCUGCAAAAUUUUCUGAAGAUUGAGAAAAAUGUGAAAAAGACUUUACGAGGUGAAAACUCAAACUUUGGAGGCAAAUUUAGAGAUUGUAAAAUUUUCAAACCCGCCAGACACGGGGACAGACAGAACAGAAAUUUUUUCUAGUCGAUUUUGAUAUAUGAAUGUUGAAAUCAGAGUUCGUAUGCGAAACUUAUGACUGUUUUACGAACGGACUCCGAAUUAGAGGACAAAACAGUGCGAAAGUGGGAAAAAUUUAAGGCGGUGCUAGAAAUUAAUGGAAACAUUGGGGAAAAACAUACGAACUAGACUCUAACAAGACCUAACAUGCAACAAGACCUCGACCAAGACACAAACUCAACACUGCAGACUCUAAAACUGAAAUAUGCAAAGGCUAUGGCGUGGAAAGGUUCUACGACAGGAAAACGAUAUGGCACUGAACUUAUGGGACGAACACAAGAACACUCGAAACUAAGGGUAGAUGUGAACCUAACGGUAUACCUGAAGUUUUGAUUACCACUUGAUGAGAACAAGGGUGGCCCGAUCUUGCGAAAGGUUCUGGUAACUCUCGAUUUUGUGGAGACGAGACACAAAUCGAUCUGGAUUCCGAACAACAGGAUCUGAAACCCUGCAAUUUUUUUAUUUUUUUGAUAUUUUUCUUUUACUUAGGAGCACUAAACAAGUAACCAUAGAAAAUUUGAGCUUAAACAAGUGAAAGAUGUGGCCUGCUGAAUUUUCUGAAGAUUGAGAAAAAUGUAAAAAAAAACUUCAUGAAGUGAAACUGAAACUUCGGAGGCAAAUUUGGAUAUUUUAAAAUUUUGAAACCCGCCAAAGAUGGGGAUAGACAGAUCUGAAUUUUUUCUCAUCAAUUUUGAUAUAUGGAACGUUGAAAUCGUAUUUCGUAAGCGAAAGUUAUGGCUGUUUUACGAACGGAUUCCGAAUUAGAGGACAAAACGGUGCGAAAGUGAGAAAAAUUUGCGGCGGUGGCUAGAAAUUGAUGGAAACGGUGGGGAAAUACACACGAACUGGACUCUAACAAGACCUAACCAGCAACAAGACCUCGACUAUGACACAAACUCAACACUGUGGACUCUAAAACUGAAAUAUGCAAAGGCUAUGGCGCGGAAGGGUUGUAGGACUGGAAAACGAUAUGGCACUGGACUUAUGGGACGAACACAAGAACACUUGAAACUAAGGGUAGAUGUAAAUCUAAUGGUAUACCUGAAGCUUUGAUUACAGAACAAGGGUGGCCCGAUCUUCCGAAAGGUUCUGGUAACUCUCGAUUUGGUGGAGACGAGACACAAAUCGAUCCAGCUUCCGAGCAACACGAUCUGAAACCCUGUAAUUUUUUUAUUUUUUUGAUAUUUUUCAUUUACUUAGGAGCACUAAAGAUGUAACCACAUAAAAUUUGAGGUUAAACAAGUGAAAGACGUGGCCUGCAAAAUUUUCUGAAGAUUGAGAAAAAUGUGAAAAAACUUCACGAGAUGAAAACUCAAAUUUCGGAUGCGAAUUUGAAGAUUAUAAAAUUUUCAAACUCGCCACAGGCAGGGAUAGACACAUCCAAAAAGUUUUUCUGAUCGAUUUUGAUAUAUGGAACAUUGAAAUCGGAGUUCGUAUGUGAAAGUUAUGGCUGUUUUACGAACGGGCUCCGAAAUAGAGGACAAAACGGUCCGAAAGUGGGAAAAAUUUGCGGCGGUGGCCAGAAAUUGAUGGAAAUAGUGUGGAAAAACACAUGAAAUGGACUCUAACAAGACCUAACCAGCAACAAGACCUCGACCAGGACACAAACUCAACACUGCAGUCUCUAAAACUGAAAUAUGCAAAGGCUAUGGCACGAAAGGAUUGUAGGACAGGAAAACAAUAUGGCACUGGACUUAUGGGAUGAACAUAAGAACACUCGAAACUAAGGGUAGAUGUGAACCUAAUGGUAUACCUGAAGCUUCGAUUACCACUUGUUGAGAACAAGGGUGGCCCGAUCUUCCGAAAGUUUAUGGUAACUCUCGAUUUGUUGGAGACGAGACACAAAUCGAUCCGGCUUCCGAACAACACGAUCUGAAACUCUACAAUUUUUUUAUUUUUUUGAUAAUUUUCUUUUACUUAGGAGCACUAAAGAAGUAACCACAGAAAAUUUGAGCUUAAACAAGUGAAAGACGUGGCCUGCUGAAUUUUCUGAAGAUUAAGAAAAAUAUAAAAAAACUUCACUAGGUGAAAACUCAAACUUCGGAGGCAAAUUUGGAGAUUUUAAAAUUUUCAAACCCGCCAAAGAUGGGGAUAGACACAUCCGUAAUUUUAUUCUGAUCGAUUUUAUAUAUGGAACAUUGAAAUCGGAGUUCGUAUGCGAAAGGUAUGGCUGUUUUACGAACAGACUCCAAAUUAGAGGACAAAACGGUGCGAAAGUGGGAAAAAUUUGCGGCGGUGGCUAGAAAUUGAUGGUAACAGUGAGAAAAUACACACGAACUGGACUCUAACGAGACCUAACUAGCAACAAGACCUCGACUAGGACACAAACUCAACACAGUGGACUCUGAAACUGAAAUAUGCAAAGGCUAUGGCGCGGAAGGGUUGUACGACAGGAUAACGAUAUGACACUCGACUUAUGGGACGAACACAAGAACACUCGAAACUAAGGGUAGAUGUGAACCUAACGGUAUAUCUGAAGCUUUGAUUACCACUUGAUGAGAACAAGGGUGGCCCGAUCUUCCGAAAGGUUCUGGUAUCUCUCGAUUUGCUGGAGACGAAACACAAAUCGAUCCGACUUCCGAGCAACACGAUCUGAAAGCCUGCAAUUUUUUUUUAUUUUUUUGAUAUUUUUCAUUUACUUAGGAGCACUAUGGAAGUAACCACAAAAAAAUUUGAGCUUAAACAAGUGAAAGACGUGGCCUGCGGAAUUUUCUGAAGAUUGCGAAAAAUGUGAAAUAACUUCACGAGGUGAAAACUCAAAUUUUGGAGGCGAAUUUGAAGAUCCUAAAAUUUUCAAACUCGCCAAAGGCAGGGAUAGACACAUCCAAAAAAUUUUUCUGAUCGAUUUUGAUAUAUGGAACAUUGAAAUCGGGGUUCGUAUGUGAAAGUUAUGGCUGUUUUAUGAACGGGCUCCGAACUAGAGGACAAAACGGUCCAAAAGUGGAAAAAAUUUGCGGCGGUGCCUGGAAAUUGAUGAAAACGGUGGGGAAAGACUCUGAAACUGAAAUAUGCAAAGGCUACGGCGCAGAAGGGUUGUAGGGUAGGAAAACGGUAUGGCACUGGACAUAUGGGACGAACACAAGAACACUCAAAACUAAGGGUAGAUGUGAACCUAAUGGUAUACGUGAAGCUUUGAUUACCACUUGAUGAAAACAAGGGUGGACCGAUCUUUCGAAAGGUUCUGGUAACUCGAUUUGGUAGAGACGAGACAAAAACCAAACCGGCCUCCGAACAACACGAUCCAAAAACCUACAAUUUUUUUUAUAAUUUUCUUUUACUUAGGAGCACUAAAGAAGUAACCAUAGAAAAUUUGAGCUUAAACAAGUGAAAGACGUGGCCUGCGGAAUUUUCUGAAGAUUGAGAAAAAUGUGAAAAAAACUUCAUGAGGUGAAAACUCAAUCUUUGGAGGUGAAUUUGGAGAUUUUAAAAUUUUCAAACCCGCCAAGCGCAGAUCCGAAAUUUUUUUCUCAUAGAUUUUGAUAUAUGGAACGUUGAAAUCGGAGUUCGUAUGCGAAAGUUACGGCUUUUUACGAACGGACUACGAAUUAGAGGACAAAACAGUGCGAAAGUGGGGAAAAUUUGCGGCGGUGGCUAGAAAUUGAUGGAAACGGUCAGGAAAUACAGACGAACUAGACUCCACAAACAACAAUGCGGACUCUGAAACUAAAAUAUGCAAAGGCUAUGGCGCGGAAGGGUUGUAGGACAAGAAAACGAUAUGGCACUGGACAUAUGGGUGUUGACGGUUCUUAAGUAUUAAUUUUAAUUAUCAAAUAAAUAAGAGAAAGGACCAAUAUGCAACCAACACCUAGAAUUAGGGUUUGAUCUGACAGAAUUCCACAAGUUUUGUUGUUUAUGUGUUUCUGCAGGGGGUUAUCAGGAAAUAAGGAAGAAAAGCCCACAUAUCGGGAUUACAUAGAGAUAUCAACGCACCGCACGAUUUUCUACCAUCUAGAAGACUCCAGAAGCCACGGGAAGAAGACGGAGGCCGAAAGGGGCCAGGCCCAGGGCGCCCGCCCCCCUCUGGAUUACAUUCGGGACUCUCUUCGCACGGGAUAUUCCACCGACCUAUUGGAUCAAGGAAAACAUAGUACCACCUCGCCUACCGACCCAAAAACGCAUAGAAGGGAAGGACUAUAUAAGGAGACCCCCCUGGCCCCUGGAGAAGACAUGAAGAAAUUAUCAUUGAGACUGAGGGGUGCCCUCGAAGGAAAACCUCUUCUCUAAUUAAUAUUUCUUUUUAGGCUUAGCAACCAAUGUAAGGUAGAAAUAGAUCUUCUAGUUUCUACUAGAUUGAGAGAGAUAGAGUGGAGGUGUAGAUUGGAGGAAGCCCGGCCUGUCGGUGUCUACUCCAAGCUUGUACCUGCAGGAUCAAGUUCUCCUAACCCGAAGCUUGCUCCUAGGAUUCUUCAGUAUUUCGACUUCUAAAUUCUAGUAAGUUCUUGUUUUAUUGUUCUUAUGGUUUAUGAGUUUACUUUAAUCUCUUCGCGUAGAGUUUAGAGUAAUCAUUGCUGGCGUAAACGUGGUGUUUAGGCUGGGGUACUCAUAGAUAUUCCCUGACUAGCUGGACCGUGGUAGUAGUGAGGAACGUGACAAUUCCGAGUUACCUUUGUAGAUCACAUCUCGUUAGCAGGAAGGAUAGGGUUUAUAGGUGCGGGUUGAACAUCCUUUGUGGUGUCUAGAUUCCGUUAGCCUCCCCAUUAGAACAAUAGAUUAUCCUUACCAAGGUUAGAAGGAGACUACGGUUGCAGUCUUCUCUAUUUAUCACUCACAUCGAAAGACAUUCUUUGUGCCUAAAGGUUAGUAGUAAUAGACCGGUUAGUCAGAUGCACUCUUUCUCCUAGUGGUAGAAAAAUAAAUACGAUACUCUGGAUAAUUUCCCGGGUGAAGUGCUCACCGAUAUCCGUGCGCUUGCGGAUCAAUUCCUUAUUGCGUUCCCAAAUAUCAACAAGCAUUUCUGGCGCCGUUGCCGGGGAGAAAGACGGUUGCUGAGAUAACCUGAGUCUUACUACUAGCUUGUAUCUAUACUUUUAUCUUUUCUUAUCUUUUAUAUUCUUUAUUUAUUUUCUUUAAUCUUACCUUAUGGAAAACCAAAAUUCUAAAUCGAUCCAUGAAUCUGCAAUCCCUUCAGCAACUGACCUUUUACCAUGGGAAUCAUCACAGCCUAUCCAAACAUCCCAGUAUAAGUUAAGUUCUAGGUUGAUUGCCAUGAUUCAAAACCUAUCUUUUUCGGGAAAGGAAGACGAAAACCCUUACCUUCAUAUUAGAGAUUUUGAGCAAACAUGUGAUUGUCUUCGCAUUGAAGGCAUUUCUGAUAAAACUUUACGUUGGAAGCUUUUUCCUUUUUCCUUAAGGGGAGAAGCUAGACAAUGGUACAGUCAGAAGGUAAGUCAACAACAAGGUGAAUGGGGAGUUUUACGAGCCAACUUUUGUCUAGAUUUCUAUUCCCUUGACCGUAUAGCCGACCUUAGACUCGAAGUCCUAUCUUUUAAACAAAAAGAUAAUGAAACUUUGGGAAAAUCCUGGAAACGUUUUUCUGAUCUUUUAGAAUCUGGUCCAAACCUUAAUCUUGAAGACCCUAUUCUUUUAUUCCACUUUUUCGAGGUCUUCAUAAAAAUCACAAACAAAUGCUGCACACAAUGUCUAGAGGUUCUUUCUUUUGCAUCCCUGCUGAUGAAGCUAGAGUGAUCCUAGAUAGAAUCCUAGAAGCUGAGAUGAAUAAUACCCUUCAUGAUGAAACCCACGAAGCCGAAGUAGACACUCUUCCAAAUUCUUCAGCUACUUUAGCUAUCCCAAGUUCUGAGCCACAAGAGGAAGAAAUUCUACCACCGGACUUCAUGCUGGAUAUAGAAUCCAAUCUUUUUGCCGAUUUUGGAAAUAUUUCAAACUACCAUUCUAUUGACAAACCCCAAAACGGUCAGUUUAGCAUUUAUUUGCCAAGUGAAUAUCAAUUGAGAGAGCUUAUCUCAGUCAUGAGUAGCGAAUGGUUGGAGGAAUCAGAGCUUUCCUCUGAUGUGAUCCGUUUGGACACACCCUCUAUAACUAUACGCUGUGCUUAUAAUUCUGAUCGAUUUAAUGCUCUUUAUAAUCCUGUUGUGGGGAUCAACGUCAUGUCUGAAUCUUUUGCACUUAAACUAUUUAAAAAGCUUGUCUUAACCCCCACAACAAAGGUCAUAAUGGAAUCUUCGGGACGGUUAGUCCCCAGUCUUGGAAUUAUUAAUGUCCUACCUCUUACGGUAGAAGGCUCCAUGGUUCAUUUGAACUUCUAUAUCUUUGAUACAUGGGACUUCGACCUGUUGAUAGGACAACCUUUUAGAAGACUCCUUUAUGAAGGUCAUACUGGAAAGCUACACAUUACUUUUGGAAAAACUUUUAAAUUCCCGAUAACAAUUUCACAAUCCUUAAACAAUAAGGCCGAGUCAUAUCUUUUGCCUGAUCCUAUGGAGGAGGUAAAGGCUGCAUCUCUAGAGCUUUUAGAUGAACCAGAUUUAGAAGACGAAACUCCUUUCUUCACUGAAGAAGAAGAUGAACCUUCUGAGCCUGAACCCUUAGAUGAGUUUGCAGAAGCACCUAGACCUCCCAUUGAACUUAAAACUUUACCACCCGGUCUUACCUAUGCUUUCUUAAACAAUAAUCCAGAGUUCCCUGUAAUCAUUAGCAAUAAACUCACUCAGGAUCAAACUCUGCGAUUAAUGACCAUUCUUGAAAAACAUCACUCAGUUUUUGGCUACUCACUUCAAGAUCUUACAGGAAUCAGUCCUAUGAUUUGUACCCAUCGUAUUCCAACAGAUCCUUCUGUUACACCCUCUCGAGAACCCCAACGUAGACUUAACAACACUAUGAGAGAGGUAGUUAAAAAGGAAGUUAUAAAGUUGCUGCAUGCAGGGAUUAUAUAUCCUGUGCCGCACAGUGAGUGGGUAAGCCCAGUGCAUGUUGUGCCUAAAAAGGGAGGCAUGACUGUUAUUAUGAAUGAAAAGAAUGAGCUAAUUCCGCAACGCACCGUCACAGGAUGGCGGAUGUGCAUAGACUAUAGAAAACUAAACAAAGCCACGAGAAAGAAUCACUUUCCUUUGCCUUUCAUAGAUGAGAUGCUAGAGCGGUUAGCAAACCAUUCGUUCUUCUGUUUCUUAGAUGGAUAUUCAGGAUAUCACCAAAUCCCGAUCCAUCCCGAUGAUCAAAGCAAAACCACUUUUACAUGCCCAUAUGGAACUUAUGCUUAUCGUAGAAUGUCUUUUAGGUUAUGUAAUGCACCAGCUUCUUUUCAAAGAUGCAUGAUGUCUAUAUUUUCUGAUAUGAUUGAAGAGAUUAUGGAAGUUUUCAUGGAUGAUUUCUCUAUUUAUGGAAAAACUUUUGAUAGUUGUAUUGAAAACUUAGACAAGGUUUUGGAAAGAUGUGAAGAAAAGCACUUAAUCCUUAAUUGGGAAAAAUGUCAUUUUAUGGUUAGGGAAGGAAUAGUGCUGGGACACCUAGUGUCUGAAAGAAGUAUUGAGGUAGACAAAGCUAAAAUUGAAGUAAUUGAACAACUACCUCCACCUGUGAACAUAAAAGGAAUUCGAAGCUUUCUUGGCCAUGCUGGUUUUUAUCGUAGAUUCAUAAAAGAUUUUUUAUUUAUUGCUAGACCACUUACUCUUUUGCUAGCCAAGGAUGCUCCUUUCGAAUUUGAUGAUGCAUGUCUAACAUCUUUCAAUUUAUUAAAGAAAGCACUCAACUCUACACCAAUCAUUCAACCCCCUAAUUGGUCGUUGCCUUUUGAAAUUAUGUGUGAUGCUAGUGAUUAUGCUGUGGGGGCAGUAUUGGGACAAACUAAAGAUAAGAAGCAUCAUGCAAUUGCUUAUGCCAGUAAAACUUUUACAGGAGCUCAACUUAAUUAUGCAACCACUGAAAAAGAGCUUCUGGCUGUUGUCUUUGCCAUUGAUAAAUUUAGAUCUUAUUUAGUUGGAGCUAAAAUAAUUGUUUACACUGAUCAUGCUGCACUAAAAUAUUUGCUCACUAAAAAAGAUGCUAAACCUCGUCUAAUUAGAUGGAUCUUAUUACUCCAAGAAUUUGACUUAGAAAUAAAAGAUAAAAAAGGAGUAGAAAAUUCUGUUGCAGAUCACUUGUCUAGAAUGUAUUUUAAGAGUCCAUAGGAAACCCCCAUUAAUGAUUCACUCCGGGACGACAUGCUCUACGGGAUUAACAGGUCUGACCCCUGGUAUGCAGAUAUUGUUAAUUUUAUGGUUUCAGGGUAUGUACCACCAGGAGCAAACAAGAAGAAGCUUAUUCAAGAAAGUCAUUCACAUAUAUGGGAUGAGCCAUACCUCUUCCGAGUAUGCUCUGAUGGCUUACUCAGGAGAUGUGUGACCACUGAGGAAGGAUGGAAGAUCAUCGACAGAUGUCAUUCAUCACCAUAUGGAGGCCACUAUGGAGCAUUCCGUACACAUUCAAAAAUCUGGCAGUGUGGAUUCUACUGGCCUACAAUGUAUGAAGACACGAAGCAAUAUAUCAGAAGAUGUGGGCCAUGUCAAAGACACGAAAACAUAAAUACAAGGGAUGCAAUGCCACUCACCAACAACCUUCAGAUUGAGCUCUUUGAUGUCUGGGGAAUAGACUACAUGGGUCCAUUUCCUCCAUCAAAGAAGUGUGAGUACAUCUUGGUGGCAGUUGACUAUGUCUCCAAGUGGGUAGAGGCAUUACCUUGCAAGCAUGCCGACAACGUCAGUUCAAAGAGGAUGUUUGAAGAAAUUAUAUUUCCAAGAUUUGGAGUUCCCAGAGUAGUGAUAAGUGAUGGAGGAGCACACUUCAUCGACAAACGCUUCAAGCAAUAUCUAUCAAGACAUGGAAUCCGUCACAACGUCGCUACCCCCUAUCAUCCUCACACAAGUGGCCAAGCAGAGACUUCCAACAAACAAAUCAAGAAUAUUCUUCAGAAGACAGUAAAUGAAAUGGGAACGGCGUGGAAAGACAAGUUACCCGAUGCACUCUGGGCAUACCGGACAGCAUACAAGACCCCAAUCGGAAUGUCUCCAUACCAAUUGGUGUACGGGAAGACUUGCCAUCUACCCGUUGAACUAGAGUUCAAAGCACACUGGGCCAUAAAGAGAUGGAAUAUGGACCUAGAUGUUGCUGGAGAUUAUAGAAGAAUGCAACUAUCAGAAUUGGAAGAAUGGCGAGAGAAGGCAUAUCACAACUCAAAGAUUUACAAAGAAAGAGUCAAAAGGUGGCAUGACAAGAGAAUCAAGAAGAAGGAGUUCACACCCGGAGAUAAGGUAUUACUUUUUAAUUCCAGGGUGAAGCUUUUCGGGCAUGGAAAACUCCGAAGCAAAUGGGAAGGACCAUUCAAGGUAAUUAAUUCAUAAUCCCACGGAGCUAUCACACUUCAAAAUAGCGAAGGUACGUUAUUCAAUGUAAAUGGUCAAUGUCUUAAAUUAUUUUUAGAGCCCAAUGAGGAAUUUGAAGAAAUAGACGUAGUCCAUUUUUACCUUCCCAUGGAGAAUUAGAGCCCGACACUUUUAGUCUGAUGUUUUUGGGUCAUAUAUAUAUUUUUCUAAAUAAUUUCGUAUCUAGAAACGCGCUCGGAAAAGUGGGCCCACAGAGGGGCCAGAGAGAGGGCGGGCGCCCAGCUCAGGUGGGCGGGCGCCCAGCUCCUGUUCCCCCUCGGUCCCGACUUUCUCUGUUAUGGAAAAUGCACUUAUGGUAAUUCGAAUAAUCCCUCGGAUGGAAAGUUUCGCACGCACGUCGACGGGAGAAACCCGAACAACCCAUAGAGGCACUUUUUGACCCCUAUAUAAACACACCCCUGACCUCAGUUUUCAAACACCAAGCCACCAAGCCUUCUCUCCUCCAAUUAGAGCUUGAUUAGUUCUCCUUCAAUUAGAGCUUGAUUAGUUCUUUGCUACUCCAAUGGCCGAGAAGUACCACGAUGAUUGGGAAGUCGUCCCCUUCAACCUCAACAUGGAGCCUGUGGAAGACCCCGAUGCCUGUGCUCUCAUCCCGGCCAACACAGAGCGACAGCUAGAAGCCAUGCCAUUACGCCAGCGCAGCUCUGCCCAAUCCUACCAUGCUCAACCAGUUCUCACCGCACCACCACAACCCCUACUCCUCAAAGGAUCAUCAUCCAAGACGAAGACCACCAAGGUGCCAAUCGGCACAAGGAUCCUUCCACCUAGACCCAAUGAGAGGGUCGUUGGAGUCAAGACCAACCGGAGCGGCAAGAUCAGCAGUGUUCGCUACACUACAGAGGAGGAAAGGCCUUACUUUGGAGGGAUUAGAGCAGCCAAAGUCUGUUUCAUCCCUCCAAAGGCAGCCCCGAAGCACGCUCUCAAUGCUUUUGAGACACCUCCCAAGCGUCGCAAGACUAUAAUGGAUAUUUAUGAGGAAGUUCGCAGACUAGAUAGAGUUAUCAUAGACCUCCAGUCCUCGAUUAAUUCCCUCACUAGGUAGCUCUCUAACCACAAAACCAUUAUACUAGGUCUUAGGCAGGAUCUUGCCAGUGCCAACAAGAAGAUCAAGGAAUUAGAGCGCCGCUAAGUUAUCUAGAUUAGACCUUGAGGCAAUACAUCUUAGUCAUUUAUCUUUAAAUUCAGUUUAGGUUUGAUAUUAUCAUCAGUUUACUAUUAUCAUCAGUUUGCUAUCAGUUUGCUACUAGUCUUUUGUAAUAAAUGCCUCAAGAUUAAUAAAGAGUAUUAUUAUUAUUAUGUCUUGUGUAUCUCUACUUAAUUUUUUGUGCAAGAAAGCAGAAAACAAGUAUGGGGGAGAUCCCUCGACAUGCCAAACACACUCCGACCACACCACUCCACGAUUCAGGUACACACUCUGCACACCUUACUUUACACAUACAUAUAUUUUGGAUUAUGCAGAUUACUGUUUCCGACAUGAUAAAUUAAAAAGAUUAAAAUAUUUCUAAUCAUGAUUAAUCUCAAUCUGUGAUAUUUCCUGAAAACUUGCAAUUAUUAUAAAAUCAUUUUAAAAACCCUGUGUUACUUAAGUCUUUGUGGAGUAUGUGAUGGUAGAGUAUGAGUUUCUUAUUCUUGAUAUCAUUGUUGCUUGGAGAAUUUAUUUCAAAAUAUUCAAAAUUCUAGCUACCAUCCUCAGUGUUUUAUAUGCCUGAUAAAACUGAAAAUAUUAAUUAUGAUUAUAAAAGCUAUCUAGUCUGUAUUGAGUUUGUUCAAAAUGAGUUAGACCCUUGUUGAGAGAUUUAUCAUGCUCCUCAGAUCAAGACAUUAUUUCAGAAAGAUUCACUCUUCCGAAGUAUUAUUGCAUUAGAGGCAUGAGCUAUGAAAAAAUAGAGAUAUUUUCGAGGAAAGAAAAAGGAGCAAGUGCUCGACAACCUCGCAGAAAAAAAUGGACAAGUGUCCGGCAGUAGAAUUAGGGGUACCUCGGUAUCCACCUAAAAAAAUGAUAGCCCAUGGUCCCUCUAAUAAGCAAUAUGCCAGCAAUAGUUGACAAAGAUUUUAAUUUCCAAUGUCUUUGAUCUAAGAGUAUGACAUUCCCCUCCCCGGAUCCCGUUUUGAUCAGGCAAUAAAUGCAAAGUAAGUAUGCUUGAGAAUUUUUGCAAAUUAAAACAACCUCAGUGAGAUAUAUAUAUAUAAAAUAAUGAGUGAUCUGAGAGAACCUAUGAGGAUAAAAAGGUAUGCUAACUUUCUUUCAAAAAUAUACAAAAGCUCCAAGUGACAGGAUUGAGAAGAAAGGAUCUUUACUCUUAACCAUAAACAUCCCUGACUAUGGUACACAGUGGAUUUUUAACACCCUGCAAAUAUAAAGAAUGUUUUAAAUGUUUACCCCAGAUAUUUUUCUUAACCAUCCUUUUCUCGAGGACGAGUAAAAGCCUAAGUAUGGGGGUAUUUGUUGACGGUUCUUAAGUAUUGAUUUUAAUUAUCAAAUAAACAAGAGAAAGGACCAAUAUGCAACCAACACCUAGAAUUAGGGUUUGAUCUGACAGAAUUCCAUGAGUUUUGUUGUUUAUGUGUUUCUGCAGGGGGUUAUCAGGAAAUAAGGAAGAAAAGCCCAAAUGUCGGGAUUACAUAGAGAUAUCAACGCACCGCACGAUUUUCUACCAUCUAGAAGACUCCAGAAGCCACGGGAAGAAGACGGAGGCCGAAAGGGGCCAGGCCCAGGGCGCCCGCCCUGGUGACCUGGGCGCCCGCCCCCCUCUGGAUUGCAUUCGGGACUCUCUUCGCACGGGAUAUUCCACCGACCUAUUGGAUCAAGGAAAACAUAGUACCACCUCGCCUACCGACCCAAAAACGUAUAGAAGGGAAGGACUAUAUAAGGAGACCCCCUGGCCCCUGGAGAAGACAUGAAGAAAUUAUCAUAGAGACUGAGGGGUGCCCUCGAAGGAAAACCUCUUCUCUAAUUAAUAUUUCUUUUUAGGCUUAGCAACCAAUGUAAGGUAGAAAUAGAUCUUCUAGUUUCUACUAGAUUGACAGAGAUAGAGUGGAGGUGUAGAUUGGAGGAAGCCCGGCCUGUCGGUGUCUACUCCAAGCUUGUACCUGCGGGAUCAAGUUCUCCUAACCCGAAGCUUGCUCCUAGGAUUCUUCAGUAUUUCGACUUCUAAAUUCUAGUAAGUUCUUGUUUUAUUGUUCUUAUGGUUUAUGAGUUUACUUUAAUCUCUUUGCGUAGAGUUUAGAGUAAUCAUUGCUGGCGUAAACGUGGUGUUUAGGCUGGGGUACUCAUAGAUAUUACCUGACUAGCUGGACCGUGGUAGUAGUGAGGAACGUGACAAUUCCGAGUUACCUUUGUAUAUCACAUCUCGUUAGCAGGAAGGAUAGGGUUUAUAGGUGCGGGUUGAACAUCCUUUGUGGUGUCUAGAUUCCGUUAGCCUCCCCAUUAGAACAAUAGAUUAUCCUUACCAGGGUUAGAAGGAGACUACGGUUGCAGUCUUCUCUAUUUAUCACUCACAUCGAAAGACAUUCUUUGUGCCUAAAGAUUAGUAGUAAUAGACCGGUUAGUCAGAUGCACUCUUUCUCCUAGUGGUAAAAAAAUAAAUACGAUACUCUGGAUAAUUUCCCGGUUGAAGUGCUCACCGAUAUCCGUGCGCUUGCGGAUCAAUUCCUUAUUGCGUUCCCAAAUAUCAACAAUGGGACGAACACAAGAACACUCGAAACUAAGGGUAGAUGUGAACCUAACGGCAUAUCUGAAUCUUUGAUUACCACUUGAUGAGAACAAGGGUGGCCCGAUCUUCCGAAAGGUUCUGGUAACACGAUUUGGUGGAAACGAGACACAAACCGAUACGGCUUCCGAACAACACGAGCCGAAACCCUGCAAUUUUUCUUAUUUUUUAAUAUUUUUCUUUUACUUAGGAUCACUAAAGAAGUAACCACAGAAAAUUUGAGCUUAAACAAGUGAAAGACGUGGCCUGCGGAAUUUUCUGAAGAUUGUGAAAAUUGUGAAAAAAACUUCAUGAGGUGAAAAAUCAAACUUCGGAGGUGAAUUUAAAGAUUCUAAAAUUUUCAAACCCACCAAAGGCGUGGAUAUAUAGAUCCAAAAUUUUUUUUCUAAUCGAUUUUGAUAUACGGAACGUUGAAACCUGAGUUCGUAUAUGAAAGUUAUGGCUGUUUUACGAACGGACUCCAAAUUAUAGGACAAAACGAUCCGAAAGUGGGAAAAAUUUGCGGUGGUGGCUAGAAAUUGAUGGAAAUGUUGGCGAAAAACACACAAACUGGACUCUAACAGGACCUAACUAGCAACAAGGCCUCAGCCAAGACACAAACUCAAUACUGCGGACUCUGAAACUGAAAUAUGCAAAUGCUAUGGCGCGGAAUGGUUGUAGGACAUGAACACGAUAUGGCAGUGGACUUAUGGAACGAACAUAAGAACACUCGAAACUAAGGGUAGAUGUGAACCUAACGGUAUACCUGAAGUUUUGAUUACCACUUGAUGAGAUCAAGGGUGGCCCAAUCUUCCGAAAGGUUCUGGUAACUCUUGAUUUGGUGGAGACGAGACACAAAUCGAUCCGGCUUCCGAACAACACGAUCCGAAUCCCUGCAACUUUUUUUUAUUUUUUUGAUAUUUUUCUUUUACUUAGGAGCACUAAAGAAGUAACCACAGAAAAUUUAAGCUUAAACAAGUGAAAGACGUGGCCUGUGGAAUUUUCUGAAAAUUGCGAAAAAUGUGAAAAAACAUCACGAGGUGAAAACUCAAACUUCGGAGACAAAUUUGGAGAAUCUAAAAUUUUCAAACCCGCCAAAGGCACCAAAGGCAUGGACAGACAGAUACGAAAUUUUUUUCUGAUCGAUUUUGAUAUAUGGAACGUUGAAAUCGGAGUUCGUAUACGAAAGUUAUGGCUGUUUUACGAACGGACUCCGAAUUAGAGGAUAAAACGGUGCGAAAGUGGGGAAAAUUUGCGGCGGUGGCUAGUAAUUGAUGGAAACGGUAAGGAAAUAGACACGAACUGGACUCCAAACAACACUGUGGACUCUGAAACUGAAAUAUACAAAGGCUAUGGCGCGGAAGGGUUGUAGGACAGAAAAAUGAUAUGGCACUGGACAUAUGGGACGAACACAAGAACACUCGAAACUAAGAGUAGAUGUGAACCUAACGGUAUACCGGAAUCUUUGAUUACCACUUGAUGAGAACAAGGGUGGCUCGAUCUUCCGAAAUGUUCUGGUAACUCGAUUUGGUGGAGACGAGACACAAACCGAUCCGGCUUCCGAACAACACGAGCUGAAACCCUGCAAUUUUUCUUAUUUUUUUUAAUAUAUUUCUUUUACUUAGGAGCACGAAAGAAGUAACCACAGAAAAUUUAAGCUUAAACAAGUGAAAGACGUGGCCUGCGGAAUUUUGUGAAGAUUGUGAAAAAUGUGAAAAAAAACUUCAUGAGGUGAAAAAUCAAACUUAGGAGGCGAAUUUGGAGAUUCUAAAAUUUUCAGACCCACCAAAGGCGUGGAUAUAUAGAUCCAAAAAUUUUUUCUAAUCGAUUUUGAUAUACGGAACGUUGAAACCAGAGUUCGUACGUGAAUGUUAUGGCUGUUUUACGAACGGACUCCAAAUUAGAGGAAAAACGGUCCGAAAGUGGGAAAAAUUUGCGGUGGUGGCUAGAAAUUGAUGGAAACGGUGGCGAAAAACACACGAACUAGACUCUAACAAGACCUCGACCAGGACACAAACUCAACACUGCAGACUCUGAAACUGAAAUAUGCAAAGGCUACGACGCAGAAGGGUUGUAGGGUAGGAAAACGGUAUGGCACUGGACAUAUGGGACGAACACAAAAACACUCAAAACUAAGAGUAGAUGUGAACCUAAUGGUAUACGUGAAGCUUUGAUUACCACUUGAUGAGAACAAGGGUGGACCGAUCUUUCGAAAUGUUCUGGUAACUCGAUUUGGUAGAGACGAGACAAAAACCAAUCCGGCCUCCGAACAAUCCAAUAACCUACAAUUUUUUUUAUAAUUUUCUUUUACUUAGGAGCACUAAAGAAGUAACCAUAGAAAAUUUGAGCUUAAACAAGUGAAAGACGUGGCCUGCAGAAUUUUGUGAAGAUUGAGAAAAAUGUGAAAAAAACUUCACGAGGUGAAAACUCAAUCUUUGGAGGUGAAUUUGGAGAUUUUGAAAUUUUCAAACCCGCCAAGCGCAGAUCCGAAAUUUUUUUCUGGUAGAUUUUGAUAUAUGGAACGUUGAAAUCGGAGUUCGUAUGCGAAAGUUACUGCUUUUUACGAACGGACUACGAAUUAGAGGACAAAACAGUGCGAAAGUGGGGAAAAUUUGCGGCGGUGGAUAGAAAUUGAUGAAAACAGUGAGGAAAUACAGACGAACUGGACUCCACAAACAACAAUGUGGACUCUGAAACUAAAAUAUGCAAAGGCUAUGGCGCGGAAGGGUUGUAGGACAAGAAAACGAUAUGGCACUGGACAUAUGGGACGAACACAAGAACACUCGAAACUAAGGGUAGAUGUGAACCUAACGGUAUAUCUGAAUCUUUGAUUACCACUUGAUGAGAACAAGGGUGGCCCGAUCUUCCGAAAGGUUCUGGUAACUCGAUUUGGUGGAAACGAGACACAAACCGAUACGGCUUCCGAACAACACGAGCCGAAACCCUAUAAUUUUUCUUAUUUUUUUAAUAUUUUUCUUUUAGUUAGGAGCACUAAAGAACUAACCAUAGAAAAUUUGAAUUUAAAGAAGUGAAGGCGUGGCCUGCGGAAUUUUCUGAAGAUUGUGAAAAAUGUGAAAAAAACUUCUUGAUGUGAAAACUCAAAAUUCGGAGGCGAAUUUGGAGAUUCUAAAAUUUUCAAACCCACCAAAGGCGUGGAUAUAUAGAUCCAAAAAUUUUUUCUAAUUGAUUUUGAUAUACGGAACAUUGAAACCGGAGUUCGUAUGCGAAAGUUAUGGCUGUUUUACGAACGGACUCCAAAUUAGAGGACAGAACGGUCCGAAAGUGAGAAAAAUUUGCGGCGGUGGCUAGAAAUUGAUGGAAACGGUGGGAAAAAAUACACAAACUGGACUCUAACAGGACCUAACCAGCAACAAGACCUCAGCCAAGUCACAAACUCAAUACUGCGGACUCUGAAACUGAAAUAUGCAAAGGCUAUGGCGCGGAAGGGUUGUAGGACAAGAAAACGAUAUGGCACUGGACUUAUGGGACGAACAUAAGAACACUCGAAACUAAGGGUAGAUGUGAACCUAACGGUAUACCUGAAGUUUUGAUUACCACUUGAUGAGAACAAGGGUGGCCCGAUCUUCCGAAAGGUUCUGGUAACUCUUGAUUUGGUGGAGACGAGACACAAAUCGAUCCGGUUUUCGAACAACACGAUCCGAAUCCCUGUAAUUUUUUUGUUAUUUUUUUGAUAUUUUUCUGUAACUUAGGAGCACUAAAGAAGUAACCACAGAAAAUUUGAGCUUAAACAAGUGAAAGACGUGGCAUGUGGAAUUUUCUGAAGAUUGCG
rnacentral:lncRNA from 1 species